rnacentral:lncRNA from 1 species
UGUUAUUCACCAGUAACUAAAAACAUGAGGAAUAUGGCUUCCUUAAGCUCCUCAUUAGUGCUGCUCCUUGCAGCUCUAAUUCUAUCCCCUCAAGUUCUUGCUGACUAUGAGAAGCCCCCAAUUUACAAGCCACCUGUUUACACACCGCCAGUUUAUAAGCCCCCAGUUGAAAAACCACCAGUGUACAAACCUCCAGUUUACAAGCCUCCAGUUGAAAAACCACCUGUUUAUAAGCCUCCAGUUUAUAAGCCACCCAUUUACAAGCCUCCAGUGUAUAAACCUCCAGUUGAAAAACCACCGGUUUACAAGCCUCCAGUUUAUAAACCACCUGUUUACAAGCCUCCAGUGUAUAAACCCCCAAUUGAAAAACCACCCGUUUAUAAGCCACCAGUUUACAAGCCACCAGUGUACAAGCCUCCAGUGUAUAAGCCACCAGUUUACAAGCCACCAGUGUACAAGCCACCAGUUGAGAAGCCACCAGUAUACAAACCACCCGUUUAUAAGCCACCAGUUUACAAGCCACCAGUGUACAAGCCACCAGUUGAGAAGCCACCAGUGUACAAGCCUCCAGUGUACAAGCCACCAGUAUACAAACCACCAGUUUAUAAGCCUCCAGUUGAGAAACCUCCUAUUUACAAGCCACCAGUUUACAAGCCUCCUAUAGAGAAGCCACCAGUGUACAAGCCACCAGUGUACAAACCACCAGUGUACAAACCACCGGUGUACAAGCCCCCUGUUAAGAAACCUCCUAUUUACAAACCACCUUACCCAAAGUACCCUCCAGGCUCCAACUGAAGACACCCACCUGAUUUUGAAUUAAGUUAAGGGAUGUAUUAAGUAUAUGCUAAAUAAGAGGUGUAUCUACAACCAUUGACUUUGUCAUGCUCAAAAAUUUAGUUUAAUUUACAAAUUAUGGCAAGGGUUACACCUGGCUAGCUUCCGCGUUUAGAUCAUUUGUUUAUAGUGCUAUGGCCACGACAAGAGUGUUAUGGGUGCAUGAAUGUAAAACGAAAAAAAAAAAAAUUGUGUUUAUUUUGUACUUCAAGUUAUGAAUAAAAGAAUUUCACUGUUUGUUUGUAUCUUUGUUGGUUAUUCAACACUCCUUCUUCAGUUUGUGUUUUGGAAAGUUGGGAAACUUCCGUUCAAUUAGUUGUAACCGAUUUUCAAACACAGCCUUAAUUAGAUAUUAAUUGCUAAGUUGAUUAAUCAUAUUUAAAUUAAUUUAAGAUAGUUAAAUACAAAAUUUAUUUUAAAAAAUACAAACUCAGGAUAGAGACAUUAAAUAUUACGUGAGAUCUAUUAAAUUUUAUCAUUUUCAAUAAAAUAAUAUAUAUUUAAAGGAAUAUAUGAAAGAACAUAUUUCUAACAUUUCUCUAAAAUGGUUGAUGUAUGUUGUUCAUCUAAUUUAUUUCCUACUGAAGAACUGUGGCUAUCUCCCAAAGUUCUGAAAUAUAUUUAUGCGGAGCACGGAUUAUCAUCCAUCUGUAAAUCGUUGACCUGGUAUUCAUUCAAUAUAUAUGAUUAAUCAAGUAUAUAAGUAUGCAUGAUUAAUUUUAUUUUAUAAAUAAAUUAUUAUUAUAUAUUUUAAUGAUUUCUUAUGGUUGUCCACGAAUUUCAUUAUCAAUUUAUCAUUAUUUACAGUUUCUUGUACCAAUUUAUCUUGAUACUUACUAAUUCUAUUGGACUAAAUCUACAUGCUGCUGUUAAUAGAUCGAUAAGAUAGUAUUAUUCUGAUAACUCAUUAAUAUCCGAGCUCAUUAGUUUACCCAUCGAUUUGAAUAAUUGAUCUCAAUUCGAGAAGAAUAACUGAUAAGAAACAUAAAACCAUCCCGUUCAUAACACAAUUAACUAUUUGUGAAUAUUAACAAUUGUUACACGUUUCAAUAAUCCCACAUAUGAGACACAUUUAACUAUAUUUUAUUUAUGUAGUUAAUUUUGUAUGACGACCAAUAUUUCUAUAACACUAUUAAUCACUCGUGAGAUAAAAAUUAAUUAUAUUUACGCUUUUAGUUAAUUAGGUGUGAUGGUUAAGAAUUUCAUAACAAAAUUAACCACUUGUGAAAAUUAACUACAAUUACAUAUUUUAAUAACGUUAUUGCACUAUUAAUCAUAUAUCAAUAUUUUUAUACAAUCAUGUCCAUUUAUUUUUAAGUGUUUGUGAUACACACUACUACAAAAAUUAAUUUUUACGUCGAUUGAUAAAAAACCAACUUAGAAAGAAAUACGGUGCUAAUUUUGAAAAUAAAUGUAAUAUUUUUACGAUGGUUUUGCAAAAACCGUCUUAGAAAGUUGUCAUUCUAAGACGAUUUUUACAAAACCGUCUUAAAAUAUUUUUCAUUAUUUUUAAUUAAAUAAAAGUAAACGCACAUGUUCGACUUCCCUUCUCACUCAACACUACACACACAAAUGCGCUUGUUCAAAACCCUAAAAUUCCUCCUCGACUUCCCUUCCUCCAAACUUGAAAACGAUCCCCCUCUCCUCCUCAAACGCCUCAAUUAUCCUUUUAAACUCAGCAAAUCAACUCUUCGUUCUCCUACUCCCUCACCAAUGGCCAACAUUCCUCGCUCUCAUCCACUGCCUCGUCCAAAUCGCCAAAUUCCACAUCCACCUCUCUUCAUCCCCUAAACAAAACAACUCUUUCUACCAAUACACUGUCAACAGAUACAUGCACUUCAUCCACAACGAGGAUGAUGCUAUCGAGGACCUGACCUCGACCGAAACAUCAAGGAGAAGCUCCACCACAUAAAAAGGCCACCACCAAGGAUCACCUCUAAUCCAUGUGCCACAAUGCCGUUGAACUCAAGGCGGAGCUUGAGCGGCUCCGAUCCCCGCCCUCGCUAAAAGAGGCAUUGGAGAAGGAGAAGGCGGUACUGGAGGACGGUGUGAAGAAGCUCCAUAAGAUGAUCAAGGACGAGGACUUAUCAUUGCAGAUCGAACAGGAAGAAAGGGUUUUGGCGGAGAAGGAGAAGCAAGAAAAGGUGAAGGAAGAGAAGUGGAAGCAGAUCUACGAGCUAAAAUGAUGUGUGGAGGCUCAGACGUUCAAUGCUAGGGACGUGGAGAGGAUGAAGAAGGAGUUGUAGGUUGUGAAGAAGGGCACUGCAGAGGUUGAGUUUGCAAGGAAUGCGUUGAAGGAGUAGACGUGUGAUCUCCACACCACUCUCUCACACAAAAUCAAAGACCUCGAGGCUCUUGCCAUGAAGUGCAACCAAGCCCUUAAGAGAUCACUCUCUUAUCACUAAUUCAUUAUCAUUAUUAUCAAAUCAAUUGUGAUUGAUUGGUGUUAUCAAAUAUUGUGGUGUCUUUUGAAUUCAUUAUGAUGCCAACGGUACUAAUUUAGUGAUUGUAGGUUGAAGAUUAGGAACGAAAUACAAUAUCUGCUGAAUUCCAAGGGGACUACUUGUGCUGAGAUAAUGGGAAUUGAUCACAAACUCUCAAUCUGCACUACAAGGCAUUUUAAUGAGGAUGAGGUUCUUAUAUAAUUUCUUUACUUUUUCUUGUGCUAGGUCUUUAUUUCCUGUGUAACUAUUAACCCAUUGCUAUGCCACAGACUUGUUUCUUAUUUCAACAACUCAUAUUUGAGGCCAGCUAUUGUCAUGCAAUGGUAACUAAUCUCCAUAAGGUUGUUCUUUAGUUUUCUUAUGAAGUUGUUUUGUUCUACUAAUAUAGACUACUGUAUUUAACUUUGGUAAGUAUCUCCUUUAGUUAUUAAAAGGUAAUUUUAUUCAUUUGGGUUAUUGGAAGGGACAAUUGUGCAUGACUAUGUGAUGUGCCAUCAUUUUCUUCUAUUUUCUAAACCCUUUUUGCACCAUUUUAAUUACUGAUUGGUCUUAAUUGUCAAUUAAUCAGGCAGUUUUAUUAUUUGGGCUCAUUUAGCUAAUUUGAUGUUUUUAAUCUAAUUUCAGAAAUUAAUGAAACAUUGGGCUUAAUCCGGAUUUUGGUUAUGGACUUGAAGAGGGCAAAUAAAGCAGCACUUACCUUAGUUAAUUUCUAAUUAGGAAAUUUCGCAAUUUUAUUUUAUGUUGUUCAGUGUUUAUUUCGUUUUGGGCCAGAGUAUUGUAAUAGGGCCCAAUGACUUUGAGUGACUCUUUUUAAAUAGCAGCCUUGGGAUUUGUGAAGGCUAUUCGGUUAUGCUAUUCAUUAUUCAGAGCUUUUGUUUUAGGGUUUUACAUUUUCUGCUUUGAUGCUACUGUUCACGUAAUGCAAUUUUACAUUUUCUGCUUCUAAUUACAAUUUCGUUCUUGUUUCUUCUUCUACUUUUAAUUCCGUUUCUGUCUCAUUUACGUUUCUGUUCAUUUACAUUUCUGUUCGUUUACGUUUAUGCUUCAUGUUUCAUUUACGUUUUCUGUUUGAAUCUAUGGAAGGCUAAAUAUUUUGGUGUUGUUUCCUUUUGAGGACGAAGCCCAGCUCUCUUUGAGGUUUCGUUUAUAAUGUGGUUUCCUGGCAGUUUUCCCUUCACCAGUUAACCCAAAUUCGUGAACAUUAAUCAGUGCAUUCUUCGUGUUCGAUUAAUUGCCUCUGAGCCUAACUUGUGUUCAUGCUUAAUGAACGAAGGGCUAACUGGUGUAUGUGGUGCCUAAUCACGUAUUGACAACCCUAAGUUGAUUUUCGCUUAGUAAAUUGAAAUAGGGUUGGAUUAAGUGGUUAACUGUUAGGGGCAAAUUCUCCAUGACCCAGGAUAAGGGAAUGGCUUCUGAAUCAGAGGAAACAAUCCGUUUUUAAUAUUAGUAGUUUCAUAUUCUAGUUUACUUAUUCUACUCUUUAAUCACAAAACAAACAAACCCCCCCCAAUCGUUACUGUUACUGCGCAAGUAUAUUAUGAACAUUUGGUUUGUCAUUGCUCGUUGGGAAACGACCUAGGAUCACUUCCUAGUUACUGCAUUUUCAUGUUUAUUUGAUUCGGGUACGGCCUCGAUCACUAUGAUUGCAAAUCUUUAUUAUCUGAAUUAUUAACUAAGUUUGUGCUUGAUCCAUUCGUUAGAAUUGGGCUUAUCCCAAGUCUAAGGGAUAGAGUGCUAAACCAGAAUGUAGGCUUGAAUGCCAAAACACUCAGGAUUUGAAAAGUGUAUAUUUAUAAGAAGAGGAAAACUAGUGAGAAGAGGACUAGGAGAAUGAUAAGUUCAUUAAGUUGGAAGGUUGGUUGGGGUGUGGGGUGAAUAUAGGGAAAUGGAGGAACUGUGGAAGUUAGUUUUGCAUAUUUUAAAGAAUUUGAAUUGGCAGUCUUCGGUGCUUCAUUCAUAACCUAAGUCAAUUGUGGGAACUCCAGCAUAUAUUGCUCCAGAAGUAUAGUUGAAGCAACAUUAUGAUGGUAAGGUAGAAUGCUCUUUAUAGUUGUGGUCAAUAAAGAUCCAAAAAAAUCAAAAUAUUCUAGUAUGUUAGCUAAUAGUUGACUUAUUUAUUGGAGAAUACAACUUUCCUAUCAACAUUAUUGAUAAAAUAGUUCAAGUCAUAAGGUACUAUGAUUUUAUCUUUAUCUUCUUUUAUUUUUUGACUAAAAAAUUGAAACUAUAAAACUAUAAGGAUGUUGCUUUCUGAGAAUUUCUGGGCAUUUCUUGUGUUUAUGUGAAUAUUGACAUUGUGAGUUGUAUGUAACAUUGGAGCUGAUAGAAGAGCUUAACUAUGAAGGCUCAAGAGUUGAUGUUAAUGGUGGUAUGUUAAUUUUAUAAUCAAUCCAAUUUUUCUGUUUUAUAAAAUCUUCACAAUGUCAUCUCCACAUGUCUUGGAAUAUUAUGAAUAUUAUGUUAAUUUUAUACUCAAUCCAAUUUUCCUAUUUUAUAAUAUUCACUGUAUUUUCUUUCAUAAUGAUUCAACUUGUUGAAAUAUUAUGAAUCAAAGAUAAUUUUGUUCUUUGUAGUUUAGUUUUACACAUGAUACAUAAUACAUAAUACAUUUUAGGCUUUUCAUGUGUCAUAGCCAAUUCCCAUAUAUAUGCUUUUAGGCUUUAGAGCUAUUGUGUGAGAAAAUGGUAUAUAUGAAACCAUUUGUUCUUACCAAAAUUUGGAAUCGUGACACAUCAAGGUGGACGUGGUUGAGUGGGGUCCCGAACUUCACAUGUCGGCUUAGAGAGGUGCCUUUGAUAGAAGGGGGGCCUGCAAAACAAAGGACUCCGACGCUCAAGUAAGAAUGCGCGUUGGGUGAGUAAAGCAAGUAAUGUUGUAAAGUAGCUUGUGUGAGCGAGAUAGAGAGAGGGGAAUAGGAUUGUUGUCGUGUGUUGAGUGUGUGUGAGCAAGUUGUGUAAAUGGGUUUGAUGCAACCUGUAUUUAUAGUAGAUGAGCGAGGAUGUUGAUCCUUGUUUGUAGGGGUUGUUGUUAGCCUUAUAGAUGAGUCCCGACUUAUAGAUAAUAGCCAAGAGCUUAAAGAUAAUGUUAAACAUAAACAUUUGAAUUAAAGAUAAAGGUAGAAGAUAAUCAUACCUUGUAGAUAAUGUGGUGUUAUAGAUAAUUGAAUACCUGCCAAUAGAUAAGAUAUUCAACUACAUUUGAAUAUUAGUUAGGUUAAAGGUAACUUGUUUGUUCGGGAGCUCGACUGCUAAGGGCCAGGUGUCCGUUGUCCUGUAGUAGGACUGACAUGGAGGGUGCACACGUAUCUCUAAGUGCUACAUAGGAUUUGUGGGUCCCCGCAUUCAACCUAGCGUGAGUGAUGGGUCACAGUCGUCCGCCCCUGCCAUUGCUGGCUAUGAGAGGGUAAAGGACAAUGUGCUGAAGUACAGGUCAACCUUGACCUAGCGGCGAGCGUCACUAUGUUUCAGUGCCAGGUAAAGCUGACGAAUGCUGAGGUCUCCUAUAAGCUGGGCAUUCAUGCUUGUGGGAGUGAUGAUUUCCAGUUUCUAAAGGCGGCUCCUGGUUGUCUACCCUUCUAUUUUAUGUACAAGUGCUUGUUGGUCUUGGGUGUUAUUCUACCCUUGACCGCAUUUUAGUGUGCUUUACUGGAGCACUUGAAUGUGGCCCAUUCCUAGCUUCACCCAAACAGUUGGGCAAUGGUAAGAGAGUUUGAAAUUUUGUGUCCUUUCUUCAACAUCCGACCUAGCGUGCCAAUCUUCUUAUUCUUCUUCCAAAUAAAAUUGUCUGGCAAGAUCGGAUGGGUCUCCUUGAACAGUGUCCAAGAAGCUGUUCAAGUUUGACUCAAAUGUCUUUCACCAUUUGAAGGACCAUUUUUUCAAGGUCCUGGAUAUUGAUGUGGUGGCUGAUGGCAUGCCACUAAUGUUCAAUAGGGACGGAGAGUCUUGCUUCCCAUUCUACUAGUAGUCUAAUCCUACCAAAUUCAAGUCAUAUGACGAGGAUCUAUUGACCCUUGUGGAAAGGGUCGACAAAGCAAUUCUGGAGCAGCUAUCGGCCUCGCUGGAUGCACGGGCCAUUUUGUCUCUUCCGUUGACGAGCGAUACUCUCAUUGCCUUGGAUAAUAAGUGUCUAACCUUUUCCUCGUUUGUUGUCUCAGUUGGGCGUCAGCCAAUGUCUAACACGUAUUUGUGUUAUUGUCUUGGUUGUUUGGUAGGAAUAAUAGGUGACUGCGCUUGGAGGCCACUCGUGAAGCAGGUCAGACUUGCGGGUGGGAUCAUGCCGCUGUCUGUUGCUGCUCUGUCUACUGGAAAGGGGAGCCAACUUGCUGGCGAGGUUGGCCCUAGUGCUGAGGUUGCUCCCAAUGUUCCUUCCUCUGUUUUAGCUAAGAGGAAGUGGGAUGAUGCUGUUGGGCCGUCGGGUCACAAGAAGUUGAAGGCCACUAUGAGCCUUUGCGCCCUAAGAUAGCGAGCGGGGUUGAUGCCUAUUACGGGUUGCCUUUCGACCAAGCAGGAUGUGCCUCCAGCUUCACCAGUUGUCGAGGCUCCUACUGCUAUUUUUAUUGAUGUUGUUGUUACUCUUGUUAUCCCUGCUCAUUCACCUUCUCUUGUUGCUGAUAUUGUGAAGGAGGCAGCUUCUGCUACUGCUAAAGUUGUUGUGCCAGCCACUCAGGCUGGUUUUGUUAUGGUUUUGCUAUCCACCGUCGCGACUCCUUUAUUAAGUGUCGGUGUGGAGACCACGGGUGCUUCCACUAUGCCUCCUCCUUUGUCAACUUCAGUGGCUCUUUCUGCUAUUGUCUUGGUAGCUAUGGCAUUGCCUUCUUCAUCCUCGCGUCUUCCUGGAUCAUUUGUACACCUUCAACGAUGUUGAUUCGCUAUGGAGUGCUACUUAUAGGCUAGAGCAGAAGACCCUGACUGGCUUUAGGUCGGCUAGGGUGCUGAAUGCAACUGACUCUGCUAGGGUGUUUCUCCAAAGGAGUUUGGCCAUUCUGGAGGAGAAUGGACUACGACUCCAAGAGGCGGUGCAAAAAGUGCAUCCUUAGAGGCGGUGGUCACCAAGUGGACGGCUACUGCUCGGACUCUAUGGCGAGUGGACCGCCCUAAGGUGGUCAAUGCCACUGUUGUUUUUGCUGAGGCAUAAGGGAAACCGUCAACUAUCUUCCAAGGUUUGUGAUGUUUUGGCCAAACUGCUGCGCACCCGGUUGGAUGGUGAUGACCUAUUCAUACGCUACAAAGUGGAGAGCAUGGCGGCUGAGAAGGACAGCCUUGCCAACAGAAUUGCUAAGCUAGAGGCCUAGCUUAAGGAGUCGGAGUCCUGCCUAGAGGAGUCUAGGUUGCAGGCAACCGACAAAGAGCUUGAAGAGGAGUUGCUCUUGUACAAGAAGGAGGUUGUGGAGCAUCACAAGAAGGACUUUCAAAAGGCUAUCGGACAUGCUGGUUUAUUUGCGAAGGACCUCAACUUGGGUCUCUUCGAUCCCUUCAAGGAUGUGAAGGAUGGCGUCCUGCUUGAUAAGGAGGAGAUUGCUACUGAGGAGGAAGAGGCUGUUGAUGAAGGGUAGAACACUGCGAAGCAAGGCAAUGAUGCCUGUGUAUAGGCUACCUUUGUCUUUAUCUUUUUUCUUCUUUAUGAUGAAUUGGCCGCACAGGCCUUGUAACUAUAACAAUUAUUCUUUAUUUUCUUCAAUGCCCAAAAUUUUCCUUCGAUCAAUUGUGUAUGUAUGUAUGUAUGUUUGUUGCCUUUGUCUUACCAAUGCUCCAUACUUGUGGUAGUAUGAAUAGGCUGUAGACAGUGUAGGAAGCAAGACUUUAUCGCUGUAGACAUAAGACUGUGGUGGUCUUGUAAAGAAUAGAAUGAUGUGAGGUCAUGUCAGGUUUUGAUUUCAACCUGGUUAAAUGUCUUGUCACCCUUCUGGUGGGGCUUCCUUUUGUGGAGCUUCUCCCCUGUUGGUUGUGAAGAGUUGUGUUUGAAUUGCCCCAGGUUGAUGGUUUUGCUCAACCAAUGUGGGGUUAGGUCAUUUGACCUACUGCAUGCUCCCUCUGAUGGUUAUGAGGAAUGAAUGUAAGCUGCACCAGAUUGAAGGUCUUGUCAUGCAAUCGAGUGGUAGGUCGUCUUGACCUACAAAGGUACUCCUUUGAUGGUUGUGAGAAGUAAAUACGGGCUUUGACCUGAUUAAAGGUCUUGCCAAAUGAUGGGGUGGUAGUUCGCUUGGUGGAACUUGGACCCUUGGGUUUUGUAGAAGUGUGUACCAAGGGCAAACCUUGGGUUUUUCAAGCAUGUGUACCAAGAGUGGACCUUGGGUUUUAGAUAAGCCUGUACUCUUGCACAGAUGAAAGUUAGGAAUAGGAAAAUUAUCAAGGGUAGACCUUCUGUACCUUGAGUUCCUGUAGGGAUGGAACUUAGUAAUGGAAAGGGCUUCACCAAGGGUGGCCCUUAGACUUGUCGAGACUAGUACGCAGGGCCUUGGGGAUGACUUUGUUAGCUGCCUCUGCCUGUUUGUCAGUUUGAGGGUGCUCGACAAAGGUGACUAUGGGCUUGAUGCCUAGCCUUGUUAGGAAGUCUUCGUAAGUCUAAGCUUUCAACUGUCGGUGACGAUGACGUAUGGGAGGUCGUACCUACAGAUGAUGUGUUUGUAAGUGAAUUUUUCCACCUCACUGAUUGUGAUUUCCCGUAGUGGUCUUGUUUCUAUCCAAUUGGUGAAGUAGUCGAUGGCGACUAGUAAGUAUUUGAUAGCUCCUGGGGAUUUUUGCAGCAGUCCUAGUAUGUCCAUUUCCCACACGGCGAAGGGCCAAGGGGAGCUCAAACUAAGAAGGUUGUCAGGAGGAACAUGUGGUACAUUUGCAAACUCUUGAUGUUGUCUACAUCUCCUGGUAAAAUCGAGGUGUCUGACCUGAGUGUUGGCUAGAAGUAGCCAGCUCGCACCACGUUGGUGGCUAGUGAGCGUCCUCUGAUAUGGAGACCGUAGAUUCUUUCAUGAAGUUCUCUCAUGACGUAGUAUGCUUGUUGACUAUUUAGGCAUUUGAGUAGGGGUUGUUGGAUCAAGUGGCCUCGAAAUAAUUAAGAAGGGGGGGGGGUUGAAUUAAUUAUUAAUGUGCCUUGACUAAUUAAAAACUUAUCCUUCUUAAUGUUACUAGAUUUAAUUAGGCUUUACUACUAAGUUAUGAAAGUAAAGAACAAUAACUUAACCAAAAGUAAAGCGGAAAUUAAAAGUACACAAUGGAAAUUACAGAGUGUAGGGAAGAAGAAGACAAACACAAGAUUUAUACUGGUUCGGCAACAACCCGUGCCUACAUCCAAUCCCCAAGCAACCACCGGUUCUUGAGAUUUCUUUCAACCUUGUAAAAUCCUUUACAAGCCAAAGAUCCACAAAGGAUGUACCCUCCCUUGUUCUCUUUGAACAACCAAGUGGAUGUACCCUCCAUUUGAACUAAUCCACAAGAGAUGUACGCUCUCUUGUUCUCAGUACAACAACCCAAGUAGAUGUACCCUCUACUUGUACCACAAAGGGUGUACCCUCCAAUGUGUUAAGACAAAGGAUUCUCAGGUGGUUAGUCCUUUGAAUCUUUGUAAGGGGAAACAAAAGAUAUCUCAGGCGGUUAGUCCUUUGAAAUAUUUUGUUUAAGGGGAAGGGAAGAAUCAAAAGAAUUCUCAGGCGGUUAGUCUUUUGAAUUCUCUUGGAAAGAGAGAAGGGAGACACAAAAGAAUUCAGGCGGUUAGUCCUUCUAUUCUUUUGGCAAAGGAAGAACAAGAAGAGAGAUGAGUAGAAAGGAAUUCUUAAAAGUUCUCAAAAAAUUGUUAAAGAGUUGUAAAAAAGUGUUUUUUGAAUGCAAGUCAAGGUCUUACUUUUAUAGACUCUUCAUUCCUGGUCAAGAAAACCAUUGGAAGAGUUAUAACCUUGAGAAAAUCAUGUCAAGAGUUACAACUCUUGACCUUUUAUUCAAAACUUAUCACUGGUAAUUGAUUACCAUAAUCAUGUAAUCGAUUACACAAUGCAUUUUAUGAAAAGUUGUGACUCUUCACAAUUGGAUUUUAAUUCCAACGUUCAGAUACACUUUGAAAAAUAUUUUGGAACGUUGCGAAUCAGUUAAAAAACAUUUUGAAAUCAAAUUUGGUCACUGGUAAUCGAUUACAUGAAACUGGUAAUCGAUUACCAGAGACUAAAUACUCUGGUAACUUAUAAACAUUUUGAGAAAACUCUUUUGUAAAACAAAAUUGUGCUAUGUUUGGAUUUUUGAAAAAUACUUCCCUUGUGAAGUCUUGACUGUUGCUUCUCGAUUUCUUCUCUUGAAUCUUGAAAUCAACUUCUCUUGAAUCUUGAAUCUUGAAUCUUGAUCUUGAUUGUUCUUGAAUCUUGAAUCUUGGAACUUAAUUGUUCUUGAAUCUUGAUUCUUUGAGACUUGAUUCUUGAAGCUUUUUGACUCCUGAUUCUUUGGAACUUGCUUAACUCUUGAUUCUUUGGCAUCAUCAAAAUAAUCUUGGAAGUCAUUGCUUCCACAAUCUCCCCCUUUUUGAUGAUGACAAUCCUGAAAUCAAGAGGAUACAUACAAGUUUUGUUCUACCAUUCAGUCAUCUCUUUCUCCCCCUUUCAUUUUGAAUUUAUGCUUAAUUUUAAAGCUUUGAAAAUAUAAUAUCUUGAUUUCUAAAAUACCCAUUUUUCUCUCCCCUUUUGGCAACAUCAAAAAAAGCCAAAGUGUGUAAAACAUGAAUAAUUUAAUCAUACACAAAGCAUAAUUUGUAAAACAAACAUAAAAGAUUCUAAAACAUACAUAAAGCAAAACAUGAAUAAAACCAAAUUGAAAUGCAAACCUCUUAGUCAUAUAUCACAAACCAUCAAUAUCAUGUUCAAUCAUACUAAGCAAAUAUUAAAAGAAAUACUAAGUGUUCAAAUGUCAUAAUAAUAUAGCCAAAUACGUGGCUAGAAAUCAAAAUACUAAUAAUAAUAGUAAUGUCUAAACUGAUGGUGGUGGUGGAGGUAAAUCAAGGCAGUCGCGAAUGAUGGUGACAUCUUCUUCAACCUUUGUGAUCCUUGAGUCCAUUUCAUCGAACUGUGUGUCCACUUAUCGUUCCAAAGCAUCAAACCUUUCACCAACAUAGGUUUGAAGUCCAUCAAACCUGUCCAACAUACUCUAAAGGAAAGAAGAAUCCUCUCCUACUAGUAGGUGUCCUCCAUCAUCAUUAGGUUGAGCACCCUUUUUUACCCAAGAGCCAUCACGCUCUUUGUGGUAACCAAAAGAUGCAAUCACAGCAACACCGAUCAAGAAGGAUCUCUUGAUUGGAACAUAAGGUUCAGAAUCAAGAGGGGUGUUAAAAUGUUGAAGGAAAAGAGUGACUAAAUGAGGAUAGGGAAAAUGAGCAUUUAAUCGUAAUGUCUUAUGCAUGUGAUACCGGACUAGGUGUGCCCAAUCAAUUUGUCGACUGGUAUGAAAGGCCCACAUGACUAUAAGAUCUUCUUCAGAAACCUGUGCAAGGUUUAAAGAUCUUGGGAGUAAGAUACGAACAAUAAGAUAGUGAAGGAUGCGGCUUUCAAGAGCCAAUGAAUCGACAAGCAGCCUUUCGGUCAUAUCCGCUUGGUUGGUGCAAACCAACCGGCGGGCAUCAUGCACAUAAAAAUCAAACUUCCAAUCAUCGUCCAGUGCACCUUCAAAUGGUACACCGUCACUAGACAAUUGGGUCAAAUCAUAGAAGAGGGAUUGGUCAAUGACCAUCUUUAUCCCAUAGACCUCAGAAAUCAAGGUACUUUCUUGAAUUUCAAGGUUAGAAUAAAAGACUUUUACCAAUUCAUAAUACAUAGACAGUUUUAAGGACAUAAAGGGAAUAAGAUUUGAGUUAUGAAAUGCAUGAAUGCAUUUGAAACUCUUAUCAGAAAAGAAAUCCAUAUCUAUGAACUUAGGGUCAAUGAUAGAAUGAGAGGAGAAGAGGUUUGUGUACCGUGUACGUUGUUCUUUCGAUGAGAACAAUGAGGAUGAGGAAAUGGAGGAAGGAAUUGGAGUAUCCUGAGCCUCGGAGUGUCGUUGGCUUCUACUUGAAGAACCCUUGCGCUUGUUCGAUGGUUCCGCCAUUUGAGAGACUUAUUCGAAAUUUCAAUUGGUUGAAAUGAAAGAGGAUGAAAAAACAUGAAUUUUGGGCUUUGUGGGACGUGAUUUGGAUAAGAAAUGAGUAAGUUAUGGCAGAAAUACAAAUUAGGAACGAGGGUUUGUGAAAGGAAUGAGAGGUUUCAGAUUUCAGAUUUUGAAAUCUGAAUUUAUAAGAGUAGGGACACAUUGUAAUCGAUUACAACAUUUGGUAAUCGAUUACACUCUUCCUGACUGUCUGUAAUCGAUUACAAUAUUGUAGUAAUCGAUUACCAGAGAACAUUUUAUCAAAACUAAAUGCUGAAUGAAAUCUUAGGGUGAAAGGAUUUGAAAGAGGGUCAAAAUACUUUAUAUAUAUAUAUAUAUAUAUAUAUAUAUAUAUAUAUAUAUAUAUAUAUAUAUAUAUAACGUAAUAGAUUUUUGAACAACUUUUUGAAUGAUUUUUUUAAGCAAGUAAUUCACAUAUCAUACACAAAAUCAUGCAAGAAUCAUAAACACCAUCAAAUAUUUGUUUUCAAAAGAAUAGACUUCAUGCUUUGAGAAAAGAAAAAAUAACUCAAUCAAACAUAUUAGCAUAAACUCAUUAUAGCAAUCAAACAAGACAAACAAAUAAAAUUUUGUUAGUCAUAAUAUAAACAAGUUAAAUGAAAGAAAAAUUUCAAUCAACUUAAUUUAAAAGAUAAUGGUUUUGAUGUUACCUUUUUCAUGAUUCAAGUGCUUAGAUCUUUAAAGAUGAAAGCCAGACUUUUGUUUUUCAUACUUAAACUUUUUGAGAGAUGUUCUCAUCACUUUCAUAGUCCUUGGAUAGAAGGUUGAUCUCCUUCUCUGAACCAUCGGAUGAGUCAUUGUCAUCCCAAGCAAUAUACACCUUCUUGGAUCUUCUUUCUUUAUAGCUUUUCUUCUCAUUCUUCUCGGGCCAUGACUCAUUUGAGGGGCAGUUUGCCUUUAUGUGACCAGGUUGAUUACACUUAUAGCAUUUAAGUGUAGGAGAAACUUCUUGGGAUCUCUUCCCAUUGUUGAAGUUAUGGCUUCUCUCCAUUCUUCUAUUUUUGACGAAUUUAUGAAACUUCUUCACAAAGAGUGAGAAGUCCUCUUCAUCAUCAGAUUCUUCUUCUUCUUCUUCUUGCAUUGAGGAGGAGGCUUUGAGUGCUAUGCUUCUUUUACUUUUGCCUGUCUCUUCAUUUUGGUUGAGACGUUGAAGUUCCAUUUCAUGUUCCUGUAAUUUGCCAAACAAAGUGGCAAGAGACAUAGAGGAAAGAUCUUUACUUUCAGAAAUGGCAGUUACCUUGGGCUGCCAUUCCCUACUUAAGCAUCUCAAAACUUUAUUAAUUAAAUCUUCAUUAGGGAAGGUUUUUCCUAAGGAGGCAAGAUGAUUGACUAUGUGUGUGAAUCUUUUCUGCAUACUUUGGAUGUUCUCAUUAGGGUUCAUCCUAAAUAAUUCAUAUUCAUGUGUAAGGGUAUUGACUCUAGAUCUUUUCACAUUAGUGGUUCCUUCAUGAGUAAGUUGUAGUGUAUCCCACAUCUCCUUGGCAUUUGAAUAGUUUGACACUCUAAAAUAUUCAUCUAUUCCUAGGGCAGAAGUAAUGAUAUUUUUGGCUUUAAGAUUGUAUUGAAUUUUUCUCCUAUCUUCCUCAGACCAUUGAUCUCUAGGUUUUUCUAAAGCACUCACAUUGGUUUCACUAGUACUUUCAUUUACUAUGGUAGGGAUGAAAGGUCCUAACUCUAUUGCUUCCCAAAUGUUGUAGUCUAUGGCUUGAAUGAAAAUUUGCAUACAGGUCUUCCAAUAAUGGUAACCCUCACCAUUGAAGAUAUGUGGCCUAUGGAUGGAGUUUCCUCCCAGAAAUAGAAAAUUUGAGGAGGCCAUGAAUCUUGAAGUUGUGAAACUUUUCUCAAGAUACCUUCUCUGAUACCACUUGUUUGAUCAAGUGGCCUCGGAAUAAUUAAGAAGGGAGGGUUGAAUUAAUUUUUAAUGUGCCUUGACUAAUUAAAAACUUAUCCUUCUUAAUGUUACUAGAUUUAAUUAGGCUUUACUACUAAGUUAAGAAAGUAAAGAACAAUAACUUAACCAAAAGUAAAGCGGAAAUUAAAAGUACACAGCGAAAAUUAAAGAGUGUAGGGAAGAAGAAGACAAACACAAGAUUUAUACUGGUUCGGCAACAACCCGUGCCUACAUCCAGUCCCAAAGCAUCCACCGAUUCUUGAGAUUUCUUUCAGCCUUGUAAAAUCCUUUACAAGCCAAAGAUCCACAAGGGAUGUACCCUCCCUUGUUCUCUUUGAACAACCAAGUGGAAGUACCCUCCACUUGAACUGAUCCACAAGAGAUGUACCCUCUCUUGUUCUCAGUACAACAACCCAAGUAGAUGUACCCUCUACUUGUACCACAAAGGAUGUAUCCUUCAAUGUGUUAAGACAAAGGAUUCUCAGACGGUUAGUCCUUUGAAUCUUUGUAAGGGGAAACAAAAAUGAGUAGAAAGGAAUUCUUAAAAGUUCUCAAAAAAUUGUUAAAGAGUUGUAGAAACGUGUUUUUGAAUGCAAGUCAAGGUCUUACUUUUAUAGACUUUUCAUGUUUGGUCAAGAAAACCAUUGGAAGAGUUAUAACCUUGAGAAAAUCAUAUCAAGAGUUACAACUCUUGACCUUUUAUUCAAAACUUAUCACUGGUAAUCGAUUACGAUAAUCAUGUAAUCGAUUACACAAUGCAUUUUAUGAAAAGUUGUGACUGUUCACAAUUGGAUUUGAAUUUCAAUGUUCAAAUACACUGGUAAUUGAUUACCAAUAUAGUUUAAUCGAUUACACCAUUUAAAAAAUAUUUUGGAACGUUGCAAAUUAGUUAAAAAAUAUUUUGAAAUCAGAUUUGGUCAUUGGUAAUCGAUUACCAGAGAGUAAAUACUCUGGUAACUCAGAAAAUUUUUGAGAAAACUCUUUUGUAAAACAAAAUUAUGCUAUGUUUGGAUUUUUGAAAAAUACUUCUCUUGUGCAGUCUUGACUGUUGCUUCUUGAUUUCUUCUCUUUAAUCUUGAAAUCAACUUCUCUUGAAUCUUGAGUCUUGAAUCUUGAUCUUGAUUGUUCUUGAAUCUUGAAACUUGAAACUUAAUUGUUCUUGAAUCUUGAUUCUUUGAGACUUGAUUCUUGAAGCUUUUUGACUCCUGAUUCUUUGGAACUUGCUUAACUCUUGAUUCUUUGGCAUCAUCAAAAUAAUCUUGGAAGUCAUUGCUUCCAUAGGGGUGUGGUCAACCCUCUUUUGAAUAGCUCGCCAUCAAGGAUGGCGUAGUAGCUGGCCUUCUGUUUGAUGCGUUGAGCUUUGUCCUUGUUUGGUAGUAGGACCCCUUGAAUUAAGAAGUUCUUGUAAAGGAUCAUCCAUUUUGGUUCCUUCUCUUCUCCAGCCAUAAUUUCCUCAACAUCUAUGGUGGGAUUUUGGAGUAUCUCCUAGAUGACGGUCUUGAGGUGCCCGACCUUCUUGGUGCUGGAUAGCUUGGAGAGUAGGUCUGCUCAGGUAUUGUUUUCCCUGGUGAUGUAGUACAUUUUGAAACAUUCUAAAUUGUUAAUGAGAGACAUUGGUAUGUGAUAGUACUUGAGUAGAACUUUUUCCUUGGUCUAGUAUGUGUUGGCAACCUGUCCUUGGACAAGCUGAUGGAAGUUUGCUUGAGAAUCUUCUAUGGAUGCUGGAUCUUUGAGCUUCACUAAAGUCCUUCAAUGGUGAUUUUCAGCCAUGGAGAUGCAACAGAAGAUAAAGGAAAAGAGGUGAGAGGAGGCGUUAUCCACUAGGGAAUAAGCCAUGGAAGGAGAAGCUUCACCACCAAGAGAGUGCCUUGGGUAAAAAGCAUAGAGAGGAAGCUUCAAUGGAAGAAGAGAAUGAGGGAGAGAGAGAGAAAGAAAGUAAAAGGAAUGGAAAGUUGAAGGAAGAAAAGGAGGGAAGUUGAACUUUGAAGUGUGUCUCACAAGACUCUCAUUCAUCAAAGUUGCAACAAGUUUUAUACAUACUUCUAUUUAUAGCCUAGGUAGCUUCCUUGAGAAGCUUCCUUGGGAAUCUAGUGUUAAACCCCUCCAAUAGCUAAGCUCACCCCCAUGCCAAAAUACAUAAAGGAAAAAAGCUUCCUUGAGAAGCUUCCUUGGGAAGCAAGUGUUACAUCCCUCCAAUAGCUAAGCUCACCCCUCCCCUAAAAUACAUGAAAAUAUAAAAAAAAAGUCCUUACUACAAAGACUACUCAAAAUGCCCAAAAAUACAAGGCUAAAACCAUAUACUACUAGGGUACUCUUAACUUGUAGGCCAGGGUGCCCUUGAUUUGUAGGGUCCCCUAUAAACCUAUAAUAGCCAAAAUACAAGGCCCAAAAGAAGGAAAACAUAUUCUAAUAUUUACAAAGAAAAGUGGGCUCAUAUGUAAACCAUGGGCCCAAAAUCUACCCUAAGGGUCAUGAGAACCCUAGGGCCUUCUCUUGCACCUCUAGCCCAAUCUUCUUAGAGUCUUCUAUCCAAUGCCCCUGGGGGGUAGGAUUGCAUUAUCCCCUCCCCUUUGAAAAGGAUUUGACCUCAAAUCUAGAGGUUCUUGAAACUCUGGGCUUCUUCCCUCAACACCUGUAAAAAAAAAUAAAAACAUAUAUAUUAGUGGGGUUGGGUAUGCUAUAGGGUAAGUUCUGAAAACCCCUUUCCUAGGCAUCUUGCCAUGCGGGAACAUGGUUCCUCACCAACUCAAUGAGUGGUGCUACAAGUAUAGAAAAAUAUGGGACAAACCUUUUGUAAAAGUUUGUUAAGUCACGGAAGCCCCAAAUUUCCCUUAUACUUGGUGGAGUGGAUCACUCAGGAAUGACCUUUAUUCUCUUAGGGUCCGUGGGAACCCCUUGAUUAGUAUUUAAAAAAUUAAGGAAAGUAAUGCAAUAAAACAUACCUUUUCCUAUAUUUUCUUGUUGAUUACUCCUACCAAAAAGUAUGACAAACCUAAGGUGUCCCAUAUGAGUACCUAGGUUUGUAUUGAAACCAAAAAUAAGAACAAACCUACCUAAUGAAUCCCUAUGUGUAUGAAUCAUGAAGAUGUUGGAUGCAUGUGUGAUUUUACAAAAGAAGGUUGCACCACUCGACACAUUCAUCAUACCACCUAUCAUAGGGAUUUGGUGCCUCAUAAUACCUAUUUUGGGCACCAACAAAGCACGAGGAUUUAAGCUCUUACGAACCAAACCAUCAUCCAACAACUCCUUUACGUGAGGAAUAACCUCAGGCUCAAGAGGUAUGGCAGUGCUAAGGGAUGUUUCCCUUGAUAAGAGAUGAUGGAAAGAUUGUUUAAGAAAGAGUGCUCUUUUGAUAUCACCUUUUUUUUUUCAAAAUGAUUCUCCUUCUUAAUAAUGUUCUUGGAGGAAUCCUUUUCCUCUUUUUCCUUCCCCUUGGCCUUUGAAGACAAGGCCUUACUAUCCUUUUUUUUCUUUUAUUUUUCUUCCUCAUCCCUCUUAUCAUCUUUGGGCUUAGAAGGUGUAGCCCAUAAUAUUCCUUGACCUUGGUCUUCCUUUGGAUAAGAGUGAGAGCCAUAAGAUUUUGAAGUAGGCUUCCUUUUAAGUUGUUGUUUUACCCUUAUGCAAAGUUGGACUAGAUCAUCUAGGUUCCUAUAUGGAAGGAGCUCAACCUUGUCCCUCACUUCCAUAUUAAGUCCACUAAGGAACCUAACAAUACUUGUUCUUUCCUCCUCCCUAAGCCCAACUCUCAAAAGGAUUAGCUCCAUUUGUUGCCUAUACUCUUCAACACUCACACUCCCUUGUCUAAGCUUUUGGAGCUUGUUCAUAAGCUCCCUUUCAUAGUAGGAGGGGAUGUACCUCUUCCUAAGGGCACCUUUCAAGUCAUUCCAAUACUUUACUGGAGGAUCCCCAUGAAUCCUUCUUUCCCUAACAAGGGAAGUCCACCAAUAGAGGGCACACCCUUAAAAGCUAAGGGUAGCCAAAGGAACCUUCCUUUCCUCACUUGUAUGAUGGAAGGCAAAGAGUUGUUCAACCUUCAUUUCCCAAUCUAAAUAAGCCUAUACAUUUUACUUCCCAUGGAAGUAUGGGAGGUUAAUGUUAGCCUCUUGAGGCUUUCUAUCCUUUUCUCUCCUAUGGGAGUGAGGUCCAGGAUGUCACCUAUGUCUUCCUCUAUAAUAGUCACUAAGUUCUUCACUUAGGCUCUUGCAAGAGUCAUGACUACUAUAGGAGGCAUGUUUUUCAUUUCUUAACUAUUUUAGUAUUUUCCUUCUUUCUUCUUUCCCUUAUUUGUUCCCUCUCAUCUUGACUUAUUUCUACCCUCUCUUUUCCUUUUUCUUUUCUUCUAGUUUUUCUUUCCAUUACUUGAGGGAACUCAACUCAUCUAAUAUUCUAGAUAAAGGGUCCUAAUAACUAGUACCCUCACCGUUAACACUAGAUGAAUGAUGACUCAUGUUGGUUCCUAAGUUGUGGUUCUUUCUUGUUGGGGGUUUGAAAAAGGUAAAAUCUAGGGUUCAAAAGAACUCAAGAUAAGCAUGAUAAGCAAGAAGAAAUUAUUAUGCAAUAACAAGAUAAACUAGGUGGGACUAGUAAAGAAAAUAAGUUGUGAAAGUAAACAAGAAAUUAAAGUGAAAGAAAUGUAAACUAGGUGGAUCCUAAGAGUGUUUGGAUGACCUCAUUUAAGGUUCCCAACAAAACACUCACUAUCCUAAAGGAAAAUUGCCUAGAAUUAUUACACACAAAUGGAAGUAGGGUGACCAAUUGGAGGCUCCCAACUUACUUCCAAUGAAAGGCCUUUUUGUUACAAAAUUUGAAAGAAAUGAAGGUAAACGUACAAGUGUCCAAUUACAAGUAAGUUGCCAGUUACAAAAUUACAAAAAAAGGUCCUCAAUUUUGGUGGCUAUUCUCUCUUUGGUGUUUCACUCAAUUUGGAGUGCUUCUUAGUCCAAUAGCUCUUAAGGUGGUUGGUCCCUUGCUUCUUGACUCAAAUUCUUCAAUGGAUGGCACCAAUCCUUCUUUCCAAUUCCCUAUAUGGCAACUCACAAACAAGGAAACAAAGAGACAAGCAAUAACCAAAGACCAAAAAAUGAAAUGAAAGCUAAACCAAUAGAGUUUUAGCAAGAAAAAUUUUCAAGGAUUAUUCAACAAUUAAAGAAAUUAAAAGCACAUAAAAGCAAACUAGGACUCUAAGAGAAACCUAGAAUGACUUUAGAGUAGAGUAAAAAAACUAUAUAAAAAAAAGACUCAAGAAACCUCUAGUUUUGGCACUUGUCUUCACACUACUUUUCACCUGAAAUUUCAGAACUAAGAUUGGUCUAAAAUAGGCACUAAUUAUAGAACAAAUUUUGAGCCAAAACAACAAGCACAUUUUUCUUUCACUUCUUCUUUUUUUUACUUUUUCUGGAUACUGAUUUUCCUGCCAACUUGUAUGAUUUUUCUUAUUUUUUUCAUUUUAUCCAAAUCACUUUGUUCUUUUCUUAAAAAAUUUAGUCCAGAUGUCUAGAAAAUUCAGUAAAAAUGUCAGCUCAAAAUUCGCAGUGACCAAUUCCCAGUAAUUUUUACAAGUUCGUAUGUUCAAGCUGCUAGCACAAGCGAUUUCGGACUUCGAAUUUUUUGAGCAUGGUAUAUUGAUUACCUUAGGCUUACUUUCAACUUUCCUAUGUAUGUUAAACUCACUAGGCUUGUUUACCACAGUUUUAGGAGUUCAACAUUCACUUAGGAUCAAAAUUUCAGCCAGCAAUUCAAUCACCAAAACUCAACUUCACAAUAGACACAAUAAUAAGGAAACCUAAAAGUUCAAGAAAAGGUUCAUAAUCAAAGACUCUCUAAGAAUUUUGCAUGAACAUGUUAAGGACUAAUUAACAUGCAAGAUUCGAAUCGAAUCAAAUAAUAGGCUAAAAUAAUUCAUACACUUGCGAACAAACGAGUUAGACAAAGAAACAAGAAAAAUAAAAUUCAGCACAACAUAAGGAAUCUUAUGUGACAAGUUUCAUGACUUCUAUGACAAAACUACAAUAGGUGAACAUGUCACUCUAGAUUUUUGAGUUUUUCUUCUACUUUAAUGUUUUUGUAAGAAUUUUAUGGUUUGAGUUUCAGCCACAAAAAAAUAGCAAGACAAAACUCAAAGGAACCUAAACUCAACACAAUUCAUGGAUCUAGAACAAGAACAAGAAAUUUUAACCAUAGGAAAUCAAAUCUAGCUUCUAUAGCAAGUUUAAUUGGUGGAAAUUCUAAAGAAUCACGUUAACAACAUUCAACACAAGACAUGUGAGAAAAUACAUGGAGAAAAAUGAAGAAACAACAAUGGAGAUUAAUGGAGGUUUAAGGAGCACCUACUUGAAGCUCUUGUGCUCUGAUAUCACUUGAUGGAAGCUUGCUUGAGAAGCUUCUAUGGAGGCUGGAUCUUUGAGCUUCACUAAGGUCCUUUAAUGGUGAUUUUCAUCCAUGGAGAUGCAGCGAAAGAUAAAGGAGAAAAGGUGAGAGGAGGCACCAUCCACUAGGGAAUAAGCCAUGAAAGGAGAAGCUUCACCACCAAGAGUGUGCCUUGGAUAAGAAGCUUAGAGAGGAAGCUUCAAUGGAGGAAGAGAAUGAGGGAGAGAGAGAGAGAGAGAGAGAAAGUAGCAUGGAAAGUUGAAGGAAGAAAGGGAGAUAAGUUAAGCUUUGAAGUGUGUCUCACAAGACUCUCAUUCAUCAAAGUUGCAACAAGUGUUAUACAUGCUUUUAUUUAUAGCCUAGGUAGCUUCCUUGAGAAGCUUCCUUAGGAAGCUAGUGCUACACCUCUCUUGGUGCUUCUUUUCCUCUUGUACUAGGGUUGAGCUGACGACUUUGUCAACUACUGAGAGAUACAAGAGCAGGGGUGCUCUCAUCCUGGGUCGACUCAAAACUGGAGGUGUGGCUAUGAUCUUCUUGAAAGCCAAGAAGGCAUGUUCAAAAGUCUCAUCCCAUGAGAAGGGCUCAGUCUUUUUGAGCAGUUUGUAAAAUGGUUUCGUUUUUUCGGCGAGCUUUGGUAGGAACUUGAAUAGGGAUGUUAACCUACCGUUGAGCUUCUGUACUUUUUGGACAUUGGUUGGGCUAUGCAUCUCUAGUAUGGCAGUGCAUUUAUUGGGGUUGGCUUCAAUCCCCCGGUGUGUGAUCAUGAAGCCCAGGAACUUGUUGCAUCCUACCCCGAAAGUACAUUUUUCAAAGUUGAGGUGCAUGUUGUAUUUGCGUAGUUCCCCGAAGACUUCUUCCAGGUCCGCCACACGUUAGGGUAUGCUUUAAGACUUGACAACCAUGCUGUCCACAUAUACCUUGACGUUUCAUUCAAUCUGUUGUUUGAAGACUCAGUCCAUUAGUCAUUGAUAUGUCGCACCUACAUUUUUAGGUCGAAUGACAUGACCUUAUAGUAAAAGUUGGCAUCUUUAGUUAUGAAUGUCAUUUUCUCCUCGUCUGGAGGAGGCAUUCUAAUUUGAUUGUAUCUUGAGUAGGUGUCCAAAAAGCUUAGCACCUGGAAUCCAGAGGCUCUGUCAACUAACUUGUCGAUGUUGGGGAAAUGGUACGCGUCUUAGGGACAUGCCUUGUUCAGAUCAGUGUAGUCGGUGCACAUUCGCCAUUUUAUGUUGGCCUUUUUUACCAUGAUGACGUUGGCAAGCCAGGUGAAAAACCUGACCUCUUUGAUGAAGUUGGCAUGGAGGAUCUUGUGAACUUCUUCUUUGACGGCUUUACGCCGCUUUUCUCUCAUCUUCCUUUUCUUCUGUGAUAUAGAUUUGGCCUGGAGGCAGAUAGCUAGUUUGUGGCAAAUUAUGCCAAGAUGGAUCCCUAGUAUGUCAAAUGGCUGCUAGGAAAAUAAAUAUGCAUUUUUGCAUAGCAUGUCGGCGAUGCGCUGGUGCUCAUAACUAGUGAGGUCCCUACUAAGCCGAGUGCACUACCCCGGUCUAGGUCUGAGUUACAGCUGUACAAGCUCUUUGAUGGGUUUUAGGCCUCUGUCAGAGGUGUCGUCUUGCGGAUCUAUGUCAAAUUCACCAUCCAGGCUGGCUUGGUAGACGGUUAGAGCUCGGAUUAGAGACCCUUCAUCCACUGUCAUGACUUAAGUGCUUCCAACCACUAUGGGAUGAGGCAUGGUCGGCUCCCGGAUGGGAGGAUAUGAUGCUAUCUUCAGGCUCUAUGCAUAGCACUAGCAUGCUUGCUUUUGGUUAGACUUGAUGGUUAUAAUCUCCCUUAUCAGUGUAGGGAAUUUCAUUGUCAGAUGGGGAGUGGAGACUAUGGCUCUAAGCUUGUUGAGUGUCUUUCUGCCGAUUAAGGCAAAGUAUGAUGUGGCAGCGUCAACCAGUAGAUAUAUGAUGGUGAAACUCUUGGGGAGCUUGCCCUGACCGAAAAUAGUUUUUAAGUCCAUGUAGCCUCUGGUCUCGACUAUCUCGCCUGCAAAGCUGAGGAGUCGACUAGCAUGAGGGUGGACAGUGUCAGAUGAAACCUUAAGUCUCUGGAAGGUUUUUCAGUACAAGAUAUUAGCGAAACUUCCCUAGUCGAUGAGGACCCUAGACAUUAUGAAGUUCACUAUGAUGAUGGAGACAACCACAGGGUCUUCUUGGUUGACGGGAUUGAUGCCUUUGAAGUCCUUUUUCAGUAAAAGUGAUAGGAGGGAGACUUCACUCCAAGGGAGGGUCAACAAAGUUAAUGUCGAUGUCCCGAAUAGCGUAUAGGUGCCAUUUUUGGGACUAGCUGGAUUGUCCUCCAUAGGAAAAGCCGUCAGUGAUGGUGUUGAUUACACCUCUAAUGUGCUGGGCGGGUUCCUGUUUUGGUGGGGGUGGUCAAUCGCGCCAUUGUGGCUAUUGUCUUUGUCUGCCUUGAUCUUCUACUCUUCUCCUGUCUGCUUCCUAACUCCUAUGUUGUUCUUCUUGGUGUUCUCUAGGUCUUGCUCCUGCUUGGUGGUUGCCUAGUCUCUUGACAAAUCGGGCUAGGUACCCAGCUUAUAUGAGUUCUUUGAUCUUGUCCUUCAGGGCCCAGCAGUGUUCGGUGUUGUGACCAAUACCGCGGUGAUAUCGAUAGUAUCUGAUUGCGUCUGACCCUCGCAUGGGAGGUUUCAUCUGGGGUAGCCGGAUGGGUACCUCCAGGUUGAAUGCUUCCUCGAGGAUCAUGGUACGAUUGACCGUUAGGGUGUGUAACGCUCAUACCUGGGCCUUUUGGAGAGAGGCUAGCUCUUGUCUAGCUUGUGCCUCUUGUCCAACUUGUGCAAGUUGGCCUUGAAGUAUUUUUUGCACUUGUCACACUUUUAUCUGACUUGGCGGACUUCAUUCCAGAAUCUAGACAUUUCUUUCAUCUGGAUGUAGCCCUUAGCUCGUUCAUGCAGCUCGUCCAUGCUACCAGGUGGUUUUUUGCACAGAUUGUGUGCGAACUUGCUGGGGCGUAAGGCGAGGAGCAUGGAAUGAAACACUACCUCAGGAUUGAGAUUUUUGAUCUGGACAACCAUGCACCCAAAUCUGUCCAUGAACUUUCUGAGGAACUUGUCGUCUGCUUGUCGCAGAUUGGCCAAGGCGGCCAAGGUCAUGCGGUGAGACCAGCUAUUGGCCUACUACACACUGAAUCAUUUGACGAAGGUGUCGAAGGUGUCUAUGGACCUAGGUGGGAGUUCAUUGUACCAGGUCAAUUCUGCUCCCUUGAGAGAUGUAGGGAAGACAAGACAUAGAAUCGCGUCGUCGUUGGUAUAGAGGUUCGCAUGUGUUAGGAAGGCAUCCAGGUGCUCAUCUGGAUUUGUUGUCCCAUUAUACCGCUCGAGGUUGAGUGGUUUCCACCCUAAGAGUAUGUCUGCCUCCAUAAUGCGAUCGAUAAAAGGAUGUUGACAGACAGUCCGUGCUACUGGACAGUGCAUGUAGGAGGGACUUAGGUUGUUUGCACUGUUGUUGAUGCGUCGGGGGUGUGAUUCGCCUUGGGUUCGUUCAGGCAAGGUGUGGGUGGAUUGCUCAUCGCUCUGGGAACGUCUGACACAAGCCUCUAGUUGGUCAUGGUCAGCCUUUAGCCUUGUCAACUCUUCCUUUUGGCGUCGCUCCAUCUCCGCAAUAUGGUUUUGGAGUUGUUGUAGAUUGUUUGGGUCUGUCAUAACUAUCGAAUGAGGAGGGGAGUCUGCGAAGGGAGUCUCAUGCCUGAGGCCAAACUGAGUGCUAACCAUGGAAGGAUGUGAGAGGACUAAUUGUUGACCAAGUGGCCUCAAUAACUUAAGAGGGGGUGAAUUAAGUUUCAAAAUUUUCCUACUAACAAACUUAAACCCCCUUUUAAAUGAUAGACUUAGAAUGUAGAAGAAGAAGAAAAAGCAAUCAAUUUAACAAUGUUCUUUUAAAUGCCCAAGAUAAAGUAAACUGCAAUGAAAUAAAUGAGAUAAGGGAAGAGAGAAAUGCAAACUUGAUUUAUACUAGUUCGGUCAUUUCCCGUGCCUACAUCCAGUUCUCAAGCAACCCACUUGAGAUUUUCACUAACUUUGUAAAAAACCUUUUUACAACUUCUGAACACCCAAGGAAUCCCUUUCCCUUGUGUUCAGGAAACUCAUAAUUCAAGAGACAACCAAUCUCUUGAUUACAACCAACUUUCUAAGAUGAACAGAAAAAUUUCUCUCCUUUAGAGUGGAUAAUACAAAUUGAAGUUUCUAAAGGAAUUUCUCUCUUUUAGAGAUGAUAAUACAAUUUGAAGUUCUUGGAUGAACUCUUAAUAGAUUUGCAUGUGUUUGCCCAAGAGUUGUUGAGAGAGCAUUUGGCAAUGAAGUUUUCUUAGAAUAUCUCUCUCUUGCUUUUCGAAGUCAGACACACAUAUAUAUAGGCUCUUCGUGCCUUUUCAAAAUGGUUUGGAGAUAUGUGUCUUUUCAAAAAGCUUUUUAUGAAAUUUUUCACUGGUAAUCGAUUACACAAUUAUAUUUUGAAGGGUCAUGACUUUUCAAAUUGAAUUUCAAAGAGUUUCGUUGUUGGUAAUCGAUUACACAUCAAUGGUAAUCGAUUACAACUUUUAAAUUCAAAUUUCAAAACCCUUUUAAAAGCUUAUUUUUCAAAAUUGUCUUCUGGUAAUUGAUUACACUGCCUGGUAAUCGAUUACCAGAGCCUUGAUCUCUUGGGAACACUUUGUUUUGAGACAAAAGCUUGAUCUUGAAUUAAUCUUGAAGCAAUGCUUUUCUGUUGAAGCAACCUUGUAUUAUUCUUGAAGCAAUGCUUAACCUUUGAAUGUUUGUUGAAGUAAUCUUGUAAGCAACCUUGUUUGAUUAUUUUUUGGCAUCAUCAAAAUCAUGUAUUCAUACAUUCACAUUCUCUCCCUUUUUUAUGAUGGCAAUCAUUAUCAAGCAAACUCUUUUUGGCAUCAUCAAAACCUGCAUGAUUCACACUGAUGAGAGGCCACUGCGUAUGUUUUACCGUGGUCCCACAGUGGGUGCCAAAUGUUUUUGCCAAAAUUCAGAACUGUGACACGUCAAGAUGGAUGUGGUUGAGUAGGGUCCCGAACUUCACACGUCAGCUUGGAGAGGUGCAAGAUAGUCAUACCUUGUAGAUAAUGUGGCGUUAUAGAUAAUUUAAUACCUCUCAAUAGAUAAGAGAUUCAACUACAUUUGAAUAUUAGUUAGGUUAGAGAUAACCUGUUUAUUGGGGAGCUCGGCUGCUAAGGGCCAGGCAUCCACGCUCUUGUAGCAAGGCUGAUGUGGAGGAUGGACAUGUUUCUCUAAGUGCCACGUAGGAUUUGUGGGUCCUGGAUAGUACACCAUUAAUUCAUGGGCUUCCAUGUAAGCUUAAGCUUGUAGGGGAGUUAGUCCUUAGCAUGGUAUUGAAACUUAAGCAAUUUGGUGGUGGAGCUACAGUGGAGCAACGAGGAUUAGACUUGUGACCACUUGGUGACAAAGGCUCUCAAGGAUAAGACUUGAUGUUGAGAUCGAUUGAGGUUAGUAUGACACCACUUUUGGCAUUGUAGGGUGUGAAGGUAACUGGGUGCCUUUGAGACUUCAAGCUUCUCUUGCACCACAAAGAACGAGCAUGUGUUGUUGUCACUGCUUGAAAUUGUUAGGCCUCCACCUUUGCCUUUGAACACUGACAGAAUGUAGUACUUGACACCUAUUCUCAGCUUGUGACUUGAGGUGUCAAGCACUACUUCUGGUGCUGCUUCAGCAAUGCCAAUAAAGGGUUCUAUGGUGAAGGCCAAAAAGAGAAUGGAAAAUGCUAAGGCUGAAACCUUCUUCAUGUUUAUAUAACUUAAAAGAGAACAUGAACUUUUUUUUAUUAUUAAAAAUUGAAGAUAUUAGAAAAUUUAUAAUAAUUUACAUAUUUUAUUUAACUAAUUAAAUUAGAUUUGGAUAAAUAAAAGGAAAUAUGAUUUUUUUUUGUCUUGGAUUAAUUAUUCAAUUUGUAUAAAGAUAAUAUUUUUUUGUGAGAGAAUGAUGACAUAGGGGAGUGGGUUGUGGGUCACACUUAAAAUCUUUGUAUUAAUACAAAUUCUCUCUUUGAUUGUAGUGAGGACACGGGUUCAUGGAAGACAUAUAUGAUAUAUCAGUAUAUGCAAUGUAUUCUCCCACAUCCUUAUCUCUUAGUAAUGUGCUAACUUUUUUACAUAUGUUCAUUAUGAAGGAACUAUAUAACCAUUGUCCAAAACCAAAAGUCAUUUUCAAAUCACGCCAGACGGAAAUAAUUGUCGACAGUUUUUUUUUCCUUCAUACAUUGUAUACUUAAUUUCAUGCAUCUAUAUAUACUACUGUUUUAAUUGGAGCUAUAUUUUCAAAGUAUAGAACUGUAAUCAGCGUCCAAAAGUCAUUUUUGAAAUCGUGUCAAACAGAGUCAUAAUUUUGUAGCUAAUAAAAGAAAUUUUAAAUCAUUAUAGAUGUGAUUAAUAGUGUUAUAGGAUUAUUAAAUUGUCUAAAAUCUACCUCAUAAAUUUAGUUAAUAGGGUCACGAGAUUAUGGAAAUAUUUAGAAAUUAGCAAGUUGCUGCAUACUCGAUCUAAGUGCCAUAUUCGAUUUCAGAUUUGGUCCCUUGGUUCUAAAAGAGAUCUAGGCAACUAGGACCAUCUUAAACUUGUUAUGCGGUACUAAUUUGAUGUAGAUGCAUAACAGAUAUAUAGUUAUAUAUUUUAUUAAAGUUUUAAAUUAUUAUCUUAAUAUGUAUUAUUAAAGUACUAAUUUUAGGAUUAUACUGUUUAGUGUGAACUACAUUUCGUGAAGACAGUACGAAGGCGUGUUUCUUUUUUCCCCAUAAAAACGAACUUUAUACUUUUUUUAACUUUUAAUUUUUUAUUGUUUUAAAAAAGGAUAACAGUAGUCCGCUUAUACAUGUCACUUGAAGAGGAUAUUCAUUGAAGUCAAUUCUUCAUUGUGUGUAUUCUAUUUUAAACAUGUCACUUACUUUUCUUUGAUGUGCAAUUCUGAAUUGAAAAUAGUUAGCAGUAAAAUUUCAUUUUCACAACUGCAAAAAUGUCAUUUAAUGAUGAUUAAAAACGUCAUUCAAUAAUGGUUCAAAAUCGUCUUUGAAGUCAAUGUUAUUGAAAGUUAAGAUUUUCGACGACGAUUUCAUUAAAAAUCAUCUUAAAAAAAGAAAUCCUUCUAAAAUGAUUUUUAGUUAAAAAUCGUCUUAAAAAGAUGUCAUUCUAAGACAGUUUUUAGUUAAGAACCGUCUUAAUAUAUAUAUAUAUAUAUAUAUAUAUAUAUAUAUAUAUAUAUAUAUAUAUAUAUAUAUAUAUAUAUAUUCUAAGAUAUUUUUUCAAACAAUUGUCUUAGGAUAUCUUAUUUUAAAAAAAUAUAUAUAAUAAAAUAAAAUUAUAAUAAAAUAGUAGAUAAGGUAAUAACAAAAUUUCUAUAUCAAUUCUAACAACUACAUGAAAUAGAUUUUUUUUGGUGUUAAGAAAAUAAAUAAAUGAUGCGCGUAAUUUGAAUAUAACUAACUGUCACUACAUGUAAUUGAGUUCAUUUAUGCAAGAACUUAAAUUAUGACCUCGAUUACAACUUACCUUGUAACUUUAAAUACUAUAAAAAAUUAUAAACAAAUAGGGUCAAUACAAUCACAUUACACUUUCAAAGCAAUCCUAUAAUAAUUCUAAAAAAUGUGAUUGAAUCACAAUUGAAGUUGUAGUCAGUUUUUUAAAAACCUUGGCUAAAUAUAUGAAUAAUUAUGGAAGCAAUUAAUUAAAAACAUAACGUACUAUGAAGCUGCCUCUACUAUGUUAAGCACAUGAAGCUGCCUCUACUAUGUUUCCUUCGUUUCCUUCAAAGUGGAUGAUACAUUAUUACAACUCUGACAAGUGUUUAUUUCCACAACCACUUAGGAGAAAUAGAAAAAUACAAUUUUUUCAUGAUAAAUAUCUAUUUAGAAGAAUUAAUAUUAUGUACUUCAUAAUAUAAUAUAUGCACACAACAUACAGUUAUGUAUAUUAUUGUUAGACAAGUGGUCUCAAUAACUUAAGAGGGGAGGUGAAUUAAGUCAAAAAAUUUCUCGUUUAAUUGACUUCUAAAUCCCUUUUUAAAUCUAUAUGUUAAGAAUAUUGAAAAUAAAGAUGAAAGUUAUAUCAACAGAAUACUUCAAGUGUGCAAGAUAAAUAAAAUAUGCAAGAUAAAGUAAUCAAGAUAGGGAAGAGAGGAAUGAAAACUCAGUUUAUCCUGGUUCGACCACUUCCUAUGCCUACAUCCAGUCCUCAAACAACCCACUUAAGAUUUCCACUAACUUUGUAAAAAUCCUUUUUACAACUUCUGAACACUCGAGAGAUCCCUUUCCCUUGUGUUCAGGAAACUCACAAUUCAAGAGACAAACAACUUCUUGAUCUCAAUAAGUCUUUAAAGAAAGUACAAAUGUUUUUCUUUCUUUUAGAGAAGAAGAUACAAGAUGAAGUUCUUAGAAUAAUCCUUAAUUGAUUUGCAAGUGUUUGACCAAUGAUUUAUUUUAGAGAGGCUAAGACAAUAAGGUUCUGAAAACUCUAAAAGAUUCCGUAGAUAAGUCACAUAUUUAUAGGCCCUUGGUGGCUUUUCAAAAACUUAUGAAGGGAUGUGACUUUUCAGAGUAACUUUAAAAAUUUCCUCACUCGUAAUCGAUUAUGAUGCAAUCCUCCCUAGGAAGGGACUAGUCACUAGAACCAUGAGCAAGAGGCUCCAAGAGGAUCGGGCUAGAAUUGCUGAAGAAUGUCCUAGGGUUCUCAUGAACCUCAGGAUAGAUUUCAUAGCCCAUGGGCCAAGGUUGGGUCCAAUUAUCUUUGUACAUAUUAGACUAGGAUGUCAUUAUAUUUGGUCCUUGUAUUUAGGGCUCCAUAAUGUAGGUAGGGUAUCCUAGAAAUAUAGGAUUUUUCAACCCUUGUAUUUUAGGGCACCUAGACUAGUUUUUGUAUUAGGGGUAGUUUUAUAAUUUCACAUGCACUAAGUGAAUAUUUGAUGUGUGUGUUGGGAAGUAAACUUAAUUGAAUUGGUAGAAUCCCAAUCCAAUUAAAUUUUAGAGGGGGAGGUGAGCAUUUGCUUACUACACCCCAUUGUCACAUCAUAUAGUCACACUUUGUGCAUGUCCUUCAUGCUUUACAUGCCUCAUGACACCUAAGCAUACUUAGUGGAGAAUCUUGGAAUUGAUCUUGGAUUACUGGGAUGAACCAUAACUAAAAUUCACUAAUCAUAAUUAGUGAAAUUUUGGCUCCCCAAAUUCAAUGUUAAAUUCAAGUGAAAUUUGAAUUGAAAUUCAAAUUUCCCUCUAAUUUUGUGUGACACUUAGGCUAUAAAUAGAGGUCAUGUGUGUGAAUUUUUUGGAACUUUGAUCAUUUGAAAAUUAAACUUCAGAUUUCAGAGCUCUUUUAGAGCACAAAAUUUCAUGCUCUUCUCUUCCUCUCCCUUCAUUCAUCUCCUUCUUCCUCCAAGCUCUUAUCCAUGGCCUCCUAUGGUGGUGAGUUUCUUCUAGACUCAUCUUCUCCUUGAAGUGGUGUUUCCUCACUCUCUUCCUUCUCCAUUCCGCUGCCAUUCAUCUUCCAAGAAGAAAAGGAAUCCAUUGAUGAAGAAGAUCCUAGGCCUACCAGCUCCAAUGGAGCUACAUCAUGUGGUAUCAAGAGCAUCUUCAUCUAGGUGAUGUUCUUUUGCUUCCUCUAUCUUUUUGUUCGAUGAAUUCUCUUUAAUUCCUUGUUCUUCAUCUUAUUCUCCAUGUAUAUCCUCCAUUGUCUUGUGGUUUGGUGAUGUUUAUAGUAGAAUCAAAAAAAUAAACCGAUUAAAUCUUAGAUCUACACUUGUUCUUGCAUUUCUAUGGUUCAAAUUUUAUAGAUCUACUCUUGAAUCAUGUUUUUGUGUUGAUUUUAGGUUCUAUCAUUUUUCAGUCAUAAUUUUCUUGUGUUGAACCUUUAGAUCUAAAUUUUCUUCCAAAAUAUUGAUUAGGAAAAAAAAACACAAAAAUCUAAGUGUAAAUCACUUAAUCCAUGUUGUCUUAGAGUCAUGUUUAGCCAUAAUAAUUGUUACAUUAUGUUCUAAGUUUGUGUUGAAUUUUGAUUUUGUUGAUUUAAUUUUAGAUACAUUUGUUCAUGUAUUCUUCUCAUUCUUAGUCUAUCUUUUGAAUUUUGAGACUAAUUCAUGCAUGUUAUUUAGUUCAUAACAUGUUCUAAAUCAAUUCCUAGAAGAAGUCUUGUUGUUGAACUCUUUUUUUUUCUAAGUUUCCUUCAUGAUGCCUAUGAUGAAGUUGAGUCGUGGUGCUGAGUUGUGGUUGGAUUUGUGAAUCAAAAUAAGUCUUAAGCUCUCUCGAAUUGUGUUAUUCAAGAUAAUUGAGCAUAAGCAAACAAAAAUUGUAGUUAUCCAAGCCUUAAGCAACAUAAACACUACUCUUGAUUUCUAGGUUGAAAUUGCUGGUGCUGGCAGCUUGAACAUACAAACUUGUAUAAAUUACUGGAAAUUGGUCACUACGUUUUUUGAGCUGAAAUUUUUACUGAAUUUUCUAGACAUUUGUAUCAAAAUUAUAAAAAAGAACCAAUAAAUUUGGAUUAAAGGAAAACAUAAGAAAAAUCACACAAGUUGGCAGAAAAAUCAGUGUCCAGGAAAAAAAAAGUGAAAGGAAAGUGUGCUUGUUGUUUUGGCUCAAAAUUUGUUCUAUAAUUGGUGCCUAUUUUAUACCAAUCCUAGUUCUGAAAUUUCAAUUGAAAAUUAGUAUGAAAAAAAAAUUGCCAAAACUAGAGGUUUCUUGAGUUUUUUUUUUAGUCUUUCUACUCUACUCUAGAGCCAUUCUAGGUUUCUCUUUGAGUCCUAGCUUGCUUUUGUGUGCUUUUCAUUGCUUUAAUUGUUGAAUAAUCCUUGAAAAUUUGUCUUGUUAAAACUCUAUUGGUUUAGCUUUCAUUUCAUUUUUUUAGUCUUUGGUUAUUGCUUGUCUCUUUGUUUCCUUGUUGGUGAGUUGCCAUAUAGGGAAUUGGAAAGGAGGAUUAGUGCUAUCCCUUGAAGAAUUUGAGUCAAGAAACAAGGGGAAAACCACCUUAAGAGCUAUUGGACUAAGAAGCACUCCAAAUUGAGUGAAUCACCAAAGAGAGAACAACCACCAAAAUUGAGGACCUUGUUGUAAUUUUGUAAUUGACAAUUUACUUACUUUCAUUGCUUUCAAAUUUUGUAACAAAAAGGUCUUUCAUUGGAAGUAAGUUGGGAGCCUCCAAUAGGUCACCCUACUUCCAUUUGUGUGUAAUAAUUUUAGGCAAUUUUCCAUUAGGAUCGUGAGUGUUUUGUUGGGAACCUUAAAUGUGGUCCUCCAAACACUCUUAGGAUUCGCCUAGUUUACAUUUCUUGCUUACUUUCAUAGUUUGUUUCCUUUACCUUCCAUUGUCAAACUGCCUAGAUAGCUUGCCUUUUACCAAUUAGUUUUUAUCGUAUCUUUCACGCCUCUUUUAGUGUUUAUUUUGGCUAGUUUCAACCAUAGUUUCUUUUACCUUUUGUUUUCAAACCCCCAACAAGAAAGAACCACAACUUAGGAACCAACAUGAGUCUUUAUUCUUCAUCAAGUGUUAAUGGUGAGGGUUCUACUCCUAAGGACCCCAUGUAUAAGAUGUUAGAUGAGUUGAGAUCCCUUAAGUUGUGGAAAGAAAAACAAGACAGAAAAGAAAAAAGGAAAAAAAAGAGUGGAAGAAAUAAGUCAAGAUGAAAGAGAGAAAAUAAAAGAGGAAGAAAGAAGAAAAAUAAUGAAAGAAAUGAAAAGAGAAAAACAUGAUUCCUAUAGUAGUCAUGACUCUUGUAAGAGUUUAAGUGAAGAACUUAGCGACUAUUAUAGAGGGUGCCAUAGUUCACAUGGUAAAAAUCACUCCCAAAGAAGAGAAAAUGAUAGAAGGCCUCAAGAGGUUAACAUUAUCCUCUCAUAUUUCCAUGGAAAAGAUAAUGUUGAGGCCUACUUAGACUGGGAAAUGAAGGUUGAACAACUCUUUACUUGCCAUCAUAUUAGCGAAGAGAGAAAAGUUCCAUUGGCUACCCUUAGCUUUCAAGGGUAUGCUCUCUAUUGGUGGACUUCCCUUGUUAGGGAAUGAAGGAUUCAUGGGGAUCCUCCAGUAGAGUAUUGGAAUGAUCUUAAGAGUGCCAUUAGGAAAAGACACAUUCCCUCCUACUAUGAAAGAGAGCUUAUGGACAAGCUCCAAAGGCUUAGACAAGGGAGUAUGAGUGUUGAAGAAUAUAGACAACAAAUGGAAAUACUCUUUUUAAGAGCUGGAAUUAGGGAGGAGGAAAGAACAAGAAUAGCUAGGUUCCUUAGUGGGCUUAAUAUGGAAGUGAGGGACAAGGUUGAACUCCUUCCAUAUAGGGACCUAGAUGAGCUAGUCCAACUUUGUAUAAGAGUAGAGCAAUAACUUAAAAGAAAGCCUUCUUCAAAAUCUUAUGGCUCUCACUCUUAUCCAAGGAAGGACCAAGCCCAAGGAAUUUUGGGGGUUGCACCUUCAAAACCCAAAGAAGAUAAGGAUAAGACCAUACAGAAAUACACCCCUAAGACUAGUUCCCAAGAAAGGACUAGCAACAUUAAAUGCUUCAAAUGUCUUGGGAGAGGUCAUAUUUCCUCUCAAUGCCCCACAAAGAAAACCAUGAUCAUGAGGGGUCAAGACAUUUAUAGUAGUCAAGAGGAGAUUACUUCUUGCCCUUCCUCUAGUGGAAGUGAAGAUGAAGUAUAGGGUGAAGAGUCUAGUGAGAAAGUCUACCCCUAUGAAGAAGGUGACCUCUUAAUGGUUAGAAGGCUCAUUGGAGGUCAAUCUUGUGAUCUAUCUCAAUCCCAAAGAGAGAACAUCUUUCAUACAAGAUGCAAAAUUUUAGAUAAAACUUGUUCUCUGAUUGUGGAUAGUGGAUCUUGUUGCAAUAUUUGUUUCCAAGUUGAACCUCACUAUCAUUCCCCCACCCAAAACCUUAUAAACUUCAAUGGCUCAAUGAGCUAGGGGAAAUGAUAGUUAACCAGCAAGUGAAGGUACCUUUCUCCAUUGGGACAUAUACGGAUGAAGUUAAUUGUGAUAUAGUUCCCAUGGAGGCAGGACAUAUUCUUUUAGGAAGGCCGUGACAAUUUGAUGGGAAGAUCAUUUACAAUGGCCUAACUAAUGAGAUUACCCUCACCCAUCUUGCCACUAAAUUUGUGUUGCAUCCUCAAACACCUUCAUAGGUGGCCAAAGAUCAACUAACUAUGAAAGAUAAGAGGGAUGAGGAAGAAAAACUAGAAAAACAAAAGAAAAAGAAGGAUAUUAAGGCCUUGUCUUCAAAGGCCAAGGGGAAGGAAAAAGAGGAAAAGGAUUCCUCCAAGAUGAUUGUUAAGAAGGAAAAUCAUUUUGCAACAAAAGGUGAUAUUAAAAUAGCACUCCUUCUCAAACAAUCUUUCUACCUUCUUCUAUCAAGUGAAACAUCCAUUGGCACUGCCACAAUUCCUACAUUUGAGACCUUACCCCUAAAGGUCCAAGAACUCUUACAUGAAUUUGGUGAUAUAUUUCCCAAAGAGAUACCCCCUGGGCUACCUCCUUUAAGGGGAAUAGAACACCAAAUAGAUUUAGUCCCAGGAGCAAGCCUUCCUAAUAGGCCAGCCUAUAGGACUAACCCUCAGGAGACUAAGGAGAUAGAGUCUCAGGUUAAAGAAUUGUUGGAGAAGGGCUGGGUCUAAGAGAGCCUAAGCCCAUGUGUUGUGCCAGUGGUGUUGGUGCCCAAAAAGGAUGGUACGUGGAGAAUGUGUACAGAUUGUAGGGCCAUCAACAACAUCACUGUAAAGUAUAGACACCCCAUUCCUAGACUUGAUGAUUUGCAUGAUGAGUUGCAUGGUGCCAAUAUCUUUUCAAAAAUUGAUCUUAAAAGUGGUUAUCACCAAAUCAGGAUGAAAAAGGGUGAUGAGUGGAAAACCGCAUUCAAGACCAAGUUUGGUUUGUAUGAAUGGCUAGUGAUGUCUUUUGGGCUCACUAAUGCACCAAGCACAUUUAUGAGGCUUAUGCAUCAUGUCUUAAGGGAUUUCAUAGGUAGAUUUGUAGUUGCUUAUUUUGAUGAUAUUUUAGUGUACAGUAGGAGCCUAAAUGAUCACUUAGGACAUCUCAGGCAAGUUCUUUUAGUCCUUAAGAAAAACACCCUCUAUGCAAAUAUAGAGAAGUGUACUUUUUGUGUAGAUAAUAUAGUUUUCUUAGGGUUUGUAGUUGGUAGAAAUGGGGUCCAUGUGGACCCUGAGAAAAUCAAGGUCAUCCAAGAAUGGCCCACCCCAAAAAGUAAGGGAGAUAUUAAGAGCUUACAUGGGUUAGCAAGCUUUUAUAGAAGUUUCAUUCCUAAUUUCUCUACAAUUGCAUCACCUCUCAAUGAGCUGGUGAAGAAGAAUGUGGAAUUUACCUGGGGUGAAAAACAAGAGCAAGCCUUUGCUUUGCUCAAAGAAAAGCUUGCUAAGGCACCUGUUCUAGUUCUUCCUAACUUUUCUAAAACUUUUGAGCUAGAAUGUGAUGCCUCUAUAGUGGGAGUUGGAGUUGUAUUGUUACAAGGUGGGCACCCUAUUGCUUAUUUUAGUGAAAAAAUUCAUAGUGCCACCCUCAACUACCCCACCUAUGAUAAAGAGCUUUAUGCCUUAAUAAGAGCCCUCCAAACUUGGGAACAUUACCUUAUUUCCAAGGAAUUUGUCAUUCAUAGUGAUCAUCAAUCACUUAAGUACAUUAGAAGGCAAAACAAGUUAAACAAAAGGCAUUCAAAAUGGGUAGAGUACCUAGAGAAAUUUCCAUAUGUUAUCAAAUAAAAAAAGGGAAAAACAAAUGUGGUAGCUGAUGCCCUCUCUAGGAGACACACAUUGUUUUGCUCCCUAGGAGCUCAAAUUUUAAGAUUUGAUAAUAUUAGGGACUUGUAUGCUUUAGAUGAACAUUUCUCUCCCAUUUAUGAGAGUUGUGGGAAAAAGGCCCAAGAUAGAUUCUAAUUGGCUGAGGGGUAUUUGUUCAAAGAGGGAAAGUUUUGCAUACCCCAAGGAUCCAUUAGGAAAUUACUUGUGAAAGAGAGCCAUGAGGGUGGGCUCAUGGGCCACUUUGGGAUAGACAUGACCCUUGUCUUACUCAAAGAAAAGUUUUAUUGGCCCCAUAUGAAGAAAGAUGUCCAUAAGCAUUGCACUAGGUGUGUGGAUUGUUUACAAGCCAAGUCUAUGGUGAUGCCUCAUGGGCUAUACACACCCUUACCCAUCCCCUAUGCACCUUGGGUAGACAUUAGUAUGGACUUUGUCCUUAGGCUUCCUAGAACCCAAAGAGGUGUAGACUCUUUGUGGUGGUGGAUAGGUUUAGCAAGAUGGCACACUUUAUACCAUGCCUCAAGGUGGAUGAUGCUUCCCACAUCUCAAAACUCUUUUUCAGGGAAGUUGUGAGACUUCAUGGUUUGCCUAGGACCAUUGUGUCAGAUUGAGAUGCUAAGUUCCAUAGCCACUUCUGGAAAACCUUAUGGGCUAAGCUAGGAACUAAACUUCUUUUCUCUACCACUUGUCAUCCAUAAACUGAUGGGCAAACGAAGGUAGUGAAUAGGUCUUUAUCCACCCUUUUAAGGGCUAUUCUAAAAGGCAACCAUAAGUCUUGGGAUGAGUAUCUUCCUCAUGUAGAAAUUGCCUACAAUAGGGGGGUUCAUAGAACCACCAAGCAGUCCCCUUUUAAGGUUGUCUAUGGGUUUAAUCCCCUAACACUGUUAGACCUCAUCCCCCCCCCCCCCACUAGACACUUCUUUUAUACAUAAAGAAGGGGAAUCUAGGUCAGAGUUUGUAAAGAAGUUGCAUGAGAGGGUUAAGAACCAAACAAAGGUGUAUUCAACUAAAGGCAAUAGAGGAAGAAAAGAGCUAGUUCUUAAUAAGGGUGAUUGGGUUUGGCUCCAUCUUAGGAAGGAUAGAUUCCCUACUAAAAGGAAAUCCAAGUUAGCCCUUGAGGGGAAGGAACUUUUUAGGUUUUGGAGAGGAUCAAUAACAAUGCCUAUAGGUUGGACCUCUCAGAAGAGUAUGGAGUCAACACCACUUUUAACAUUUAUGAUUUAAUUCCUUUUGCAGGUGGAGCUGAUAUUAAGGAGGAGGAACUAACAGAUUUGAGGUCAAAUCCUCUUCAAGGGGGAGGGGAUGAUGUAAUCCUCCCUAGGAAGGGACCAGCCACUAGAGCCAUAGGUAAAAGGCUCCAAGAGGAUUGGGCUAGAGCUGCUGAAGAAGGCACUAGGGUUCUCAUGAACCUCAGGGUAGAUUUCUGAGCCCAUAGGCCAAGGUUGGGUCCAAUUAUCUUUGUACAUAUUAGACUAGGAUGUCAUUAUAUUUGGUCCUUGUAUUUAGGGCUCCAUAAUGUAGGUAGGGUACCCUAGAAAAAUAGGAUUUUUCAACCCUUGUAUUUUAGGGCACCUAACUAGUUUUUGUAUUAGGGGUAGUUUUGUAAUUUCACAUGCACUAAGUGAAUAUUUGAUGUGUGUGUUGGGAAAUAAAUUUAAUUGAAUUGGUAGAAUCCCAAUCCAAUUAAAUUUUAGAGGGGGUGGUGAGCAUUUGCUUACUACACCCCAUUGCCACAUCAUAUAGUCACACUUUGUGCAUGUCCUUCAUGCUUUACAUGCCUCAUGACACCUAAGCACACUUAGUGAAGAAUCUUGUAAUUGAUCUUGGAUUAGUGGGGUGAACCAUAACUAAAAUUCACUAAUCAUAAUUAGUGAAAUUUUGUGUUGGACCUUGUGGCCUCAAUAAUCUUAAGAAGGAUAAGCUUAGAAUGCAGAAGAAGCAGCAUCAAUCAAUUUAAUAAUGUUCUUUAAACAUGCAAGGCAAAAUUGAUUGCAAUAACAUAAAUGAGAUAAGGGAAGAGAGAAUGCAAACACAGUUUUAUACUGGUUCGGAAAAUUCCGUGCCUACGUCCAGUACUCAAGCAACCCACUUGAGAUUUCCACUAUCUUUGUAAAAUCCUUUACAACUUCUGAACCACACAGGGACAACCCAUCCCUUGUGUUCAGGAAUCCUUACAACUCAAGAGACCCUCGGUCCCUUAAUCAAUUUCAAUGAGUAAGAAGAAUGGAAGAAGAAUUCUCUCUUCAAGAGAAGAAUAUUACAAUGAAGAUCCAUGGAUGAACUCUUAAUGGAUUUGCAAGUGUUUGCCCAAGAGUUAUUGAGAGAGCAUUUGACAAUGAAGUUCUCUUGGAAUCUCUCUCAUUUUCUUUUGAGAGGAUAAGACAUUCUGGACCAGCAAAACUCUCUCAUAAAAUUCGUGCCCAAGUCACCUAUUUAUAGGCCUUUGAUGGCCAUUCACAAAUCCAAUGAAAAGAUAUGACUGUUGGCAGAUUUUCUGAAAACUCUCCACUGGUAAUCGAUUAUAAUGUUUGUGUAAUCGAUUACACAGUUAUAAUUUGAAGGGUUAUGAUUUUUGAAUUUGAAUUUCCAAAGUUCCGUUGCGGGUAAUCGAUUACAACAUAUGGUUAUCGAUUACAUGUUCAAAAUUUAAAUUCAAAAUUCUUUUCAACAGCUCUUUUUCAUUCUUUCCUUUUGGUAAUCGAUUACACUUCUUGGAAAUCGAUUACCAGAGCCUUGCAUGACUUUGAAACCCUUUGUUUUGAGGCAAGGCUUGAUCUUUAGUGAAUCUUGAAACAAGACUUUGUUUGUUGAAGCAUUCUUGAAUUAAUCUUGAAGCAAAUGCUUAUCUUUUGAAGCGGCCUUGUUUGAUUCUUCUUUGGCAUCUUCAAAAUUCAUGUAUUCAUACAUUCACAUUUUGGCUCCACAAAUUCAAUUUCAAAUUCAAGUGAAAUUUGAAUUGGAAUUCAAAUUUCCCUCCAAUUUUGUGUGACACUUAGGCUAUAAAUAGAGGUCAUGUGUGUGCAUUUUUUGGAACUUUGAUCAUUUGAAAAUUAAACUUCAGACUUCAGAGAUCUUUUAGAGCACAAAAUUUCGUGCUCUUCUCUUCCUCUUCCUUCAUUCAUCUCCUUCUUCCUCCAAGCUCUUAUCCAUGACCUCCUAUGGUGGUGAGCUUCUUCUAGACUCAUCUUCUCCUUGAAGUGGCGUCUCCUCUCUCUCUUCCUUCUCCAUUCUAUUGUCAUUCAUCUUCCAAGAAGCAGAGGAAUCCAUUGAUGAAAAAGAUCCUAGGCCUACAAGCUCCAAUAGAGCUACAUCAAAUUACAACUCUUUGGUAAUCGAUUACACAGUUAUGUAAUGAGAAGCCAUGACUUUUCAAUUUGAAUUUUUGUAGUUCCGUUACUGGUAAUUGAUUAUAGACAAGUGGUAAUCAAUUACAACUUUCAAAUUUUCAAUUUCAAUUUUCAUUUUUCAAUUUUCAAAUUUCAAAUUUCAAAUUUCAAACUUUCUAAAAAAGCUUUUUAAAAUAAUUUUGCUUCUGGUAAUCGAUUGCCAGUGGAAAAAUUCCUUUUUCAGAAAAUGUUAAAAUAUUUUAAAACUUUUUUAUAAUCAAUUUAAAAACUAUGUUGUGAGGCCAAACCUUUGCAAUCACUAAGAGACUCUUUUAACAAAGAUAGACUAAGACUUAGCUUUAUUCUUGAUCUUUGUUUUCUUGGUCUUGAUUUGGACUUGAAAUAAAACUUGUGUUGCUUUUGUCUUGGCAUCAUCAAAACCUUCAUACACAUAUACUCACAUUCUCCCUCUUUUUGAUGAUGACAACCAACUGAAAUCAUUUACUGAAAAAUACUUCUUUUGUGAGACGAUCACUCCCCCUUAAUUUUGCAAUCAUUGCUUAGCAGAAAAUAGUUUACAAAAAAAUAUACCUUGUACCUUACAUGAUUCUCUCCCCCUUUGGCAACAUCAAAAAGACGAAAGCACUGAAAUAGAAACAAUCAUUCACAUAAUAACCAAUCAUUCACAGAGGAAUCAACCAAGUGCUAAACAUACCAAGGAAAGUUUGAAAUAUCAAGGAAAUUAAAGACAGAUAAUGCUAGAAAUCAGGACAAAUAUGUGAUUAUAAGCAAUCAAUAUACAAUUAAUCAAUCAAAAACAUUUAUGACUAUGAACAAUCACAAAAAACAACCAUCAAAUGCAAUUAUUAUAAACAUUCAAAGUAAUCAAUCAUCAUAAACAAGCAAAACAACCAUUAAAAAUAGUCAUUAUAAACAAUCAAAACAUUAUAAUCAAACAAAGUGGCUAGGAAUCUAAGUUAAUUGGGUCUAUGAGUCCUAAUUCUCUUCUAAUAGCAAAGAAAUUUUCUUUGGAAUGUGGUUUUCUAAAGAUAUCAACUAACUGAUUCUCUGUGUCAACAAAUUCUAACACACAAUCCCCUUUUUGAACAUGAUCCCUCGAAAAAUGAUGCCUUAUUUUAAUAUGCUUUGUUCUAGAGUGCAAACUAGGAUUUUUAGAUAGAUUGAUUACACUCGUGUUAUCACACUGAAUGGGAAUAUGAUUAAGCAUUAAGCCAUAAUCAGAAAGUUGGUGUUUCAUUCAAAGUAUUUGUGCACAACAACUUCCAGCAUAAAUAUAUUCCACCUCUAUAAUGGAUAAGGCAGCACUAUUUUGCUUUUUACUAUGCCAUGAUACUAGAGCAGAACCAAUGAAAUGACUAAUGCCACUGGUACUUUUUCUAUCAGUUUUGCAUCCAGCAAAAUCAGAGUCAGAGUAUCCUACUAAGUUAUAAUAGGAAUUAUUAAGAUACCAUAACCCUAGAUUUAUAGUGCCAAACAAACAUCUCAUUAUUCUUUUAACGGCACUAAGGUGAGAUUCUUUGGGAUUUGCUUGAUAUCUUGUACACAUACAAACACUAAACAUUAUAUCGGGUCUACUUGCUGAUAAAUAAAAAAGACAUCCGAUCAUACCUUUAUAUUUCUUUGUCUAUUGACUGACAGGUUUCAUCUUUAUCCAGAUAGCAAGCAGUGCUCAUUGGAGUGGCCAUGUGUUUAGCAUUUUCCAUCCCAAACAUGUUAAUUAAUUCUUUGCAAUAUUUUGACUGACUAAUAAAUAUUCCAUUCUUUGUUUGCUUUAUUUGUAGUCCAAGGAAGAAAUUUAACUCACCCAUCAUGGACAUUGCGAAUUCAUUUUGCAUAUCUUGAGAGAAUUCUUUGCAUAGAGAAUCAUUAGUUGACCCAAAGAUUAUAUCAUCAACAUAUAUUUGUACUAAGAGAAUAUCAUGCAAUUUUCUUUUGAUAAAGAGUGUGGUAUCAACCUUUCCUCUUGUAAAGCCAUUUUCUAAAAGAAAUUUGCUCCAUCAUUCAUACUUAGCCCCAGGGGCUUGUUUCAAACCAUAUAGAGCCUUUUUCAAUUUAAAGACAUGAUUGGGCUUUUCUGAGUUUUCAAAACCAGGAGGUUGAUCAACAUAAACUUCUUCUUGGAUGAAACCAUUUUAAAAAGCACUUUUAACAUCCAUUUGAUAAAUUUUAAAAUCCAUUAUGGAUGCAAAGGCUAAUAACAUUCUAAUGGCUUCUAAUUUGGCUACUGGAGCAUAUGUUUCUUCAUAAUCUAUUCUUUCUUCUUGAUUAUACCCUUUAGCCACUAAUCUAGCCUUGUUUCUAAUAACUUUUCCAUGUUCAUCCAAUUUGUUUCUAAAUACCCAUUUAGUUCCUAUAAUUGGAUGAUCAUUAGGUUUAUCAACUAAUUCCUAGACUUGAUUUCUUUCAAAUUGAUUUAACUCUUCUUGCAUAGCAAUGAUCCAAUGUUCAUCAAUUAUGGCUUCAUUUAAGUUUUUAGGUUCAAUUAAAGAAACAAAAGCCAUAUUAUUGCAUGCAUCUUUGAGAGAGUGUCUAGUUGUUACCCCUUUUGAUAUGUCACCGAUGAUAUUAUCAAGAGGAUGAUAUCUUGAAGUUCUCACUCUUUUGGAAGAUUUGUAUCUGUACUUUUUUUAGUUUCAUAAAUUAGAGAGUCUUCAUUAUUUCUAUUUCCUUUGCCUUUGUGCCCUUCCUUAUGAAUGUGCAUAUCUUCUAAAGAAUUUGUAAUAUCAUCAAGUGUUUCCUUUCUUGACCUUACAGGGUUAGUCUCACAAAAACAAUAUGAAUAGAUUCUUCAAUAACCAUAGUUCUUUUGUUAUAAAUUUUAAAAGCUUUACUAUUUGAUGAAUAGCCAAGGAAUAUACCUUCAUCUGAUUUUGCAUCAAACUUACCUAAGUUGUCUUUCCCAUUGUUUAAGACAAAACACUUGCAUCCAAAAAUAUGACGAUUAGAAAUGUUUGGUUUUCUUCCUUUGUACAAUUCAUAUGGUGUUUUCUUUAAGAUAGGUUUGAUUAAAGCUCUAUUCAUUGUAUAGCAUGCAGUAUUAACAGCUCCAACCUAUAAAUACUUAGGAAGAUUUGUAUCAUUUAGCAAAGUUCUAGCCAUUUCUUCUAAAGACCUAUUUUUCCUCUCAACAACUCCAUUUUGUUGAGGGGUUCUAGGUGCAGAUAAAUUAUGUUCAAUACCAUUUUCAUCACAAAAUAAUUCAAAAUAUUUAUUUUCAAAUUCUCCUCCAUGAUCACUCCUAAUGGAUACAAUGUUAAGAUUUUUCUUGUUUUGAAUGAGUUUACCAAGUUUCUUAAAAGCAUGAAAAGCAUCACUUUUGUGAAUAAGAAAUAAUGUCCAUGUGAAUCUUGAAUAAUCAUCAACUAUAACAAAGACAUAGUAAUUUCUACCAAAACUCAUGGUUCUAAAAGGACCAAAGAGAUCUAUAUGCAAAAGUUGCAAGGGUUGAGUGGUAGAAACAAUAAAGAGACCUUUAAUUGUUUUCCUUUUUGACAUGCAUCUCAUAAUCUAUCCUUUUCAAAUCUGAGUUUUGGUAACCCGAUUACUAAAUCUUUAGAAAUUAAUUUAUUUAAAUGAUCCAUAUUUAUAUGAGCAAUUCUCUUGUGCCAUAACCAUGAAUCAUUAUCUUUGCUUAAAAAGCAUUGAACAUGAUUUGAUGUUUUAUCUUAAUUUAUCAUAUUAUUACUUCUAUAUCCUAUAUGUUUUAUAUUCUUGUCAUGUUUAUUUUCAAUAAAAACAUUGUGAGAAUCAAAUGAUACUAGAAAGCCUUUAUCAAGGGAAGAAGCAGAAAAAGCCCAAUUUGAAGGGUAUUCAAAGCCCAAUCUACAAAGGAUUUUAUUCAAGGGAAGAAAAAAAAAACCCUUGAAUUAAAUACCACUGACAUUAAUAAAAUCAAGAAGGCCCUUGAGCCAGAAACCACAACCAUAGUCAUAAAUGCUGACCAAACCAAAACCUCCCCCAAAACCUACAAAGAAUCAGUCGCCCAAAUGUCCCCAGACCAACAAACAGCUUGAGCCUAGACAAUUUUAAGAAAAUACAAAAAUUAUUGUUUAGGGUACACAACAACCAAACCCAGGUUCCUGGCCUAUACAUAGGUGUGCAUGCCUAUUUUAACCAGAAAUUUGUAUGCACCAACAAAACUCCAUUCUAUGAAGAUAAAAUAAAUUAUCCAUGCAAAAUAAAAUUUCUUUUCAGAAAAGCUAGACUAGACCUAGACCAAUUCAAGUCCUUCGAAUAUGAAGACUUGACAAUCUCCACAAAAAGUCUUCUGGACUAUGGAUGUCUAGAAUCAAUCCUGAUCCCUCCCUUGGACAGAUUUGAAGCAUUUAACCCCUCCAUAAAUGAAGCUAUAAACUUAAUACAGGCAGAAAUGAUGGAUUAUAUUUCCAUCAAAAUUAUAACCUGCCUGAGCAACUUUUCUGCCUAAAAUUAUCCUUGUCAUGUUAUGAAACUCCUACCAAAGGAUCACAGGGACUUUCCCUAUCUGUUCAAUGACGAAUACGAGACUUGGGAUGUACAGGGCAACAUACAGUACCAAUACAGCCUCAUGAGGGCACAAAUAUAAGGGUACCAAUGGUUUUUCUCAGACUCAGACAAACGAGACUUUGACCUGAUAUGGGAAACCCAUGAUGCAAAGCUUUUUCAGGCAGCUUGCAAUGGGAAGUUUUUUAUACCCUUCCCGGUUGAACACAACAAUAAAUUGGUUCAAUUCUUCCAAAAGGAGAAAAAGGAUAAAGAGAUUUAUGAGGCCAGUGGUUGUCAUGGACAACAAACUCCUCCAUUUCCAUCCAUUGAUCUUUCCAUGGAAGACUCAUCAGACAUUUUCUACUCAGAAAACGUCUAGGAAGAAGAAAAAAAUGUUACUGUUACAAAGUCAUCAAAGAGUUAAUCAGAAGGAAAACACAUCCUGUCAAAAUACAGCUGUGAACUGAAGCAGGAAUCUUUACUUUUGCCGAGACUCUGACAUUAAGUCUUGUCAUAAAUAGUUAUUGUAAAAAUGGGCCCUGUGACAAAGUAAAGGAAUAGUAAUUUUUACUAUUCUUGACUAAAGGGACCUUUUGUCUUUUUCCUUCAUCUUUCUCUAUAAAAGGAGCCUCAGGGCUCAGUUGUAACACACACAUACACUAGAAAGAGAGUGAGAGAAAGAGAAGAAAAAUGUUUGUAAUAGUUUGUUGUGAGUAAUAAUAUCCAGUGUUCUUUGGAUCUCCCCUUCUUUCUCCUUUGUUCUUUCUUCUGUUUGUAAGUAUGAUAUCUACCAUGGCCGGCUAAGUUUUUCGAAGGCACCCUCAAGGGGCCUUAGUUAUCUUCAUUUAGAAAAUGCAAAUAUGAUUUAGAACCCAAACAUUUACUUUAUUACUUUCUUUCUUUAAGAAAACCUGGGAUUUGUAAGCCUGCAAAGGUGUGCCCUUGAUAUCUGUUUUCAAAAACAAUGGAAGUCCUUUAUGGUUAGGCUAGUACUUGGAGGAAAAUAAGAUCUUCGUAAGACCCAAAGAGUGUGGAUUAUUAGUGAUCUUUAGUAAUUGGCUUAAUAUCCAGAAAACCUAAAAGGUUCUUCUAUUAUUUAAAAAAAAAAGUCUGGGAUCAUCAUAUUCUAUAUUUUUCUCAAAUGAAAUAACUUACAGUGUCCACUUGAGGAGUGCCCUCUAUCCAUCUAAAUUGAUAUUUCCUUCCGUUUACCGCUUACUCUAAUAAUUGUGUAUUUCUUUAAUUGUCUUUUAUUUCCGAUAUAAUAUAAUAUAAUCUAACUAGGAGGCUCUGCCACCUUUCCUUAUCUAUAUUAUAUUAUUUACUUGUUUAUUUCUAGCUUGUUUUAUUAUUUUCUUGUUAUUUUUUACUCGAGUGGGUAUCUCUCUCAAACACAAUUAGAAGAUAUUAGAUUUUAUUGAUGUUUUAUCUUCUUCCUAAUCUCAUCUAAAAGUGUGAGAAAUGUUUAGUCAUCGAAAAUUGUUUAAUUCAAUUUUAGGAUUUUAGGUAACACAAAUUAUUUAAUUUAUUUAUAAUCAAAUUACAUACAUAUAUCUGUCAGUCACAUCAGAUUAUUGUCUAACGGAGUUAACAACAAGGAUCAACAAAAAAUGUUUUAUUUUUACAAAGAUCAAAUUAAUACAAAAAAUUUUAUGGAGACAAAAUUAAUACUUCUUAAAUUUUACACUAAUUUAAAUUUUGAAAGAAUGAAAUUUUUUAUUUAAAUUUUGAAUGGGUAAGAAGUACAUUAUGUCUUGCUGUUAAGUUCUCAUAAGAUUAUUUUGUCAUUGAAGUAUAAUGUUUAAUUAUCAAAUUAACAUUAAGUUUUAAAGUUUAGAGACUAAUAUUAUUUUAUGAUAAUCUAUUAAUUUUUUUUAUCAAGUUUAAUAUUACUUAAAAAUUUAAUUAUUGACCAAAAUAAUUCAAAAAUUAAAAUUUAUAUUUGAUUGAACAAUUAACUAAAAAGAAUGACUUAAUUUGAUAAAAACUUAUACAACACAUAUUAUAAAAUAAAAAACAUGCAAUUGUAUAAAUUUUAAGAAUAGAAUGUUGGAUUAGUUAAAUUUUUAUUCUAUCAACUUUUUCAAAUUCUAAUUUUUAGUUCCUAAAAAUUUUACUACAACUUGUAAUCUUUAAUUAAUUUCUUUUCAGCAACUUUAGUCUCUCUAAAUUUUUUUGCCCAUUUUUAAUCUCUUGUUUAUUUAUAUUGCUCAAAAUUAAUACUUGUUUGGCCCAUUUUCAACCCUUUGGAACAAAUUUUGAGCAAUGAAAAUAAAUAAGGGACUAAAAAGAGCAAAAAUAUUUAGAGGGACAAAAAUGAUUAUAAAAAAUUAAUAAAGGUCUAAAAGAAUCGACAAGGUUCAGCACAAUUAAUAGAUAAAUGAGUUUCUUAAACAUGAUUUCCAAUUAUGGAUUACCUUCCUUCCAAAAAAAUAAAGGAUUAAAAAUGAAAAUUUAAAAAAGAUGAAAGACUUAAAACUUAAUUAAUCCUAAAAAAGAUGAAAUAAGAGCGUUGAUUGUCGAAGCUUAUUUCACAAAAAAGAUAGAUCAACAUUAAGAUAAUGAAAAUAUAUUACAAUACCAAAAGUGUCUAAGAUAAUAAUAAACUAUUUUCUUAAAAAAAACUUAGAUAUUUGGUGUUCUACCUAACUCUUAUUUCAUUAAUUUAUUUGUCAUGGAUCUUUUAUCUCUUUAUUUUUGUUUCAAUUCCUCUAUUUAUUAUUUCCAAUAGAAAAAAUAUCACAAUUAACAAACAAAAAAAAUCAUAACUUUUAACGGUCAAAACCUAUCUUAAGUGAUAGAUAAGACCAAAUUAAAAAAUAAACACAAAAUUAAAAGACGGAGCCGAAAUUAAAAUUAAAAAGCUAAAGUAUUAAUUUUACCUAUAUUUUACACUGUGUCCUAUAAUAAUCGUUGUGUAAGAACAAAUUUGUCUAAAAAUAAUUGUCAUUUCAGUUUUUCAAUAUAAUAUUAAUUAAUUUUUUCACUUAUAUCCCUUAUAAUAUUAAUGACAUGAGUAAAAAAAAUUAAAGAUAAAUCAAUGAUGGAAGGAUUAAUUUUGUAAAAUUGAUAUUUUCUUUCAUCCAUUUAUUGAUCCAUAUAAAAUAAUGAAGAACGACAAUUAUAAUGGAACAGAGGGAGUAAUAUUUUCAUCUUUGAUCAUAAAAGAAAAUUUAGAAGAUUGGAUCAAGAAAAUUUUAAUAUGUCACACACACGCACACGCACACACACACACGCACACACACACACGCAUGCACGCACACACACACACACACUAACUAUUGACAAAUUUUUUUAAGAUUGACUUUAAACUGUGAAUCUGAUAUUUUGCAUUGUUUGGUGUUUCAAAUUAGUAGUGUAGAUUUAUAUUUAUUUAAUGACUUAUUUUUGUAAAUGUUGGGUGUUUAUAUUUGUAAUAUUGUUUAUGGAUGACUUAAUUUGAAUGAAUCAAUGUUAUGUUUGCUUGCUUUUAAUACUAUCUUUUUGUUUUAUAUAUAAGAAAUAAAAUGCAAUUUCUUUUGGUCCUACACGAUGCAAUCAACUUUGGUGCCAAAGGGUGUGUAUGAAGAAUUAGAGAGGCUACAAUGUCAUUUUGUUUGGAAUGAUAACCAAUAUGGGAAAGGUUGGCAUAUAAUCUCUUCAGAGAAGUUCUACAGGGCGAAAGUGGAUGGGGUUAGGAGCUUAUCUCAAAACCAUCUAAGUCCUGGGUUCAUGUUCUUCAACAUAAAUAUCAUUGUGGGGAUGGCGUUAUCCUGCGAGUUAUUUGCUCUAAUAAUGAUUCCCAAACUUGGAAGGGAAUAACGCUGGUUUGGAAGGAUGUUCUAAAGGCUAUUAAGUGGGUACUGGGAAACAAAAAUUCAUUGCAUUUUUGGAUGGUGUGUGGUUGCCUUUGGGGACCAGAUUGGGUUCUCUGGUGCCCUUUUUACCACUUCUGUAAGAGAUAAAAAAAAAUGGUCAACUGUGUUAACCAACAAGGAAGGUGGGAUAUGGACAAGAUCUCUUGUUUUUUUUUCCUCCAUCCACUUUAUAUGAAAUCCUUACUUAUCUUGUGCCUCAUAUGCUGAGGUGAAGAUAGGCCUAUUUGGAGUUUGACUCCUGAUGGUCUUUCUCGUUCAAGUUGUCUUAUAAUGUUUUAUCCAAUUCUUCUCAAAUUAAUGGGUUUAGCCAUAAGUUUGUAUGGGAUUGAAAAGAGCCUCAUCGGGUAAGGUGCUUUAUUUGCAUGGUGUUAUAGGAUGGGUUGAAGAUGAAUGUUAAAAGAGAAGAGUGUGGGUUGGUAGACCAUCUAGGUGUGAAUAAUAUUUUUUUCAUUAAAAAUAGGGGAAAAUAGACUAUUUUCUGCAUUUUCUGGGUCUUAACCAAUGACAUGCAAUUUAUUGAAUGCACAUGAGCCAUUGGACCAUUUAAGAUUCUUUGAUAUUUAUUCAUUUUCUAGUAUGUUAUAUGUGUUUGGAAUUUUCUAUUCCAAUAAUUAAUGUGGGCUAAUAUUAUAAGAUAAUUAUAUUAGUUGCUUAUCAUUAAUGGGUUUUAUUUUAUGUGAUCAAAUUAAGUGAGCCCGUUAGACAACUGAAUCAGAUGAUAUGGACUUAAAUGAAAAGAUGUCAGCGUUGGCCCAUUAGGGGAUAAUGGGAACCUUAUUAGGUUAACGAGCUAUAAGAAGGUUAUGGUCCUCAAUAUACCGAGCUAUCAUGCAUAGUUUCUCUUCUCCCCAUCUGAAAAGUCAUGAAGGUCCUAAUAAAAAGGUUCUGGUUCAGGAAGAACCAUGAAACCACCAAUUACACUGUUAGUCAGAUAUUUGUUGUCUCUACAACAUCCUGUAACAGUUCCUAAGAAGAGUACAAAGAUCAUAAAUCACCUACGGAUUCAGAUUCCACUACGUUUGUUUAAUCAAUCAUUAUAGAUCCAGGUAUUCCUAAAACUCUUCUUGAUAAUUGUUGCAACCUACCCUUUGGCGGGAGGACGAGGCGAGAUAAAAAUGCGCCUUCCAAAAAGGAAACACAUGGAAGUCGCCACCAACGUUUAUUUGAGGAAAACGUUAGAAAAACCAAAAAGAGGUCUGCAAAUUUUGAAAAUAAGGGUUUGGGAGUUGUUUACGUGCGGGGAAGGUAUUAGCACCCCACGCAUCUGUCACAAGGGACGGCAGCCUUUAACCGAGUGUGCAAAUUCAUGACUUCAAUAUUUAUUUAUUUUCCCUUUUUAUGUUUUUACUUUUUGGGGUUGACAAGAGCGUUGCCCUUGCUCCUACGUAUCGUCAAGUGCGAUGAGGAACUCAAACCUACGUAGUUCUUUAAGUCUUAAAGUUUGUGUGUUACAUUGAUUUUAUGUUUUUCGAAAGAUUGAUUUUAAUUAUGAACAAAAGUCAUUUAAGGCUUUGGACCUUGAAACGAUGUUUUAAACUUUGAAAAACGGGGAUAGUUGUUAAGGCGUGGGACCUUGAAAUGACCUCAAGUGAUGUUUGAUGAAAAGUGAAGAUAAUCAUUAAGGCGUUGGACCUUGAAACGAUCUCAAGCAAUAUUUGAUGAAAUGAAGAAGUUUAUGAGUUGGUUUUAUUUUGGUUUUGCUUAUUAACCUUCAAUCCUUUUUUAAAGAUAACUUGUGACACUAAUGAUCGGUUAAAACUUACUUUACAAGAAGAAAAUGGGAUUACUAAUGAUAGAAGAAGGAGAUGAAGAUGCAUAAAACAAAAGAGGACCCCUAAGGGUGCAUAAAUAGCAUUCAAAUCCUUAAAACAAAAACUAAACGGAUGACAAACGAAGAACGAUGUAGAAGUCGAUUAUGGUCGCAAUUCGGUAGCGCCUCGACCUCAUUUUUCUCUUCUUUCUUCUUCUUCUUCUCUCUGAUUUCUCUCAAUUUCUCUUAAUGCUGGACCUUGGAACCCUUUACUCACACCUAUUUAUAGCAAAAGAUGGCAUUAGGGGUCAUGGCAGCUCACCCAGGCGAGUUGUUGCUUCAAUCUGAAGUAACGUUGCUCGCCCAGGCGAGCUGGUUACUUCACCCCUAAGCUAUUUAGGGGCCCGGGUGAGCUAGAGGCUAGCCUGGGUGAGCCAGGGUUCAGAAAAAAGCUUAGAAUGACCCUUUUGCCCUCCUAUCAUUUGUUUUGCACUGUAACUGGCGUUCAACACCGUAAGUUGACUAGCAAGGAUCAAAAGAUCAACAAACGAUAGUCCCCGGAUGAAAUUAGGGUAUGACAAUAAUCUAACGUAAUGUGUUUCUAGUGGUUAUAUUGGUAUUUUAUAAGGAUCUUCUAAAAUUUCAACAAGUGGUAUCAGAGCCACCAUUGGUGUUAGAUUAUUAGGAUUUAAAGUUAUUUGAUUCUAAGUAUACCUAGAUUGCUUUGGUUACAUGAACCCAAUAUUUUUUGGAAGAUAUUUCCAUAUUAGAUAUUUGAUUUAAAUUUGAGUGUAUUUUGUUUUUUGGCAUCAUUAUUUGGUUUUGUAAACAACUUCUUUUCAUGGCUAUUGUUCAUAUCGCUUCUAAUGUAUAUAAUUGAGGAAGUCUUUUGCGCAUGCAGUUUUUGUUUCUUUUAUUUGUUUUUUUGGUUAAAAAGGGGGGAAGUUAUAUAAGUGAGUACAUAAUGAAAAUGUCUAACUUGACAUCAAAAUUGAAAGCACUUAAGCUAGAGCUUGGUGAAGACGUGCUUGUGCAUUUAGUUUUGAUCUCACUUCUUGCACACUUUGGGCAAUUCAAAGUGAACUAUAACACUUAGAAGGACAAAUGGUCCAUUAAUGAGCUUAUAUCUCAUUGUGUGCAAGAGGAAUAGAGGUUGCAAAAGGAUAGAUCUGAAAGUGCUCAUUUAAUCUUGACCUCUUAGAAUAAAGAAAAGAAAGCUAAGGGUGCUCUUAGCAAAAGAAACAAAAGAAAGAUGAAGAAUUUACUUGAUACUUCUACAAGAAGUCUGGACACAUGAAGAAAGAGUGCCCAAGGUACGCUGCAUGGCAUGUAAAGAAAGGUAAAUCUCUUGUUCUUAUUUGUUUUGAAGUUAAUUUAGCAAUCACAGAUCAUUCCCAUUUAUUUGCAUGUCUAGUAAUUUUUUUUAAUUAAAUUGAUUGACACAAUAUAUUGUCAAAGUGAUCCCUAUUGUGAAAAUUGAUUAGAUUAAAAUUACAUAGAUUUUGUAUGAAAUUAUUUAUGUGAAUUGUGUUCUUCCCAAAGGAGAUGCAAUUUGGCCAAAUAAUAUUGUACCCAUGAUCAUAAAUGUGUGACAAUUAUAAGGUGUUUUCAUGUUAAUAAUAGUCAGUCCAAAGAAAGACUAUUAUUUGACAGAAUUUAUUGUCAAUUUUUGAUCCUUGUGUUGAGAGUACCAAUUACAAAUUAAUUUCUUUAUCCAAUGAAUAGGAAUUAAUGUUGUGUUAGGUAUCUUGUGAUGGGUUUGUUAUGCAAAAUAUUUGCACGUUCUAUUACAUAUACUUUUAUAUAACUUAAUUAUAUGUGAAAGUUGUGUAAUUUUAAGACCUCUCAUUUAUUGUCUUGUAUUUUUUGGUUAAAUUGAUUGAAAAAACAUGUUGCCAAAGUAAGCUAUAUUGCGUAAGUUGAUUUGAUUGAAUUUAGAUAGAUGUCACAUGGAAUUAUUCAUGCAAAUUGUGUUCGGCCCAAAGGAAGACACAAUUUGGCAAAAUAAUUACAUGCUUGCAAUGGUAAACAUGUGGCGAUUAUAAAUAGUGUGAUUUUCCAUGUGAAUAAUGAAAUGUUUAAAGACAAUCAUUAUUUGACCGAAGUAAUCAUCAUAUAAGUUUUCCAUGUGAGCAAUGGAGUGUCCAAAGAUAGCCUUUGUUUGACAGGACUUGUCACCAAUGUUUGAUCAAUGCGUUGAGAAUAUCACUUGCAGUUAGUCUUUUUCAAUCCAAAGAUUGAGGAUUAAUGGUGCGCUAGGUAUCUUGUUUGGGUGUUGAAAUUUACCAUAAAGAUUAUUUUUGCACCGUAUGUUUAUUUUCUCUUCUUUAAUUGUUGUUGUUGCUACCACUAUGAUUUAAAAUACUCAUAUUAUUUGAAUCCCAAAUCUGCAUAUAUAAAAUUUAGAGUUUGAAAGGAGUCCGUUGAGAGUUGAGGAUAUUGCAUAAUUUUUUUCUAGAGAAGAAACAAGAGAACAAGAUAAGGAAUUUCCUUGUUGCUUUUGUAGGAUGAGGCAUAUAAAAAAUAGGAAGUCCCACUUACACUAUUUAGUGUGUGAAGAAUGGUAAACUUCUCAUUUUUGUUUGUUUUGAAGUUAAUUUAGUUUUGUACCGAAAGACGUUAGUGGGUAGAUUUUGGUUCUACUAAUUACAUAAGCAUGUCUAUACGAUGCUACCUAUGGAGUCAUCCGCCAAGUGAUAAUGAAAGAUUCAUCUAUGUGGGCAAUGGCAUAAAGUUGCAGUUGAAGCUAUAGGAACUUUUAUGUUGCUUUAAAAGACUUAAUUUCAUUUGAAUUUGGUUGAGACAAAUAUCGAGUUGUUUAUUAAACCAAAUUUUAUUUCUAAUUUGGACAAAUUCAGUUAUUCUUGUUCAAUUAGAAAUGAUAAAGUUAGUCUCUCUUGUGAUUCAAAUGUUACAAGUUAUGAGUUCUUUUAUGGAUAUUUGAGUGUUCAUAUUGAAAACAAUUUUGGGUGGUACAAAACGAAAAAUUAAAUAAGAAUGUUGUCACUUUAUGAUAUAAGCGCUUAAGUCAUAUCUCUUAAUAGAGAAUUUGGAUGCUUGUGUUAUAGGAAAUUUUGGAUCCUUUAUAUUGGUUGGACCUUAUAGUCUACAUUGAGUAUAUAAAGGGGAAAAACAAACAAAAAGGAAUUCAAGUGCUAAAAGAACUAAGGAUGUUUUAGAAUUAAUACAUAUAUAUUUGUGUUCUAUUCCUUAUGGAUUCAUGGAAUGAACCAAUGUAUUUUAUUAUGUUCAUAGAUGAUUCCUCUUUAUUUAAAUUAUGAUUAGUUUUGGCCUCUAGACAUUUAGUCUUUCAAAGCUAAAGUUAAACUUCAACUAAGAAAAAGAGAAAAAUAAGGUUGUCAAAUGUGAUCGUGGCGAAUACUAUGGUAGAUAUGACAUAAGGUACAAAGUUUGGAGUCCCCCAUGUGUUUUUCUUCAAUAAUUGUGAAAUUGUUUUACAACAUGAAAUGUUAGGCAAACCUAGUAUGAACAAAGUUGUAGAAUGAUGAAAUUAGACUUGUACAGAUAUGAUAAGAAGUUUAAUUCUUCUCUACCAAAGUCGCUUUGGGGAAAGACAUUAAAUGGUGUAAUUUUUAUUUUUUUUAAGGUACUAAUUAAAGUAGUCACUAAGAACCCCUACUAGAUGUGAGCUAGGGAAAUCCCAACAUUAGGCAUUUGCACAUUUGAGGAUGUCCAACUGAAGCAAUGCCUUAUAGGGUUGCAUGAAGGUAAGUUGGACUUAAAGAUAAUUAGUUACAAUUAUUUUUUGUUACAUUUAAAGUUCUCGCAUGUAUAAGUUUUACAAUCCCACCUUAAGAUCAUGUUUGAGACGGGAAUGCAAGACUCCUUGAGGAAAUUGAGUUUGGAGGGGAAGAAAACAUAAAGAGUGUUGUCUUUAAAGAAUAACUUGUUAUUAACAAUAAAUAAGCCUUUGUACUUACCAUUGUUCAAGAAACAAAUAUGGUAAUUAAAUAAUGAUAUUACUCCUAACAUUAUUAAAAGACAAGACAACACUAAGAUUCCCUCUCAAGCACCACCUAAAGUUCAAACUCAAUAACCUCAAGAAGUGUCAUUAAGAAGAUCCACUAGAGAAAGGAAAAAUGUAAUUUGAUAUGAUUAUGCCAUAUUUCUUUAAGAACAUGAAUAUGACAUUAGGUUGACUGAGAAUGUCUAAUUGACUUUAUUCAAGUCAUGUUUUGCUCUAACUAUCAAGUGGAUUAAUGUCAUAAAUGAUGUAAUAAAACCAAUGGUUGAACAUGACAUUUGGGAUAUCGUUAAAUUGCUUGAAAGUGUGAAGCCUAUAAGUUGUAGAUAAAUAUCUAUAGUCGAAAGGGAUUCAAAGAGUAAAAUUGAGAUAUAUAAAGUUUUUCUUGUUGUCAAAAUUUUUAUAAGAAGGAAGACAUUGAUCAAAAAGAGACUUUCUCUCUAAUUUCUUAGAAAGACUUUCUUAGGACUAUAAUGACACUGUAGAUCAUUUUGAUAUUUUUUUUUUUUUGCAUAGAUGAAUGUAAAGAUUACGUUUCUAAAUGGAAACAUUGAUGAAACAAUUUAUACAGUGGAACUAGAAAGCCUUGUUUAAGAUGAUCGAAAGUCUAUGGUAUGCAAACUAAAGAAAUCUAUUUAUGCUUUUAAAUAAGUCUCUCAUCUAUGGUAUUACAAAAUUCAUCAAGAUUACUUCUUAUGGUGUUGAGGAAAAUUUGGUUGAUGAUUGCAGAUACUAAAAGUACAAUGGGAGUAAAUUUAUUAUUUUGGUAUUGUAUGUUGAUGACAUCCUACUAGCAUCAUAUGGUUUAUUGUUGCAAAACGAUUAUAUUGCAAUUUAUCAUGUAUUCUUAAGUUUAUUUUUUAUUGUCCUGAAAUAAUUUUUAGUGGGAGUUCUAAGGUGAUAUAUGAGUAAUCUUGGUAUGUAACACUAGAAAGUAGUAAAACAUAUUAUGCGCUAAUUGAAGAAAACAAGAAACUACUUGUUUUCAUAUCGAACGUCUUGAAGUUUAGAUAUCAUUGGGUAUUCUAACUUCGAUUUUUACAGAAUGUCUUAAUAGCAAUCACUCCACACAAGGAUCCACAUUGAACCAUGUUGGUGAAGUUAAUAUUUUGCUAUGAGACAUCAUACUAGAAUUUAUGAUUGCCAAAUUAUGGUAACUGGUUUGCCUGUUGUUGCCAACAUUAAGUAGCCAUCAGGUGUUUAUUGGGACAAUAUCUUAGCAGUCUUAUUAAGAAUUCAACCAAUUAAAAGUUUUUUGACAUAAAAUAUUUGGUUGUUAAAUAAAAAAUUCAAAAAAUAUAGAUUUGUAUAGAACAUAUAGAGACUCAUUCUAUGUUAGUUGAUCCACUUACUAAAGGUCUGACACUUAAAGUUUUCUCAUGAGCACACUGCUCAUAUGGAUGUAAUUCCUGAUAGUAUCUUAGUUUAGUGGGAGUCUUGCUUAUGUUCUAUAUCUUAUGGUUUACAAACAUUUUGUUGUUUGGAUUUUCUGCAGAAAUAAAGUUGAAGUUUAUCAUUUCAUUAUAAGCUUAUUUUGUUUGCAAUAUUUAUAGUGUGUUUGGAUUGAUCUUUAUAAAGAAUAAAGUUUGGACCAAUUGGAAAUAGGCACGACUGAUAUCACAUUGCAUGUAAUUUCCAUGCUGCUUAUCCAUAUUGACCUAUGUCAUUGAGUGUAUUGAUGUGGUGGUCAUUGAGGUCUUGUUACAUUUGUUGUAGUGACAAAAGCCGCAAUGAUUCCAUUAUUGAUAGAUGAGAUGGACUAGGUUGUUAAGGUGGAAAUCUAAAGGUAAAUAGCGUACGAAUGCACGCUUAAGGAUUUUUUAUAUAAUCGUUACAAUAUGUAACUCAAGUGGGAGAUUGUUGGAAUUUUCUAUUCCAAUAAUUAAUGUGGGCUAAUAUUAUAAGACAAUUAUAUUAGCUAUUUAUCAUUAGUGGGUUUUAUUUUAUGUGAUAAAAUUAAGUGAGCCCGUUAGACAACUAAAUCAGAUGAUAUGGACUUAAAUAAACAGAUGUCGGUGUUGGCCCAUUAGGGGAUAAUGGGAACCUUAUUAGGUUAACACGCUAUAAGAAGGCUAUAGUCCCCAAUAUACCGAGUCGUCACACAUAGUUUCUCUUCUCCUCAUUUGAAGAGCUACGAAGGUCCUAUUAAGGAAUAAAGAGGUUCUAGUUCAGGAAGAACCAUGAACCCACCGGUUACGCUGUUAAUCAGUUAUCCGUUCUCUCUACAGCAUUUCGUAACAUAUCCUAAGAAAAGUACAUAGAUUAGAAAUCACCUACGGAUUCAGAUUCCGCUAUGUUUGUUUGAUCAAUCAUUAUGGAUCCAGGUAUUCCUAAAACUCUUCUUGAUAAUCUAACCUAACGUGUUCCUGGUGGUUAUAUUGGUAUUUUAUAAGUAUCCCCUAAAAUUCCAACAAUAUGCUUAUACGUUUCUGUUUACUUUUGAAAUUUAUGCAGUUUUGAUUUAUUUUAUGCAUGAAUAUAUUCUAGAAAAGUUUAUUCUAUGCAUAUAUAUGUGUGAAAUCAAAUGCCUAAUAUUUUGUUCCAAUUAUGCAAUUGUAUAUGAGAAUUUUAUUCAUCAUUGUAUUAUAUCUUGAUCUUGAAAUGCAUAAUAUGAUUUAUUCUCAUAUGAUUAAGUUUUAUGUCUAAGUGAUCUUUAUAAUUUUCAUUAAUUGUGGAUUAGUCACAACUUCUAUAAUUUGAUUAAAAUUAUUUAUAUUAAAUAUUUUAAAGAUCAUCUAAGGAAUUAGGCAUAAUAUUGUGAUUAAUUGUACUUUAUAUAAUGAAUUUUGUCUCAUAGGAAUUUUUAUUAUAUUUGAAUAAUUAAUUAGGAUAAAAUGUCAUUAUUUUUCAUGGUUUACCUACACAGAUCAUGAGGUGAUGUAUAAUUUGAUAGUUUUAUCAUAAAGUAAAUAUUUGUGAUAGAAAAUCAAAUUAUUUUCAUGUCGAACCCGUAAAGCAUGAAUUUGAGUAUGUGAUUUGAUUAUCCCAUAAUAAAGUCUAAUUGUAUCUUAGUGAAUUAAAAAUUUAGCCCAUAGACAAUUUUUAUGUCACAAGAUUCAAUUUUCUAGUAUGCUUACAUUGGUAAAACAUACAAUUAAGAUUAAUAUGUCUCAAAUUUUGACAUAAGCCUUGGAUUUUUACAGCUUCUCAAACUGUUAGUUUUUCUGAUAUUCAAUGUGAUGUUCCCGAACACAAAGGAGAUAACUAUAAGAUAUGGAAGGAGAGAAUUCUUCUGCAACUAGGGUGGAUGGACAUAGACUGUGCUAUAAGGAAAGAUGAAUCACAUGCAAUCACUGAUAAAAGUAGCCCAGAUGUUGUUGCACUAUAUGAGCAGUGGGAGCGAUCCAACCAACUCAACGUGAUGUUCAUUAAGAUCGAAAUCUCGGUUGGGAUAUGUGGUUCUAUCAACUAGCAUGAAAAGGUCCAAGACUUGCUUAAGGCUAUUGAUGCUCCUGAUGCAAUCCUACCCUCCAAGGGCAUUCGAUGGAAGACUCCAAGAAGAUUGGGCUAGAGAUUCAAGAGAAGACCCUAGGGUUCUCAUGAGCCUUAGGGUAGAUUUCGGGCCCAUGGGCUAAGUAUGAGCCCAUUUAUCUUUGUACAUAUUAGAUUAAAGUUUUAUUAUUUUUGUGUCUUGUAUUUAGGACUCUAUAAUGUAGGUAGGGUAUCCUAGAAAUGUAGGAUUUUUCAGCCCUUGUAUUUUAGGACACCUAGACUAGUUAUUGUAUUAGGGGUAGUUUUGUAAUUUCACAUGCAUUAAGUGAAUAUUUGAUGUGUGUGUUGGGAAAUAAAUUUAAUUGAAUUGGGAGAAGCCCAAACCAAUUAAUUUUAGAGGGGAAUUGGGCUUCUCCCAAUUUAAUUGGAUUGGACUUCUCCCAAUUCAAUUAAAUUUAUUUCCCAACACACACAUCAAAUAUUCACUUAAUGCAUGUGAAAUUACAAAACUACCCCUAAUACAAAAACUAGUCUAGGUGCCCUAAAAUACAAGGGCUGAAAAAUCCUACAUUUCUAGGGUACCCUACCUACAUUAUGGAGCCCUAAAUACAAGGACCAAAAAUAAUGAAAUCUUAAUCUAAUAUGUACAAAGUUAAGUGGACCCAACCUUCACCCAUGGGCUCAAAAAUCUACCCUGAGGUUCAUGAGAACCCUAGGGCCUUCUUCAGCAGCUUUAGCCUAAUCCUCUUGGAGCCUCUUGCUCAUGGCUCUAGUAACUGGUCCCUUUCUAGGGAGGAUUGCAUCAUCCCCUCCCCCUUGAAGAGGAUUUGACCUCAAAUCUGUUGGUUCCUCCUCCUCAAUAUCAGCUCCACCUGCAAAAGGAAUUAAAUCAGAAAUAUUAAAAGUGGUGCUGACUCCAUACUCUUCUGGGAGGUCCAACCUAUAGGCAUUGUUAUUGAUCCUCUCCAAGACCUGAAAAGGUCCAUCCUCUCUAGGGCUAAGCUUGGAUUUCCUUUUAGUAGGGAAUCUAUCCUUCUUAAGAUGGAGCCAAACCCAAUCCCCCUCAUUAAGAACUAGCUCCUUUCUUUCUCUAUUGCCUUUAGCUGAAUACACCUUUGUUUGGUUCUCUAUUUGGUUCUUAACCCUCUCAUGCAACUUCUGUACAAACUCUGACCUAGAUUCCCCUUCUUUAUGUAUAAAAGAAGUAUCAAGUGGGAGAGGAAUGAGGUCUAAGGGUGUUACGGGAUUAAACCCAUAGACAACCUCAAAAGGGGAUUGCUUGGUGUUUUUAUGAACCCCCUGUUGUAGGCAAAUUCUACAUGAGGAAGAUACUCAUCCCAACACUUAUGGUUGCCUUUCAGAAGAGCCCUUAAAAGGGUGGAUAAAGACCUAUUCACUACCUCUGUUUGCCCAUCAGUUUGUGAAUGGCAAGUGGUAGAGAAAAGAAGCUUAGUUCCUAUCUUAGCCCAUAAGGUUUUCCAGAAGUGGCUAAGGAACUUAGCAUCUCUAUUUGACACAAUGGUCCUAGGCAAACCAUGGAGUCUCACAACUUCCCUGAAAAUGAGUUUUGAGAUGUGGGAAGCAUCAUCCAUCUUGUGGCACGGUAUAAAGUGUGCCAUAUUGCUAAACCUAUCUACCACCACAAAGAUAGAGUCUACACCUCUUUAGGUUCUAGGAAGCCCAAGGACAAAGUCCAUACUAAUGUCUACCCAAGGUGCAGAUGGGAUGGGUAAGGGUGUGUAUAGCUCAUGAGGCAUCACCCUAGACUAGGCUUGUAAACAAGCCACACACCUAGUGCAAUGCUUAUGGACAUAUUUCUUCAUAUGGGGCCAAUAAAACUUUUCUUUGAGUACGACAAGGGUCUUGUCUAUCCCAAAGUGGCCCAUGAGCCCACCCUCAUGGCUCUCUUUCACAAGUAAUUUCCUGAUGGAUCCUUGGGGUAUGCAAAGCUUUCCCUCUUCGAACAAAUACCCUUCAGCCAAAUAGAAUCCAUCUUGGGCUUUUUUCCCACAACUCUCGUAAAUGGGAGAGAAAUGUUCAUCUAAAGCAUACAAGUCCCUAAUGUUAUCAAAUCCUAAAAUUUGAGCUCCUUGGGAGCAAAACAAUGUGUGUCUCCUAGAGAGGGCAUCAGCUACCGCAUUUGUUUUUCCCUUUUUAUAUUUGAUAACAUAUGGAAAUUGCUCUAGGUACUCUACCCAUUUUGCAUGCCUUUUGUUUAACUUGCUUUGCCCUCUAAUGUACUUAAGUGAUUGAUGAUCACUAUGAAUGACAAAUUCCUUGGAAACAAGGUAAUGUUCCCAAGUUUGCAGGGCUCUUAUUAAGGCAUAAAGCUCUUUAUCAUGGGUGGGGUAGUUAAGGGUGGCACCAUGAAGUUUUUCACUAAAAUAAGCAAUAGGGUGUCCACCUUGUAACAAUACAGCUCCAACUCCCACUCUAGAGGCAUCACAUUCUAGCUCAAAAGUUUUAGAAAAGUCAUGAAGAGCUAGAAUAGGUGCCUUAGUAAGCUUUUCUUUGAGCAAAGCAAAGGCUUGCUCUUGUUUUUCACCCCAGGUAAAUGCUACAUUCUUCUUCACCAGCUCAUUGAGAGGUGAUGCAAUUGUAGAGAAAUUAGGAACGAACCUUCUAUAUAAGCUUGCUAACCCAUGGAAGCUCCUAAUAUUUCCCACACUUUUUAGGGUGGGCCAUUCUUGGAUGGCCUUGAUUUUCUCAGGGUCCACUUGGACCCCAUUUCUACCAACUACAAACCCUAAGAAAACUAUAUUAUCUACACAAAAGGUACACUUCUCUAUAUUUGCAUAGAGAGUGUUUUUCCUAAGGACUGAAAGAACUUGCCUGAGAUGUCCUAAGUGAUCAUCUAGGCUCCUACUGUACACUAAAAUAUCAUCAAAAUAAACAACUACAAAUCUACCUAUGAAAUCCCUUAAGACAUGAUGCAUAAGCCUCAUAGAGGUGCUUGGUGCAUUAGUGAGCCCAAAAGGCAUCACUAGCCAUUCAUACAAACCAAACUUGGUCUUAAAAGCGGUUUUCCACUCACCACCCUCUUUCAUCCUGAUUUGGUAAUAACCACUUUUAAGAUCAAUUUUUGAAAAGAUGUUGACACCAUGCAACUCAUCAAGCAAAUCAUCAAAUCUAGGAAUGAGGUGCAUAUACUUUACAGUAAUGUUGUUGAUGGCCCUGCAAUCUGUACACAUUCUCCAUGUACCAUCCUUUUUGGGCACCAACAACACCGGCAUAGCACAAGGGCUUAGGCUCUCUUAGACCCAGCCCUUCUCCAACAAUUCUUUAACCCAAGACUCUAUCUCCUUAGUCUCUUGAGGGUUAGUCCUGUAGGCUGGCCUAUUAGGAAGGCUUGCUCCUGGGACUAAAUCUAUUUGGUGUUCUAUUCCCCUUAAAGGAGGUAGCCUAAGGGGUAUCUCUUUGGGAAAUAUAUCACCAAAUUCAUGUAAGAUUUCUUGGACAUUUGGGGUUAAGGUCUCAAAUGUAGGAAUUGUGGCGAUGCUAAAGGAUGUUUCCCUUGAUAGGAGAAGGUAGAAAGAUUGUUUAAGAAGGAGUGCUCUUUUAAUAUCACCUUUUGUUGCAAAAUUAUUUUCCUUCUUAACAACCUUCUUGGAGGAAUCCUUUUCCUCUAUUUCCUUCCCCUUGGCCUUUGAAGACAAGGCCUUACUAUCCUUCUUUUUCUUUUGUUUUUCUUGUUUUUCUUCCUCAUCCCUCUUAUCUUUCAUAAUUAGUUGAUCUUUGGCCACCUGCGAAGGUGUUUGAGGAUGCAACACAAAUUUAGUGCCUAGAUGGGUGAGGGUAAUCUCAUUAGUUAGGCCAUUGUAAAUGAUCUUCCUAUCAAAUUGCCAUGACCUUCCUAAAAGAAUAUGUCCUGCCUCCAUGGGAACUAUAUAACAAUUAACUUCAUCCUUAUAUGUCCCAAUGGAGAAAGGUACCUUCACUUGUUGUUUAACUAUCAUUUCCCCUUGCUCAUUGAGCCAUUGAAGUUUAUAAGGUUUUGGGUGGGGAAUGAUAGUGAGGUUCAACUUGGAAACUAAUCUUGUGCUACAACAAUUGCAACAAGAUUCACUAUCCACAAUGAGAGAACAAGUUUUAUCUAAAACUUUACAUCUUGUAUGAAAGAUGUUCUCUCUUUGGGAUUGAGAUAGAUCGUAAGAUUGACCUCCAAGAAGCCUUCUAACCAUUAAAAGUUCACCUUCUUCAUGGGGGUAGAUUUCCUCACUAGACUCUUCACCCCUUACUUCGUCUUCACUUUCACUAGAGGAAAGGCAAGAAGUAGUCUCCUCUUGACUACUAUAAAUGUCUUGACCCUUCAUAAUCAUGGUUUUCUUUGUGGGGCAUUGAGAGGCAAUGUGACCUCUCCCAAGACAUUUGAAGCAUUUAAUGUUCCUAGUCCUUUCUUGGGAACUAGUCUUUGGGGUGGAUUUCUCUAUGGUCUUACCCUUAUCUUCCUUGGUUUUUAAAGGUGCAACCCCCAAAAUUCCUUGGGCUUGGUCCUUCCUUGGAUAAGAGUGAAAGCCAUAAGAUUUUGAAGAAGGCUUUCUUUUAAGUUGUUGCUCCACUCUUAUACAAAGUUGGACUAGCUCAUCUAGGUCCCUAUAUGGAAGGAGUUCAACCUUGUCCCUCACUUCCAUAUUAAGCCCACUAAGGAACCUAGCUAUGCUUGUUCUUUCCUCUUCCCUAAGUCCAGCUCUUAAAAAGAGUAGUUCCAUUUGUUGUCUAUAUUCUUCAACACUCAUACUCCCUUGUCUAAGCCUUUGGAGUUAGUCCAUAAGCUCCCUUUCAUAGUAGGAGGGAAUGUGCCUCUUCCUAAGGGCACUCUUAAGAUCAUUCCAAUACUCUACUGGAGGAUCCCCAUGAAUCCUUCGUUCCCUAACAAGGAAAGUCCACCAAUAGAGGGCAUACCCUUGAAAGCUAAGGGUAGCCAAUUGAAUUUUUCUCUCUUCGCUAAUAUGAUGGCAAGCAAAGAGUUGUUCAACCUUCAUUUCCCAAUCUAAGUAGGCCUCAACAUUAUCUUUUCCAUGGAAAUAUGGAAGGCUAAUGUUAACCUCUUGAGGCCUUCUAUCCUUUUCUCUUCUUUGGGAGUGAUGUUUAGUAUGUGAACUAUGGUGCCCUCUAUAAUAGUCUCUAAGUUCUUCACUUAAACUCUUGCAAGAGUCAUGACUACUAUAGGAAGCAUGUUUUUCUCUUUUCAUUUCUUUCAUUAUUUUUCUUCUUUCUUCCUCUUUUAGUUUCUCUCUUUCAUCUUGACUUAUUUCUUCCACUCUUUUUUUUCCUUUUUUCUUUUCUGUCUUGUUUUUCUUUCCACAACUUAAGGGAUCUCAACUCAUCUAACAUCUUAUACAUAGGGUCCUUAGGAGUAGAACCCUCACCAUUAACACUUGAUGAAGAAUAAAGACUCAUGUUGGUUCCUAAGUUGUGGUUCUUUCUUGUUGGGGGUUUGAAAACAAAAGGUAAAAGAAACUAUGGUUGAAACUAGCCAAAAUAAACACUAAAAGAGGCGUGAAAGAUACGAUAAAAACUAAUUGGUAAAAGGCAAGCUAUCUAGGCAGUUUGACAAUGGAAGGUAAAGGAAAUAAGCUAUGAAAGUAAGCAAGAAAUGUAAACUAGGCGAAUCCUAAGAGUGUUUGGAUGACCACAUUUAAGGUUCCCAACAAAACACUCACAAUCCUAAGGGAAAAUUGCCUAAAAUUAUUACACACAAAUGGAAGUAGGGUGACCUAUUGGAGGCUCCCAACUUACUUCCAAUGAAAGGCCUUUUUGUUACAAAAUUUGAAAGCAAUGAAAGUAAGUAAAUUGUCAAUUACAAAAUUACAAAAAGGUCCUUUAUUUUGGUGGUUGUUCUCUCUUUGGUGAUUCACUCAAUUUGGAGUGCUUCUUAGUCCAAUAGCUCAUAAGGUGGUUUUCCCCUUGCUUCUUGACUCAAAUUCUUCAAGGGAUGGCACCAAUCCUCCUUUCCAAUUCCCUACAUGGAAACUCACAAACAAGGAAACAAAGAGACAAGCAAUAACCAAAGACCAAAAAAAAUAAAAUGAAAGCUAAACCAAUAGAGUUUUAACAAGACAAAUUUUCAAGGAUUAUUCAACAAUUAAAGUAAUGAAAAGCACAUAAAAGCAAGCUAGAACUCAAAGAGAAACUUAGAAUGGCUCUAGAGUAGAGUAAAAAAACAAAAAAAAAAAACUCAAGAAACCUCUAGUUUUGGAACUUGUUUUCACACUAAUUUUCAAUUGAAAUUUCAGAACUAAGAUUGGUAUAAAAUAGGCACCAAUUAUAGAACAAAUUUCGAGCCAAAACAACAAGCACACUUCCCUUUCACUUUUUUCUCCUGGAUACUGAUUUUUCUGCCAACUUGUGUGAUUUUUCUUAUUUUUUCCUUUUAUCCAAAUCACUUGGUUCUUUUUUAUAAUUUUUUCCAGAUGUCUAUAAAGUUCAGUUCAGUAAACAUUUUAGCUCAAAAUUCGUAGUGACCAAUUCUCAGUAAUUUAUACAAGUUCGUAUGUUCAAGUUGCCAGCACCAACGAUUUCAACCUAGAAAUCAAGAAUAGUGUUUAUGUUGCUUAAGGCUUGGAUAGUUACAAUUUGUGUUUGCUUAUGCUCAAUUAUCUUGAAUAACACAAUUCAAGAGAGCUUAAGACUUAUUUUGAUUCACAAAUCCUGCCACAACUAAGCACCACAACUCAACUUCAUCAUAGGCAUCAUGUAGGAAACUUAGAAAACAAAAAAAAAGUUCAACAACAAGAUUACUUUUAGGAAUUGAUUUAGAACAUGUUAUGAACUAAAUAACAUGCAUGAAUUAGACUCAAAAUUCAAAAGAUAGGCUAAGAAUGAUAAGAAUACAUGAACAAAUGUAUCUAAAUUCAAUCAACAAAAUAAAAAUUCAACACAAACUUAGAACAUAAUGUGACAAUUACUAUGACUAAACAUUACUCUAAGACAACAUGGAUUAAGUGAUUUACACUUAGAUUUUUGUGUUUUUUUCUAAUCAAUAUUUUGGAAGAAAAUUUAUAUCUAAUGGUUCAGCACAAGAAUAUUAUGACUGAAAAAUGAUAGAACCUAAAAUCAACACAAAAACAUGAUUCAAGAGUAGAUCUAUAAAAUUUGAACUAUAGAAAUGUAAGAACAAGUGUAGAUCUAAGAUUUAAUCGGUUUAAUUUUUUUGAAUCUACUAUAAACAGAACCAAACCACAAGACAAUGGAGGAUAUACAUGGAGAAUAAGAUGAAUAACAAGGAAUUAAAGUGAAUUGACUGAACAAAAAGAUAGAGGAAGCAAAAGAACAUCACCUAGAUGAAGAUGCUCUGAUACCACAUGAUGUAGCUCCAUUAGAGCUUGUAGGCCUUGGAUCUUCUUCAUCAAUGGAGUCCUUUUCUUCUUGAAUUUUAAUGGCAGCAAAAUGGAUAAGAAGAAGAGUUGAGAGGAGAUGCCACUUCUGUAGAAGCAAGCUUCAUGAUGAUGAAUCAAGUUGAUUCAAGUAGUUUUGAUGAUGACAAAGAUGAUGACAAAAAUCCCAAGAGAAUGAUUUCAAGAUUGAGUCAACAAGUUCAAGAUCAAGUUUAAUUUCAAGUUUCAUGAGAAGAAAUCAAGAAGAUUCAAGAAUCAAGAGAAGUUUGAUUUCAAGAUUCAAGAGAAGAAAUCAAGAAGACUUCUCAAGGGAAGUAUUGAAGAGAUUUUUCAAAAAACAAACAUAGCACAAUUUUGUUUUUCAAAAGAGUUUUUCUCAAAAUUUUCUAAGUUGCCAGAGUUUUUACUCUCUGGUAAUCGAUUACCAAUUUCCUGUAAUUGAUUACCAGUGGCAAAGUUUGAUUUCAAAAGCUUUUAACUGAAUUUGCGACGUUCCAAUUGUUUUUUAAAUGGUGUAAUCGAUUACAAUAUAUUGGUAAUCGAUUACCAGUGUAUCUGAACAUUGAAAUCCAAAUUCAAUUGUGAAGAGUCACAUCUUUUCAUAAAAUAUUUUGUGUAAUCGAUUACAUGGUUUUGGUAAUCGAUUACCAGUUACAAGUUUUGAAUAAAAAGUCAAGAGAUGUAACUCUUCCAAUGGUUUUCAGGUUUUUCUCAAGGUUAUAACUCUUCCAAUGGUUUUCUUGACCAGACAUGAAGAGUCUAUAAAAGCAAGACCUUGACUUGCAUUUCAACAACGACUUACAACUUUUUCAUAUAUUCUUUUACAACCUUUGAAUCUCUUUGAACUUCUUCUUGAACUUCUUCUUCUUCUUCCUUUGCCAAAAGCUUUCUGAGUUUUCUGGUUUCCAAACUUUGUUCUUUCACAGAAAACAAAAAGUGUGUUAUUCAUCUUUUUCACUCUCUUCUCCCUUUGCCAAAAAGAAUUCACCAAGGACUAACCGCCUGAAUCCUUUUGUGUCUCCCUUCUCCCUUUUCAAAGAAUUCAAAACGACACAGUCUGAGAAUUCUUUUGAUUCUUCCCUUUCCCUUAAACAAAAGAUUUCAAAGUACUAACCGUCUGAGGUAUCUUUUGUUUCCCCUUCACAAAGUUUCAAAGGACUAACCACGUGAGAACUUUGUCUUAACACAUUGGAGGGUACAUCCUUUGUGGUACAAGUAGAGGGUACAUCUACUUGGGUUGUUGUAAUUGAGAAUAAGAGAGGGUACAUCUCUUGUGGAUCAGUUCAAGUGGAGGGUACAUCCACUUGGUUGUUCAAAGAGAACAAGGGAGGGUACAUCCCUUGUGGAUCUUUGCUUGUAGAGGAUUUUACAAGGUUGAAAGAAAUCUCAAGGACCGCAGGUCGCUUAGGGACUGGAUGUAGGCACAGGUUGUUGCCGAACCAAUAUAAAUUCUUGUGUUUGUCUUCUUCUUCCCUACACUCUUUAAUUUCCACUGUUCACUUUAAUUAUCGCUUUUACUUUUGGUUAAGUUUCUAUUUAUGUUCUUUACUUUCUUAACAUUAUAGUAAAAGCCUAAUUGAAUCUAGUAACAUUAAGAAGGAUAGAUUUUUAAUUAGUAAAGGUUCAUUAAUAAUUAAUUCAACCCCCCUUUCUUAAUUAUUCCGAGGCCACUUGAUCCAACAACUUCAAGGAGAAGAUGAGUAAAGAAGAAGCUCACCACCAUAGGAAGCCAUGGAUAAGAGCUAGGAGGUAGGAGAAGAAAAAUGGAGGGAGGAGAGAGGGAGCACGAAAUUUGUGCCUCAAAAGAGGUCUUAACUUUGAAGUGCAAUUCCCAAAUGAUCAAAGUUGAAAAAAAUGCACACACAUAGCCUAAGUGUCACACAAAAUUGGAGGAAAAUUUGAAUUUCUAUUCAAAUUUCACUUGAAUUUGAAAUUGAAUUUGUGGAGCCAAAAAUUCACUAAUUAUGAUUAGUGAAUUUCAGUUAUGGUUCAACCCACUAAUCCUAGAUCAAGUCCAAGAUUUUCCACUAAGUGUGCUUAGGUGUCAUGAGGCAUGUAAAGCAUGAAUGACAUGCACAAAGUGUGACUAUAUGAUGUGGCAAUGAGGUGUAGUAAGAAAAUGCUCACCUCCCCCUCUAAAAUUUAAUUCGAUUAGGCUUAUCCCAAUUCAAUUAAAUUUAUUUCCCAACACACACAUCAAAUAUUCACUUAAUGCAUGUGAAAUUACAAAACUACCCCUAAUACAAAAACUAGUCUAGGUGCCCUAAAAUACAAGGGCUGAAAAAUUCUACAUUUCUAGGGUACCCUACCUACAUUAUGGAGCCCUAAAUACAAGGACCAAAAAUAAUGAAAUCCUAAUCUAAUAUGUACAAAGAUAAGUGAACCUAACCUUGGCCCAUGGACUCAAAAAUCUAUCCUGAGGUUCAUGAGAACCCUAAGGCCUUCUUCAGCAGCUCUAGCCUGAUCCUCUUGGAGUCUCUUGCUCAUGGCUCUGGUAACUAGUCCCUUCCUAGGGAGGAUUGCAUCAGGGCCAACCACCUUAAGAGCUAUUGAAAUAAGAAGCACUCCAAAUUGAGUGAAUCACUAAAGAGAGAACAACCACCAAAAUAGAGGACCGUUUUGUAAUUUUGUAAAUUUCAAUUUACUUAACUUCAUUGCUUUCAAUUUUUGUAACAAAAAGGCAUUUCAUUGGAAGUGUGUUGGCAGCCUCCCAUAGGUUACCAAACUUCCAUUUGUGUGUAAUAAUUUUAGGAAAUUUUCCCUUAGGAUAAUGAGUGUUUUGUUGGGAACCUUAAAUGUGGUCAUUCAUGCAUUCUUAGGAUCCGCCUAGUUUACAUUUCUUGAACUUUAAUUUCUUGCUUACUUUCAUAUCUUUUUUUCUUUACUAGUCACACCUAGUUUAUCUUGUAUUUACAUAAUACUUUCUUCUUGCUUAUCAUGCUUAUCUUGAGUUCUUUUGAACCCUAGUUUUUACCUUUUACAAACCCGCAACAAGAAAGAACCACAACUUAGGAACCAACAUGAGUCAUCAUUCAUCUAGUGUUAACGGUGAGGAUACUAGUCAUAAGGAUCCUCUAUCUAGAAUCUUAGUUGAGUUGAGUUCCCUCAUGUUAUGGAAAGAAAAACUAGAAAGAAAAGAAAAAGGAAAAGAGAGGGUAUAAAUAAAUCAAGAUGAGAGAGAACAAAUAAGAGAGGAAGAAAGAAGAAAAAUAAUGAAAGAAAUGAAAAGAGAAAAACAUGUCUCCUAUAGUAGUCAUGACUCUUGUAAGAGUUUAAGUGAAGAACUUAGCGACUAUUAUAAAGGACGCCAUAGUUCACAUACUAAACAUCAUUCCCAAAGAAGAGAAAAGGAUAGAAGGCGUCAAGAGGUUAACAUUAGCGUCCCAUAUUUCCAUGGAAACGAUAAUGUUCAGGCUUACUUAGAUUGGGAAAUGAAGGUUGAACAACUCUUUGCUUGCCAUCAUAUUAGCGAAGAGAGAAAAGUUCCAUUGGCUACCCUUAGCUUUCAAGGGUAUGCCCUCUAUUGGUGGACUGCCCUUGUUAGGGAAUGAAGGAUUCGUGGGGACCCUCCAAUAGAGUAUUGGAAUGAUCUUAAGAGUGCCCUUAGGAAAAGACACAUUCCCUCCUACUAUGAAAGGGAGCUUAUGGACAAGCUCCAAAGGCUUAGACAAGGGAGUAUAAGUGUUAAACAAUAUAGACAACAAAUGAAACUACUCCUUUUAAGAGCUGGACUUAGGGAGGAGGAAAGAACAAGCAUGGUUGGGUUCCUUAGUGGGCUUAUUAUGGAAGUGAGGCACAAGGUUGAACUCCUUCCAUAUAUGGACCUAGAUGAGCUAGUCCAACUUUGUAUAAGAGUGGAGCAACAACUUAAAAGAAAGUCUUCUUUAAAAUCUUAUGGCUUUCACUCUUAUCCAAGGAAGGACCAAGCCCAAGGAAUUUUGGGGGCUGCACCUUCAAAACCCAAGGACGAUAAGGGUAAGACCAUAGAGAAAUCCACCCCUAAGACUAGUUCCCAAGAAAGGACUAGCAACAUUAAAUGCUUCAAAUGUCUUGGGAGAGGUCACAUUGCCUCUCAAUGCCCCACAAAGAAAACCAUGAUUAUGAAGGUCAAGACAUUUAUAGUAGUCAAGAGGAGACUACUUCUUCCUCUUCCUCUAGUGGAAGUGAAGAUGAAGUAAGGGGUGAAGAGUCUAGUGAGGAAGUCUACCCCCAUCAAGAAGGUGACCUCCCAAUGGUUAGAAGGCUCCUUGGAGGUCAAUCUUGUGAUCUAUCUCAAUCCCAAAGAGAGAACAUCUUUCAUACAAGAUGCAAAAUUUUAGAUUAAAGUUGUUCUCUCAUUAUGGAUAGUGAAUCUUGUUGCAAUUGUUGUAGCACAAGAUUAGUUUCCAAGUUGAACCUCACUAUCAUUCCCCACCCAAAACCUUAUAAACUUCAAUGGCUCAAUGAGUAAGUGGAAAUGAUAGUUAGCCAACAAGUGAAGGUACCUUUCUCCAUUGAGACAUAUAAGGAUGAAGUUAAUUGUGAUAUAGUUCCCAUGGAGGCAGGGCAUAUUCUUUUAGGAAGGCCAUGGCAAUUUGAUAGGAAGAUCAUUUACAAUGGCCUAACUAAUGAGAUUACCCUCACCCAUCUUGGCACUAAAUUUGUUUUGCAUCCUCAAAUACCUUCACAGGUGGUCAAAGAUCAACUAACUAUGAAAGAUAAGAGGGAUGAGGAAGAAAAACUAGAAAAACAAAAUAAAAGAGAAGGAUAGUGAGGCCUUGUCUUCAAAGGCCAAAGGGAAGGAAUAAGAGGAAAAGGAUUCCUCCAAGAAGAUUGUUAAGAAGGAAAAUCAUUUUGCAACAAAAGGUGAUAUCAAAAGAGCAUUCCUUCUUAAACAAUAUCUCUACCUUCUCCUAUCAAGGGAAACAUCCCUUAGCACCGCCAUACCUCUUGAGCUUGAGGUUAUUCCUCAAGUAAAGAAGUUGUUGGAUGAGGGUUUGGUUCAUAACAGCUUAACUCCUUGUGCUUUGUUGGUGCCCAAAAUAGGUAUUAUGAGGCACCGAAUCCCUAUGAUAGGUGGUAUGAUGAAUGUGUUGAAUGGUGCAACCCUCUUUUGUAAAAUCACCCAUGCAUCCAACAUCUUCAUGAUUCACAUACAUAGGGACUCAUUAGGUAGGUUUAUUCUUAUUUUUAGUUUCAAUACAAACUUAGGUGCUCAUAUGGGACACCUUAGGUUUGUCAUACUUUUUGGUAGGAAUAAUCAACAUGAAAAUACAGAAAAAGGUAUGUUUUAUUGCAUUACUUUCCUUAAUUUUUUAAAUAGUGAUCAAGGGCUUCCCACGGACCCUAAGAGAAUAAAGGUCAUUCCCGAGUGGCCCACUCCACCAAAUAUAAGGAAAAUUUAGGGCUUCCAUGACUUAACAAACUUUUACAAAAGGUUUGUCACAUAUUUUUCUAUACUUGUAGCACCACUCAUUGAGUUGGUGAAGAACCAUGUUCCCUCAUGGGAAGAUGCCCAGGAAAUAGGUUUUCAGACCUUACUGUACUCCAACAUACCAACCACCACUAUCACAACCUACCCUUUGGCAAGGGUGCAAAAAGGCCAAAAUGGAUAGGCCAAAGCAUUUGUCUCCAAGGGACGACAAGGGUGUUGCCCUUGCUCCUACGUAUCCUCAGGUGUGAUGAGGAAUUUAGACCUACGUAGUUCUUUAAAAGCAAGAAAGUUACGCAUAGGGUUGAUUUUAAACUUUUGAAAGGUUCAUUUUAACCGAUAAAAGCAAAAGAGGUGGUUAAGGCGUUGGACCUUUGAACGGAUUCAAGCGAUUUUUAUGGGUAAAUGCUUGGUUAUAUGUUGAUUUUAACUUUGAUUUCGCUUAUUUACUUUCAAACUCAUUAAAAGAUGACUCGCGAAGUAAAUGAUCGCUUCAAACUUACUUUACAAAAGAAAAGCGAUUAUCAAUGAUAGGAGAAGGAGAUGAAGAUGCACAAAACAAUAAAGAGGACCCCUAAGAGUCCAUAAACCAUGUUCAAAUCCUUAAAGACAAACACUAACUGGAUGAAGAAUGAAGAACGAUGUAGAAAUCAAUUACAGUCGCGAUUCAGUGGUGAUUUAGCUUCUUUUUCUCUUCUUCCUUCUUCUUUUCUCUUCUUUUUCUCCAAUCUUUCACCUCUGGACCUCAGAACCUCUCUCUCAUCCCCUUUUCACACUUAUUUAUAGCAAAACAGGGCAUUUGGAGUAAUGACAGCUCGCCCAGGCGAGCUGUUACUUCAUUUUGAAGCAACCUUGCUCGCCCAGGUGAGCUGGUUACUUCCCCAUGAAUUUAUUUGGUGGCCCAGACGAGCCAGAGGCUAGCCUGGGAUAGCCAGGGCUUAGAAACAGCCUUAAAAUGACCCUUUUGCCCUCCCCUUUGGGUAUUUUCUCAUCCUUGAUCAAAACAUUGAAUGAUCGUCUGUUUCACACUGUAACUGACAUUUAACACCGCAAGUCAACUAGCAAGGAUCAAAAGAUCAACAAACGAUAGUCUCCGGACGAAAUUAGGGUAUGACAGUUGUCCUUCUUUACUUAUUUUUUAUUGGAAAUAAAAGGGAAGUAAAGAUAAGGACACUAAUUUCGUUCAAGCAAUCCUACUAUUCGACGAGGCAAUUGGCCAACCAAGGAAGUGAAACCGAGAAAACAUGAGAAAAUUGAAGUUUUGUAGAGCGGAAGAUAUUUGAAGUUCUUCUUUUUCUUUUUCUUCUCUUUUUUUUAUAUACAUAUUUUUUUUCAAAGCAUAGAAACAGAGGACGUCAAGUCCUACAAAGCACAAAGACAAGGACAUUGAGUCUUAUAAAAGACAAAAGACAUUGAAGUCUUUGAAAUGUAAAUGAAGACAUUGUUGUCUUGACAAAAGACAUUGAAGUCUUUAGAAAUGUAAAUGAAGACAUUAUUGUCUUUUGAAAGUGUAAAUGACUGAAGACAUUGAAGUCUUUUGAAAAGUAAAUGAAGACAUUGUCAUCUUUUGAAAGCAUAAAUGACUAAAGACAUUGAAGCCUUUUGAAAUGUAAAUGAAAACAUUGCCAUCUUGACAAAAGACAUUGAAGUCUUUAGAAUGUAAAGAAGACUGUGAUAGUCUUGACGAAAGGCAUUGGAGUCUUUGAAAAGUAAAGGUGUAGAUGACCUUGAUUGUCUCUACAAGACAAAAAGACUAUGAUAGUCUUUGAAAAAGUAAAGGAGCAGAUGGCCUUGAUUGUCUCUACAAGACAAAAGACUAUGAUAGUAUUUGAAAAGUAAAGGCGGAUGACAUUGAUAGUCUCCACAAGACAAAAGACUCUGAUAGUCUUUGAAAAUUAAAGGAGCAGAUGACCUUGAUUGUCUCUAUAAGACAAAAGACUAUGAUAGUCUUUGAAAAGUAAAGGCGGAUGACAUUGAUAGUCUCCGUAAGACAAAAGACUCUAAUAGUCUUCGAAAAGUAAAGGAGCAGAUGACCUUGAUUGUCUCUACAAGACAAAAGACUCUGAUAGUCUUUGAAAAGUAAAGGCGGAUGACAUUGAUAGUCUCCGCAAGACAAAAGACUCUGAUAGUCUUUGAAAACUAAAGAAGCAGAUGACCUUGAUUGUCUCUACAAGACACCAGACUAUGAUAGUCUUUGUAAAGUAAAGGAGUAGAUGAUCUUGAUUGUCUCUGCAAGACAACAGACUAUGAUAGUCUUUGAAAAGUAAAGGCGGAUGACAUUGAUAGUCUCUGCAAGACAAAAGACUCUGAUAGUCUUUGAAAUGUAAAGAAUACUUUAAUAGUCUUGAAGGCAUAAAGAUGGAGAACUUUGAGCCCUAUGAAAGAUAAUGAUAGAGGACUUUGAGUCCUAUGAAAAGUAAAGGCAAGGACUUUGAGUCCUAUGAAAGAUAAAUGUGAGGACUUUGAGUCCUACGAAACAAGCCAAUAGGUACUGGUACCAAAGGGCUUAACCUUAUGAGAAAGCAAGAGGUUGACUCUUUGAGAGGGUCUCUCAUCCUAAACUUGAAAGAUUAGAUUUGGGAAAGUGGUAUAUAAAGAUAAAUCUAUGCACUUAUAGCCUAAUAUGAACAUGAUUUGGGAUGUAGAUGCAUGUAACCUUCAUCUUGAAAUGCUAGUAAUGCAAAAGGUUUUGAAUCAUGAAAAUUGUGUAAUGCUCAUGACAUUCUUUCCUAUUUUUUUGUGAUUUUGAUUUUGAUUUCAUUUUUUUUUUUGCUUUUUCUUUUUUCCUUUUGUGGAAAACACAGAUUGACUAUCUCUUUCUGGAAGAUGUGAUAAUUCAUGCAACCUCAUUCUAUUUUUGUUUUUUUUGCAAAUCUCUUCGGGGACUCCCUCAGAGUGUAUGUUUUGUUUGAUCACUUGAAAAUUUUGGAGUGACGGCAUGGGAGCCAUUUGACACUUAAUCAAUCAACCGAAAUAUUGAUCUUAGGGUUUUCCCCUUUUAAAAACUUCAAUUAUUCUGCACAACAAGAAAAACAUAAGGCUUUGGGAUCGAUCGUGUGCCCCCUUGAAAGGAUGGCAAUGAAUUGUCACACUUUGGUAUGUGACCAAGUGAAACUUUCCUGAUUUAAGGUCAUAGAGUGAUGCCAAGGGUCUGUCGAUCUCGCUGAAACUUGAUGACAAGGGCUGAUCAUGAAAUAAUUUAUAACGAAGCUACCCUUGGAUUCGAAAGGAAUCCCAAAGGAGUCUGCAUGAGAGACUAACAUCAGAUGUACCCUACUAUCACAAUUGUCUUUGGGCAUUUUCCACAAGCUCCUGGUCGAAUGAGUUUUCUUCUCAAAUGUUUAAGUGUGAAACCUCAAGGAUUCUUUCCAUUUUUUAUACAUAUUUUUUUCAACAAUCACAAGCGUGUGUGGGUUUUAUUCCAGAAUCCCAACUUAAAAGCAAAAUUAGUCAUUCCUUGAUCCACAUGGGCUUUAUUAGGCUUGCAACGUGGUCAGGGGUAAGAGGGCUAUGAAAGAAAGGAUUAGAGUGGCUCAAAGAGUGUUUGAGGGUUAUAUUGAGUAAGAACUUUGAGAGUCUUGCUUGUAUUUUAUUCAUUUCAACUUUUGAGUUGGGCUCCACUCUUUUUUUCUUAUACAUUAAUCUUUCUUUGUACUUUUGUGCCUUUCUUGCAAAAUUUGGAGAUCUUUUGUCUCUUUUUUUCUCGCCUUUGGCGGAUUUUGUUUUUCUUCAUUGUUACCCAACUUCAUGCAUGUGUUCUUUGCAUUGUUCUUCCCAUCGGUUUAGCAGUGGUUCCCUCUCAGGGUUUCUAUUUUGCUUUUUUCUGUUCUUUUUUUUUGUUGUUUCUUAGAAAACAAUGCUUUGGCUCAGAAGGGGUAGCAAAGGAUAAACUAGUGUUUGGGAUGUUGAAACAUGGCCAUGUGUCAUUUCAAAUCUUGACUUAGAUCCUUUUGUAGUUUGGAUUUUGGGACAAAACCUUAAUAACACGCCCCUGAUUGUUUUUAUUUUAUUUUAUAUCAACCCUAAUUUUUGCUUAGGCCACCCUUUUGGGUUUUCAACCUACCGGGUGAGAACUUCUGAUUUGCCCCUAGGUUCGCUUGAGGCUCAUGCAUGGUGCCUCUCACUGCCCCAGUGUAGGGCUCUAAGGUAUCUACUGUUGUCUUUUGUCAUGACCUUGUAGCAAGAAAUUGUGCAGAUUCUCGAAAAUGACUUUUCAAGGACGAGAAAUAUUUAAAGGAUUUUUCAAUUGACAGAUUAGGUUGAACGACUCUUGUUCUUGACAACUCACUUUUCUCUCAAAAAUAAAACUUUUAAGAAUGAUAAAAUGAGGUCACAUGAACGUCUGUACUUUUUUAUUUAAAAAACAGACAAUCAAACAUUUUUUUUUACUUUUUACUUUACUCGUCGUUUACGGCAUCCUCGCCAAAUGUGGAGAACGAGCAAUUUUUGAUUGAAUAGACUUGGAGAUCAACUCAAGAAUGCAGGUCACUUGAGCAAACAAACCAACGACUCACAUUCCAGUGGAAGUUAAAUAAGCAAAGAUGUAAUUGUGAGAGAAUGAGAGACAAGGACAUCAAAUUUAUCCAUAUUAUUAGCAUUAUGACUGUUGUUUACAGUAAUGGCAUAAACUUGAAAAUCCUAAUGAGUCAUUGGAGACAUCUAACAACAACCUUCACAUUGCCCCAAGAAUCAUACAUAGUAUUGCUUGACAACAUCAUAAUUCAUAAGUGAUUCUCCUCCUCAAAUCUCAGCCAGCCUGCAUCAAUCAGACUUUGCACCUUAUGUUUUAGGGUCAUACAAUACUCAAUGGAAUGCCCCGGAACUCCUCCAUGAUAAGCACAUGUUGCAUUCGAGUUGUAUCCUCGAAAAAAUAACGGUUAAGGAAUCUUUGCUGGGGUUAUGACUGCCAUUGCAUUAUCGAGCAGAUAGGGGAGUAAGUCAGCAUAUGACACCGGAAUUGGGGUGAAUUCUAUAGGCUUCUUUUCUGGAAAAUUCCUUCAUCGGUUGGUGUUUGGUAUUGGAUGUGUGGUAGGCAGGCUUUAUGGCUGAUUUAGGGGUGACCUUUGUGGAUGAUUGAGUGUUAUUGGUUGAUAGGGUGGUGGGUAAUGAGAAGGGCUGUCAUACCCUAAUUUCGUCCGGGGACCUUUGCUUGGUGACAUGCGACCUUUCUUUGGUCCUUGUGAGGUGCUUGGCACCCAUCAUUAGGCAAUUUGUGAAAUUCCAGGACAUGCCGGAAAACCAAAAAAAUAUUGAUGCACAAUCCGUAAGUUUCCGUGACACACCGGAAAUCAAAUGGAAGCAUCGUUGCAUAAUUAAGUGAGAUUUCGUAACAUUCCGUAAGUCAAAAAGGGGAUGAUUAUGUAAUCCGCAAGGUUCCGUAACAUUACGGAAAGAAAACAAGUAUCGUUACGAAAUUCGUAAGUUUCCGUAACUUUACGAAUAAAGGAAUCACCAAAAAAAGCAGAGGGGGUGUACUUAGUAAAAAUGGGGGUGCAAAUAGCACCCAGGCCCACUUGGGCCCUCCAGAAUAUUCCUCCAGAAGGUUGUUGCUUCUGGAGGAAGCAACCUGGCUCGCCUGGGCGAGCUGGGCUCGCCUGGGCGAGCUCGGCGGCAACCACCUCCCCUAUUUUGCUAUAAAUAGGGGAGGAAGUGAAGAAGAAAAGGGUUCAGCCCCUUAGGCACUUCUCUCUCUUUCGAAUUUGUUUGGAAAAAUUGUUUCCGUGAAGAAAAUCUAAGCCGAGGCGCUUCCGAAACGUUUCCGUAACGUUUUCCAUGAAGAAUUUCGCAAAGGUUUCGACCGUUCUUCGACGUUCUUCAUUCGUUCUUCAUCGUUCUUCGAUCUUCAACGGGUAAGUACCUCGAACCAAGCUUUUCGAUUCAUUCUAUGCACCCAUGGUGGUCCACAUUGUGUUUUGUGUAUUUCUAUUCUUGUUUCAUUUGCUUUUUUAUACCCCCUCUUGACGUGCUUAAGCCAUUUUACUUAAGUCAUUUCUCGCUUAACUUAAAAAUAAAAUAAAUUUCCACCGAACGUUUGAAUUGUAUUAUCCGUUAACUUCGGUUAAAAUGAAUUCCGACCGUUCGGUCGUGCCGUAACCACGUUGGAAAUCAAAAAGAGGUAAAAAAUAAUAUAAUAAUCAAAAAACAUCUUUUAGUAAAAUAAAGCGGAAAAUCAAUCGGACGUUUUCUCUUUGGGAUUUCUCAUUCUUAAUCGAAUUGAUUAAUAACUAAAGUGAAACUAAAGGCUAAAAUCAAUUCGCCUAGUCAAGCUCGUCCAUAAAAAUAGGCUUUUGAAGUUUGUCAUUUCAAUUUCUCACUAAGUAAAAUGGAUCAUUUUUAAGGUCCAACGCCUUAAAAUGAUCACCACUUAAGUAAAAAAGAAUCACUUGACAAAAAGCAAGAACUACGUAGGUCUGAGUUCCUCAUUGAGGAUACGUAGGAGCAAAAGCCCCGCUUUUGUCGACCACCCCAAGAGAUCGUUAAUGGUCCAAUGCCUUAACGUUUCUCUCCUUUCAAAAACAAGAGGUCGUUAAUGGUCCAACGCCUUAACGUUUCUCUCCUUUCAAAAUCAAAAGACCGUUUAAUGGUCCAACACCUUAAAUGACCUUUUGUUCAAUAAAAACAUAUUUUACAAAAAAGACAAAAAUAACUUAACCAAACACUUUGUUCCGAAAGAACUACGUAGGUCUGAUUUUCUCAUCCCAAUUGAGGAAUACGUAGGAGCAAAGGGAAACACCCUUGUCGACCACAAAAAGAGAAAAAAUAUAAAAAGGGUAUAAAGGAUAUAAGGACAUAAAGGGAACGUAAAAAUCAAAGUCAUGUUUGCACAUUCGAUUAAAGGCUGCCGUCCCUUGGGAUGGACGUGUGGGGUGCUAAUACCUUCCCCGUGCGUAAAUACAACUCCCGAACCUUUCACUUAAAAGUUCGUAGAUCGCGUCUUUUCCGGUUUUUCCGACGUUUUCCUCAAAUAAACGUUGGUGGCGACUCCGCGCGUAUUCCUUUCGUGGAACACGCAUCCCGCGAGUCAACGCGUCGCCCUCCCGCCGAAGGGUAGGUUGUGACAAGGGCUGAUAUUGGUUGAAUAUUGAUAUUGUUGAGCUGGUGGGAAAUUUGGUCAUGUAGGAACGACAGUCACAGCAUAGGUUCAUCCCUCCUUCUCAUUCUCUUCAUUUGCCUCAAGCUUCCUAUUCAUCAAAGCAGGAUAAUCAAAUUUGCCUCUUCUCAAACGCACUUCGAUCCUUUCGUCGGUGAAAACUAAUUCAGCAAAGCUUAAAGGUGUGUAACCUACCAUCUUCUCAUAGUAGAACACCGGUAAUGUGUCCACUAUCAUUGUUAUCAUCUCCUUCUCCAUCAUUGGGGGCGCCACUUGAGUUGCCAGAUUGAUGCAAUCCUACCCCGCAAGGGCAUUGGAUAGAAGACUCCAAGUAGAUUGGGCCAGAGAUCCAAGGGAAGGCCCUAGGGUUCUCAUGAGCCUUAGGGUAGAUUUCGAGCCCAUGGACUAAGUAUGAGCCCGCUUAUCUUUGUAAAUAUUACAAUAGGUUUUUCCUUCGUUUGGGCCUUGUAUUUUGGUUAUUCUAGUAGUAUAGGGUUUUAGCCUUGUAUUUCGAGACAUUUUGAGUAGUCUUUGUAGUAGGGACUUUUUUGUAUUUUCAUGUAUUUUGUCAUGAGGGUGAGCUUAGCUAUUAUAGGGGGUGUGUAGCUAAGCUCUAGCUUCUCAUCUCAAGGAGGUGAGCUUAGCUAUUAGAUUGGUGUGUGUAGCUAAGCUCUAGCUUCUUUAGGAAUCUUCUUAAGGAAGCUUCUCAAGGAGGUGAGCUUAGUUAUGAGAAGGGUGUGUGUAGCUAAGCUCUAGCUUCUCUAGAAAGUUUUCUCAAAGAAGCUUCUCAAGGAAGUUUUCUCAAGAAAGCUUCUCAAGGAAGCUACCUAGUCUAUAAAUAGAGGCAUAUGUAACACUUGUUGUAACUUUGAUGAAUGAGAGUCUUGUGAGACACAACUCAAAGUUCAACUUCUCUCCCUUUUUCUUCCUUCAAUUUCGUGCUCCCCUCUCUCUCUUUCUCUCCCUCUUUCUUUUCCUCCAUUGAAGCAUUCUCUCCAAGCUUCUUAUCCAAGGCUCAUCUUGGUGGUGAAGCUCCUUCUUCCAUGGCUUAUUCCCUAGUGGAUGGCGCCUCCUCUCACCUCUUCUCCUUUGUCUUUCGCUGCAUCUCCAUGGUGGAAAAUCACCAUUAAAGGACCUCAUUGAAGCUCAAAGAUCCAGCCUCCAUAGAAGCCCCACAAGCAAGCUUCCAUCACAGAUCCCUCCACCUUUGCACAUAUUCUUUAAAAGAUUCAUGCUCAUUUUUACACAUGUUCUGUAGCUGCAUCCUAUCUGGAGCCAUAUCAUAAUUGUACUGAUACUGCCUAAUGAAGGCCACCAUUAGGUCCUUCCAAGAAUGGACUCAGGAAGGUUCUAAAUUAGGAUACCAGGUGAUAGCUACCCCAGUAACACUUUCCUGAAAGAAAUGGAUCAAUAAUUUUUCAUCUUUUGCGUAUGCCCCCAUUUUCCUGCUGUACAUCUUCAGGUGAUUCUUAGGGCAGGUAGUUCCCUUGUACUUAUCGAAGUCCGGCACCUUGAACUUCGGAGGGAUGAUGGCGUCAGGCACUAGGCAUAACUCUGCCAUGUUAGCAAAAGCAUGAUCUCAGCCUCCUUCAAUGUCCCUCAGCCUUUCCUCUAUAUGAUCAAAUUUUCCCCUUUCCACCAUAGCAGGAGGGACUCUUCCCACCGCAAAAUGCAAGGGUUGUGGUUGUGGGUGAAAUUGAGGGCCCUCCAACGUGUCUGGCAAGGGUACACCCCAAACUGCUUGCCCCUCAGUGGCAUAUUCGAGGUGAGGUUCGAAGCCAGCUAGAUUGUGGUCUCGGGGUGCUUCAUGUGUCUCCCCCCAUGGGUUGAGAGACAUGUGCAUGAUCAGAUUGGGGUUGUUGGCUCUCAAUGGGUAUGGGUGCAAAGUUGUUGACAUUCUCAUUGGGAGUGUGUGCAACAUUAGGCGGUGUAUAGUUAGGAGGCAAGCCAUAUGGUGGGAAGGAAUGCUUGUUCUGAACCUACACAAAAUAAGGGUCACCCGUACUUCCUAACGCUUCGCCUCCCUGUCCUACUAUAUCCGAGACUGGAGGAUUUACUUGAUUGAGGCCAGAUGGGUGAGCGGGGUCCACUUUUGUGGCGGUACUUGCGGCAACAACUAUAGCCGCAUUGACCUCCAUCAUUUUUUCCAUACUCAUCAUGGCUUCCAUCAUUAUGGCCAUUUGCUCUUUCAUGGCCUUCAUGUCGACCUUCAUCUGCUCUUGCAUCUCCUCUAUUUCACUCAUUACUCUAGCUCUCAGUAAGGGUGUCGUAAAGCGUGUUAUUUCCUUUUGAUUACAAUGAUUACAGUUCUGAUUUCUAGGAAAGAAUGCAGUGAGCAAUGCCACCAAUGUGAAAAGAAAAAUAAGCAUGGAUGCAUGUGAAUGAUGCAUUGUUGAAGUAUUGUGAAUUUUACACAGGACAUAGGGUUGAAUCAAUUUAGAUUUUCAUUAAAACAAUAUGGUCCAUCACAUCUUGUCAAAGUGAAACUGGAAAUAAAACAUGGACAUGAAUAGUCCUUAAUUUUUUGUAAAUUAUUUAGCUCAAUCAUGUGUUGGCAGUAGACAAAGAAACGAUGUAACUUGAUCCAUCUUCAGCCCCAACUUUUGCAAGCUGGUUACUUCCAUACUUGACCUUGACUUGAUGAACCUUUCCUUAAAAGCAUGUGCUUGGUUCAACCCCAUAAUCCAAUGAAUAGAAAUUUUGACUGGCAAUACUUCAACAACCUAUCAUAGAGAUGAAUGACUAGGGCAUACUUAUGCUACGCAUGACAAAUGUAAUUAUGAGAUUGACAUGAGAUGUCCAAAGAACCAUCAUUUCCUAGUUAACCAUGCAUUAUGUGCCAUGUUCACAUGAUUUUCAAUCAUUUUUUUAAGAGAAAUGAGUGUAUAAUCCCAACAUGGUUGGUUUAUAGCCAUCAUCAUGGUGCCCAACACAUGUAACUAAGAAUGUGGUGUAAACUUUCAUGCUUUAUUGUGACUUUCUUUUGUUCUUUUUUUUGUUUUUGUUUUUGCAGAGGAAAAUACAAGGCAUGAGAAACUAUGCAUGAGUGAACAUAAUAUGCGAACAAUGAAAAUAUAAUGUAUGUAGUCGGCAUGCUAAAUGAAGAUGUAUGAUAAUGCAAUGAUUUAUGCAAAUGCAAUCCAUGAAUAUGAUAAAUGACAAAUGCAGGAAUGAUAUGUCCAUCAUGAUGCCAUGAAGAGAUGCAUGAUGCGAUCAAGGAACAAGCCAGAGUAAGUUUGCUAUGUGCCCCCCCUAAUUUAGGAACCUAAUGGAUAGGAUCCAAAAGUCCCCUUCUAGUGACAACUCCCAAAGGUGGUUUCAUGUAACUUUAUUGGCUUCUAGAGAUAUCAUCCUCUUAGGUAAUACAUUGUGGCAAUAGGGACUAUCAGCAACAAUGCAUCACAAAAAGAGGAAAACUCUAGAUGAGGCUUCACUGUCAUAAAGCAAGUCGAAGACCCAGCAUGACCACAGAUCGACCUCCACUCCUUAUGGCUCAUAUAGACCCGGGUAUAUGGCUUAAUAUCUCAAUGUAUGUGCGAGGUGUAGGUUCCAUGUGUGUGUAGAAAAAAUGUUUCUAACUAUGAAAUUAAUCGAUAGACAAACACACACCAAACACAAAAGAAGAAGAAGGCAUGAUAAAAACAUUGCACACUGUCGCAACCUACCCUUCGGCGGGAGGGCGACGCGUGACUCGCGGGUGCGUCUUCCAAGAAAGAAAUACGCGCGGAGUCGCCACCAACGUUUAUUUGAGGAAAACGUCGGAAAAACUGAAAAAGACGUGAUCUACAAACUCUAAGUGAAAGGUUCGGGAGUUGUAUUUACGCACGACAAAGGUAUUAGAACCCCACGCGUUCGUCACAAGAGACGGCAGCCUUUAAUCAAAUGUGCAAAUAUGACUUCAUUUUAUAUUCUUUUCCCUUUUUACGUUCUUAUGUCUUCUUUAUGCCUUUUUAUGUUUUUAUCUUUUUGUGGUCGACAAGGGUGUUUCCCUUUGCUCCUACGUAUUCCUCAAUUGUGAUGAGAAAAUCAGACCUACGUAGUUCUUUGUGAACAAAGCGUUUUGGUUAUUUUUUAUCCUUUUUUGCAAGAUAUGUUUUUAUUGAAUGAAAGGUCAUUUAAGGUGUUGGACCAUUAGACAAUCUUUCGAUUCUUUUGAAAAGUGAGAAAACAUUAAGGCAUUGGACCAUUAAUGAUUUCUUUUAUUUUUUGAAAGAGGUAAUAAAGUUACAUAUUGAUUUUAGGCUUUUUAGAAAUCUACACUUAACCAAUAAAAGCGGAAAAGACUAUUUCAAGGCGUUGGACCUUUGAAAAUGGCUUUUUUAGGUGAUGACAAAAGUUUGGUUUAUGAAUUGAUUUUAGCCUUAGUUUCACUUUGGUUAUUAGUCAAUUCGAUUUAAGAAAGAGAAAUCCCAAAGAAAAACGUCCAAUUGAUUUUUUUGAUUUAUUUCACUAAAAGAUAUUUUUUUAUUAUUUUACCUCUUUUUGGUUUCCAACGUGGUUACGGCAUGACCGAACGGUCGGAUUUCAUUUUAACAUAUAUUAACGGAUAUUACAAUUCAAAUGAUCGGUGGAAAUUUAUUUUAUUUUUUUAUUAGGCGAGAAAAUGACUAAAGCACGUCAAAAGGGGUACGAAAAGUAAAUGAAAUGAAAAUAAAAGCACGUGAAACAAAUGAGGACCACUAAGGGUACAUAGAGUGAAUUGAAAAGUUUGAUUUCGGGAACUUACCGGUAGAAGACCGAAGCACGACGAAGAAUGAACGAAGAACGUCGAAGAACGGUUGAAAAUCUUCGCGAAAUCACCCACGGAAACGUUACGGAAGCGCCUCGGCUUGGAUUUUCUUCAUGGAAACAAUUUUUUUCACUAAUUUCAAGUGAUCUCGAAUUACCAGGAGGGCUGACCAUUUUUUUCCCUUCACUUCUCCCCCUAUUUAUAGGAAAAUAGGGGAGAAGCUUGCCACCCAGCUUGCCCAGGCGAGCUAGGUUGCUUCCUCCAGAAGCAACCACCUUCUGGAGGAAUUUUCUGGAAGGCCCAAGUGGGCCUAGUUGCUAUUUGCACCCUCAUUUUUACUAAAUACACCCCCAUUGCUCUUUUUUGGUAUUUUUUCCGUAACGUUGCGAAACUUUACGAAUUUCGUAACAAUGCUUGUUUUCUUUCCGUAAUGUUACGAAACCUUAUGGAUUACGUAAUCAUCCCUUUUUUGCCUUCCGGAACAUUACGGAACUUUACGGAUUGCGCAUUAACACUUCCUUUUAAUUUUCGGCAUGUCACGGAACUUCACGAAUUGCCUAACGAUGGGUGCCAAGUACCUCGAAGUGGUCAAACGAGGGUCGUAUCCCAACAAUGGAUGGUCCCCGGAUGAAAUUAGGGUAUGACACACACUGACUGAAUGGCCUAACUCUCUAAAAGUCCCCAAUGGAGUCGCCAACUUUAGCAACCUAUCCAUCGGCGGGGGUGCGAAAAGGCCAAAAUGGAUAGGCCAAAGCGUUUGUCUCAAAGGGAGAAAACGAGCAGAGUCGCCACCAACGUUUAUUCGAGGAAAAUGUUAGAAAAACCAAAAAGAUAAAGGUCUGCGUAUUUUGAAAAUAAGGGUUUGGGAGUUGUUUACGCACGGGGAAGGUAUUAGCACCACACGCGCCCAUCACAAGGGACGACAACCUUUAAUCGAGUGUGCAAAAACAUGACUUCAAAAUUAUGUAGUUUCCCUUUUUAUAUUUUUUAUGUGUUUUCCCUUUUUUAUAUUUUUUAUUUUUUAGGGUUGACAAGGGUGUUGCCCUUACUCCUACGUAUCCUCAGGUGCGAUGAGGAAUUCAGACCUACGUAGUUCUAUAAAAGCAACAAAGUUACGCAUAGGGUUGAUUUUAAACUUUUGAAAGGUUCAUUUUAACCGAUAAAAGCAAAAGAGACCGUUAAGGCGUUUGACCUUUGAACAGAUUCAAGUGAUUUUUAUGGGUAAAAGCUUGGUUAUGUGUUGACCAACAUGUCUAAGAAAGGUGCUAACAUGAGUUCAAACAUAUUAGAAAUAAUUCAUACUAAUAUUUGUUGUCCAGAUAUGGAUACACAUGGUCAGAAAUAUUUUAUCACCUUUAUAAAUGAUUAUUCAUGAUAUAUGAAUGCUUAUUUGCUUCAUAACAAAAAUGAAGCAUUGGAUGCUUUUAAAGUCUUUAAGGCUGAAGUUGAGAACCAAUGUUGCAAGCAAAUAAAAAUAGUGAGAUCAGAUAGAGGUGGAGAAUAUUAUGGCAGAUAUACAGAGAAUGGACAAGCACCUUGUCCCUUCAAAAAUUUUCUUCAAGAACAUGGGAUUGUUGCCCAGUACACUACGUCUGGUUCUCCAAAUUAGUAUAAUGUUGCAGAAAGAUGGAACCAAACAUUAUUGGACAUGGUACGAAGUAUGCUUAGCAACUCCAAUCUUCCUAAAUCCUUAUGGGCUAAAACACUAAAGAUGACAAUGUAUAUAUUAAACUAUGUUCCCACCAAGGUUGUCCCAAAGACACCUUUUGAGUUGUUAAAAGGUUGGAAACCGAGUUUGAAACAUAUGCACAUUUGGGGUUGUCCGUCUAAGGUGAGGGUAUAUAACCCACAAGAGAAGAAACUUGACCCAAGGACUAUCGGUGAGUAUUUCACUGGAUAUGCCAAAAGGUCUAAAGGUUAUAGGUUUUACCAUCCAUAUCAUAUUACUAGGAUUGUGGAAUCAAGAAAUACCAAGUUUCGUAAAAAUGACUUGAUAAAUGGGAAUGGUCAAUUCAGGGACUUAGGUUCUAAAAUUAAUCAUAUAGAGUCACAUCAACCUUCCACAUCUAGUGAACAACUGGUUGUAAUUCAUACCCCUCAAGUUCAAAAGGAUGAUGAAAAACAAAUGACUGGCAUUCCAUAACUUGUUGCUAAUAAUCCAGUAGAUCAAGUUGAUCAUCAAAUUCUUAAAAAUGAUGAACAACCAGCUAAACAACAUGAUCCACAAGAAAAUGUUGAUCCAACAUAAAGGAGAUCUACUAGAAUAAGAAAAUCAGCUAUUCCUAGUUAUUACAUUGCAUAUUUGCAAGAAUCUGACUAUAAUAUUGGAGCUGAAAAUGAUCCUAAAACUUUUGAUCAAGCCAUGAGUUAUAAAGAGUCAAAUUUAUGGUAUGAUGCCAUGAAGGAUGAGAUGAAUUCAAUGCAGAGCAAUGGAGUUUGGAACCUUGUAGAGUUUCCUAAUGGGGCAAAGGCCAAUUGUUGUAAAUGGGUCUAUAAGACCAAAAAGGAUUCAUUAAGAAACAUUGAGAGAUACAAGGCAAGACUCGUUGCUAAGGAAUUUACUCAAAAAAAAAGAAGGAAUUGAUUACAGAAAGACUUUUUCUCCUAUAUCUAAGAAAGAUUCUCUUUGUAUUAUCUUGGCAUUAGUUGCUCAUUUUGACCUUGAGUUGCAACAAAUGGAUGUGAAAAUAACCUUUCUUAAUAGAAGAGGAGGUUUAUAUGAAACAACCUGAAGGCUUCUCCCCUAGCAGUGGUGAGCAUUUAGUUUGUAAGCUUAAGAAAUUUAUAUAUGGUUUAAAACAAGCCUCCCGUCAGUGGUACCUUAAAUUUCAUAAGAUAAUUUUUUCAUUUGGUUUUGAUGAAAACCCCAUGGAUCAAUGCAUAUACCACAAGAUCAGUGGGAGUAAAAUAUGUUUUACUAUUUUACAUGUAGAUGAUAUUUUACUUGCAGCUAAUGAUCGGGGUUUGCUACAUGAGGUGAAACAAUUUCUCUCUAAGAAUUUUGACAUAAAGGAUAUGGGUGAUGCAUCUUAUGUCAUUGGCAUUAAGAUUCAUAGAGACAGACCUCAAGGUAUAUUAGGUCUAUCACAGGAAACCUAUAUUAACAAAAUUUUAGAGAGAUUUCGGAUGAAAGAUUGUUCACCAAGUGUCGCUCCCAUUGUGAAGGGUGAUAGGUUUAAUUUGAACCAAUGCCUAAAGAAUGACUUUGAGAGGAAACAGAUGAAAAACAUUCCUUAUGCUUCAAUUGUUGGAAGCCUCAUGUAUGCUCAAGUAAGCACAAGGCCUGACAUUGCUUUGGUAGUUUGGAUGUUAGGAAGAUAUCAGAGUAAUCCAGGUAUUUACCACUGGAGAGCUGCAAAGAAAGUGAUGAGGUACCUUCAAGGGACCAAAGAUUACAUGUUUAUGUAUAGACAAAUGGACAAUCUAGAUGGGAUUGGUUAUUAUGACUCAGACGUUGCUGGCUGUGUUGAUUCUCGCAAAUCAACAUCUGGGUACAUUUUCAUGAUGGCUAGAAGAGCUAUUUCGUGGAGGAGUGUUAAGCAGACUUUGACUACUACUUCUACCAUGGAAGAUGAGUUUGUCUCUUGCUUUGAGGCUACAUCACAUGGUGUAUGGCUUAAGAGUUUCAUUUCUGGGCUAAAGAUAGUUGAUAUUAUUUCAAGGCCUUUGAGAAUUUUUUGUUAUAACUUAGUUGUUGUCUUUAUGGCUAAGAAUAACAAAAGUGGAAGUCAAAGUAAGCACAUCGGCAUUAAGUACUAAGCCAUUAGAGAAAGAUUAAAAGACAAGAAAGUAGUCAUUGAGCGUAUAAGCACUAAGUUGAUGAUCGUUGAUCCUUUGACUAAGGGCAUGCCACCGUUUAAAUUCAAGGAUCAUGUAGAGAGAAUGAGACUUGGUUCCACUUUAUGAUUGUAUACAUACAAGUUAGAGUAGAAACUCUUAUAUUGUGAUAUUUUCUCAUAUUCAAGUGCAUAUUGAUUUAUUUGAGAAAAUUUAUGUUUUGGACCAAGAAUAAACAUUGGGUUUAUUCAUUAAGUUUUAUUAUCCCAUUGAGUAUACUACUUAGAAAAUUGAGCAUGUCAUAAUACAUGGAUGAUAUUAUUCAUUAUAAAAGAAACUAUCGCUAUGAUUCAUAUGUUCAUUUCUUAAUGAAAUUGAGCAUUGACUUCUUUUAGCCAAUGAGUCAAAACAUUUGAACCAAGUGGGACAAUACAAUAAUUUUUUUUAUUAAAAGCAUUGAUUAACUCCUUAAUAGUGGUCUGUACAUUUUGGACUUAGAAGAUCAAGUGCUUCAUCGGUUUUGGAGUUGAAAAAACAAAUAUUGAAUGACAUCAAUGGGUGGUAAUGGUUACUAAAUGCAUUCUUGAUGGUAUAAUGUCUAUAUAUAGCACAUGUGUUUAGUCCCUGAGCUCAUAUAUUUCAUGUUCGUCUAAUGCACCAUCUACAGAGAGAGUGAGAGCUUGGAAGAACCAAAAUAAAGCAACUCUUUCAUGACAAUGGCUAGAGGUAUAUUCUGAUUCCAUUUUCUGUAUUUGUUAAUGGCUUGUGUUUCAUUUUUGUUGUUUGUAACAUCACAGGUUUGACAUUUUAGUCUUACAGUUUGGACUAGGUUGCACAAUUGUAUCACUUUGAUACGCUAAUGUUUUACUUUGUUGGUCUGUUUGAUUGGGUAAGGGAGAAUCUUACCAAGGGCCCUGGUGAUUGGAGAACCCUGCUUGGUAAUGCCAUGUGGAGGAUUUGGCAAGCCAGAAAUGAUCUUAUAUUUAAUGAUGCUCCUUGGAGGGUCAAUGAUAUCAUUGACAGAGCUAUCUUCACUAGUCUUGAAAGCUGAUCAAGCUAUGCAAGUUUCUUGGCAUAGGCAUCCUUCUUCGGAGGGUAGCCUUGUUGCUUGGAAGCCUCCCAUUGAGGGGUGUUUUAAGUAAAAUGUGGAUGCAUAUGUUAUUCAGGGUGGUGAGAGGGUUGCUUGUGGUAGGGUGCUUUGUGAUGCUAAUGACCGAUGGAUUAAUGGGUUCACUGGGAAUUUAGGUCAUUGUUUUAUCAUGGUAACAGAGGUUUGGGGGUUGAUUACUACUCUUAAACAUGGGUAGGAGCUUAGAUUGAAGAAGGAAUGGUUGGAGACUGAUUCCAUGUCUGCGACUAACUUCUUGAAUCAUGUGUUUCCCAUCCCUAUUAAAGGCUGUUUAAUUAUGGUAGAUCACUUUUGAGAUGAUCUUGCAACAUAAUGAUCUAUCAUGUGUUGCGUGAGGUCAAUGUUGUGGUACACUACCUAGCUUCAAAGUUGCACCAUUCUUUGCAAGGGUUGGUGUUUUAUGAUAACCCUACUAAAGAGUGUAAUUUCUUCCUUUGGUUUGAUUAUGUAGGAACUUUGUUUCCUUAAGCUGUCAGGUGUUAGCCUUUGUGGUUCUUUCCCUUGUUAUAAAAAAAAAGAAAAAUAAAACUAAUUUAUUGCUAUUUUUUACCCCUAAUUAAUUAUAAGGUCUAUUUUCACUAGGCUUAAUCGAAAUAAAAUAUUUUUUAUCGAACACUUAUAAUUUAAUAAGGUAGUUUUUCAGUUUCUAGAUAUCGGCUUCUAACUUUCAGCUUGCAGCUAGUUUUUCAGCUUUUACCUAACUUUUUAGCUUCCAACUAGUUUUUCAGGUAGUUUUUCCAAACAUAACCUAUGCGUGGAUGUUUUUAAUGUUAUGUGAUAGCCGACAAAAGGAGGUACACUUGUUCUAUCUUAUACAAAAUUCAUUUUGUCUCUCUUUAUUUUGAAUUGCUAACAUUUGAAUUUAAGAAAAAGAUAGAAUAAAAGGUAUUCACACAAUAUUCCUCUAAGCUCGCUUUCAUCGAGGACAAGGAGCGCAUUGUAAUGCCCUAAAAUUUUGCUGACUAUAAAUCGAUGUUUAAAUGUAUUUAUCGAUUUAUUUGAUUAUAUGAUCGACUUGGAUGAGUUGAGGUAUAGUGUGAAUUAGCCAUGUGUGAUUUGCUUGAUGUGGAGUUUUAUUGACAAGGUUUAAAUUAUGAGAUUUCAAGUUUCACUUAAAGGUGUUCCAAUAAAACCGCGAUUCCAGAUUCACUAACCGUUGGAUUGCUUUCAAAUUUUAACUGUAAUUUCACAACCCAAGUCUUCAUGUUUUGACCGUUGCGAUUAAAAAAUAAAAUUUUGACAACUUGCUUAGUGCAAGAAACGCGCUAAGCACAAUUCCAAACCGAGAGGAAAUUUUGCUCAGCACGAAAUGUUGCGCUUAGCACGAAAUGUUACGCUCAGUGUAAGAGCAGUUGCACUCAACACAAAUUCCAACUUGAGAGUAAAUUAUGAUCAGCAUGAAAAGUCGCGCUUAGUGCCAAAAGUGGGUUCUCGCUUAGCGAGAUCAUCUCCCUAAGCAAGAUCUGCAUAUUAUAAAUACGUUCCUCAGCAUGAAAAACAUGAUUUUCACGCCCCCCCCCCCCCCCCCCCUCUCUCAAAACUCUGCCAAACCACCCUAGAAACUCCUCCUCCACCACCUACGACCACCGAUGGCCCCCACUAGCCACCGUUGCAGAGAGGAACGUUUUAAUCAGAGCGGAAUCCUCAAAACCCACCUCCUCAAGGAUUCGGGUGAGAACAAGCUCUCAAUCCUUUCUUUCGUAGUUUCUCUGAUGUAAUCUUGACUUCUAUAUCUUUCUCCUAUUUAGUUUGAACAUUUCUUAGUGUGUCUUGUGUUUUGGGUACCGUAAUAGGAUGGUUUUACACUUCCUUUGAAAAAUCCUUGAAAAUGAGACGUUGUAAAAGUUAUCCUCUUAUAAAAUUGAUGUUGUUUUCGUGACCUCCGCUGAACCCCGGUCACAUUGGCAUGGUCAAAAUUUCAAAAUGACGUCUCCUUGUAGUAGAACUUGAAACACCCCUUAGCCCAUUUUGUUUUGACAGGGGUAAUUAACCCCAAAUGUUAUUAUUAACCUUAUUUUUGAAAUCUAUACUAAAUUCCCUUCAAUUUGGUAUUAGAACCUUGUGUUUGGACUGACAAACGUGAAUGAGAGAAGUCUCUGAGCAACGCAAAGAGGAGCUGACGGAGAGCUCACAAUAGGUAAGGGGAGUUUAUUAUAAUUUUAUGGUUGUGAUACCAUAACUGGGGUCAAGGAACCCAGUUAUGGGAAUGUAUUUUUGUCCCUGUGUAUGUUGGUUUUCAAGAAAAGCAAUGUUUUCGACUAAUGGGAUAUGAUGCAUCUAUUAUUGAUAAAUGACAUUAUUGUUCUUAUUAGGCUUGUGUUGUCUGAAAACUUGGGGAGUGUGAAUCUCAAGCAUGAACUAUAUAUGUAUGUAUGUGUGGAAUGUGAUUUAUUGAUGAUAUUGUUAUUGAUGAUAUUAAUUGAUAUGAGGUGACGUUGAUGUUUAUGAUAAUGUUGAUAGAGAAUGAUAUUGUUAUUGAAGAUGAUAUUGAUAAUUGUGGAAGCAAUGCCUUCAAAGGUUAUUUUGAUGAUGCCAAAGAAUUCAAGAAUCAAGAGAAAGAUUCAAGAGAAGUUUCAAGUUUCAAGUUUUCAAGAAUCAAGAAUCAAGAAUAAUCAAGAACAAGAUUCAAGAAUCAAGAGAAGACUUAAUCAAGAUAAGUAUGAAAAGGUUUUUUUUCAAAAACUGAGUAGCACAUGGAUUUUUCUCAAAACAUGUUUACCAAAGAGUUUUUACUCUCUGGUAAUCGAUUACCAGAUUAUUGUAAUCAAUUACCAGUAGCAAAAUGGAUUUGAAAAAGUUUUCAAAUGAAUUUACAACGUUCCAAUUGAUUUCAAAAAAGUUGUAAUCGAUUACAAUGUUUUGGUAAUCGAUUACCAGUGCCUUUGAACGUUGAAAUUCAAAUUCAAAUGUGAAGAGUCACAUCCUUUCACUAAAAUCUUUGUGUAAUCGAUUACACUGAUUUGGUAAUCGAUUACCAGUGGUUGUUUCUGAAUAAAUCUAAAGAUGUAACUCUUCAAAUGGUUUUUGACUUUCAAAUUGGUUUUAAGUUUUUCUAAAAAGUUAUAACUCUUCAAAAUGGUUCUCUUGACCAGACAUGAAGAGUCUAUAAAAUCAAGGCUUUGUUUUGUAUUUUCAAUCAAUCUUUCUAAGCAAUCUUUCUAUCAAUUCAUCUCAAUCAUUUCUUUCAAUCAUCUUUUAAUAUUUUCUUUCAUCUCUUUCAACAGUUGUUCUGUUUCACCUUCUCUUCAUCUUUCUAAAAGUUUUUGUUCAAAACUUUCUCUUCCAAGAAAAGUUCUUUGUUCAAAAACUUGAGCUAUUCAUCUUUUUCAUUCCCUUCUCCCUUUGCCAAAAAGAAUUUGCCAAGGACUAACCGCCUGAAUUCUUUUUGUGUCUCUCUUCUCCCUUUUCCAAAAGAACGAAGGACUAACCGCCUGAAUUCUUUUGUGUCUCCCUUCUCCCUUGUCAAAGAAUUCAAAACGACACAGUCUAAGAAUUCUUUUGAUUCUUCCCAUUCCCUAAUACAAAAGUAUUCAAAGGACUAACCGCUUGAGAAUUCUUUUGUAUCCCCAUUCACAAAGUAUCAAAGGUUUAACCGCCUGAGAUCUUUGUCUUAACACAUUGGAGGGUACAUCCUUUGUGGUACAAGUAGAGGAUACAUCUACUUGGGUUGUUGACUGAGAACAAGAAAGGGUACAUCUCUUGUGGAUCAGUUCUAGUGGAGGGUACAUCCACUAGGUUCAAAGAGAACAAGGGAGGGUACAUCCCUUGUGGAUCUUUGCUUGUAAAUGGAUUUUUACAAGGUUGAAAGAAAUCUCAAGGACCACAGGUCGCUUGGGGACUGGAUGUAGGCACGGGUUGUUGUCGAACCAAUAUAAAAACUCUUGUGUGUUUGUUUCCUUCUUCCCUACUCUUUUACUUUCCAUUGUGCAUUUAAUUUCCCCUUUUACUCUCUGUUAAGAUUAUCUUCUACUCCUCAUUCUCUUAACAAUUUAGUAAAAGCAUUAAAAGAUUAAUUUUUUAAUUAGUAAAGGUUUAGGAAUAAUUAAUUCAACUCCCCCUUCUUAAUUAUUCUGAGGCCACUCGAUCCAACAAUAAUAAUUGAUAUGAGACAAUGUUGGUGUUUAUGAUAAUAUUGAUAUGAGAUGAUGAUGCUAUUGAUGAUUAUGUUAAUAUGAGAUGACGUUUUUGUUGUUGAUAAUGUCAUUGAGAUGAGAUGAUGUUGAUGUUGAUAAUGAUAUUGAGAUGAGAUGUUGCUGAUGUUGAAAAUGUCAUUGUGAUGAUGUAUGUUAUAUAUGUACAUCGGGGGUGCAGUGACCAUGAUGGAUAUCCCUGGUGGGUAAAAUAAAUUGGUUUAAGAGUUUUAAGCAUCUCUAAAGGGGGAUGGCUUAGAAUCUUUAAUUAUGCAUGGUCAGUGCAUUGAUGAUGCCCAUGUUUGAUACUUCAUAUUGCAUGAAAAUAGUAUAAACUUUGUCAGUAAGUACUUGUAGUUUCUCAUGAGGAGGAAUACUUGUACUUGAGGGUAUGUCACUCGGUUUGAAACUCCCUUGAGACUUAGGUCGAUCACCAUGGGGGGAGUUUCCUAUGCAUGAUAGGGUAACCUCGACACUUGUUGUCCAGUUUUCCUAAGUGAGAGUGUCGCAUGGACACGCUUAGGCUAUUUCCUGAUGAAUGGUAUUGCAUUGCAUUUGAGAGUUGAGGUCAAGUGCCUGCAUCUUACUGAACCUGAUUUGUUGCGAUUAUUGAAACCCGAUGGCUACUUGUUGAGUGUAUGUUGGGNNNNNNNNNNNNNNNNNNNNNNNNNNNNNNNNNNNNNNNNNNNNNNNNNNNNNNNNNNNNNNNNNNNNNNNNNNNNNNNNNNNNNNNNNNNNNNNNNNNNNNNNNNNNNNNNNNNNNNNNNNNNNNNNNNNNNNNNNNNNNNNNNNNNNNNNNNNNNNNNNNNNNNNNNNNNNNNNNNNNNNNNNNNNNNNNNNNNGGGAGAAAUGCAUGAGGACAAUUCCUUUUGUGUAUGAUGGUGUUUUUGUCUGCCUUGGUGUACAUGUUCAUGGAUCUUAUUUUAGUUGUUUCUUCGGCUUAUGAACUCUAUAUAUUUCGGUAAUCAACUCCUUCGUAGCUGGUUCUAUAAUUCUUUUUGAAUUGAGGAUGUAAAUCACAUAUAUAUAUAUAUAUAUAUAUAUAUAUAUAUAUAUAUAUAUAUAUAUAUAUAUAUAUAUAUAUAUAUAUAUAUAUAUAUAUAUAUAUUCCUUUAAGUAAUUGUGCAUUUGUUUGGUGAAUGUAUAUCGGGAAAAAUUUACUCUCAUUUUUCAUAAGCAAAUUAACGGAAUUUUCAUUUAAAAAUUGAAAUUUAAGCGAUUUAGAGUAGUGAUAUCGUAGCGACGAGGCAGGUCGUUACACACAUGAUGUUGUCUGUACUAUCGUUCAUUUCCUCGCAUAUUAAAGCAUGACACUUAGUCUUAUCUCCCAUUGUGAGGCAAUGGUCUUUUCAAGAAAUCAAGACUGAUCCCAUAACGGAUCUUUCACUGAAGUCUAUAAAAGGCAAUCUCUACUCAAAAAGAGAAAAAAAUCACUAUAAGAAAACGAGAAUAUAUCAGAAGCAAAAACUCUACUGAAAUCACUGGAUGACUGUUUUAAAGCUUUCAUUUAUUUAUCCUUUGCUAUGAAAAGUUAUCUUGUAUUUGAGCUUUAUUGUUUAUUCACUCAUUGAAUGUUAUUAAAUACUUGUAUUCAGUCAAACUACUGUUUGUGAAAGCUAAGAUGGCUUAGUGUUAAACAAUACUUGGGUUUCUUAGAUUUAGGGAGAGUCUAAGACAAUGUCAAAAGUGGUAUUAAUAAUACUUACGUAGCCAGAAGUGACAGGUCAGAAUACUUGUUUUGUAAUCAAGUUUUGAUUAAUGGAAUCCUUUAUUAUUGAGUAAAGGAAAAUUGGACGUAACUCAGGUUGAGUAAACUAGUAUAAAGUGUUUGUACUUCUCUCCUUCACAAUUUAUUAAGCAUUUCAUUAGCACUCUUUGUCACUUCGUUAAUAAGUAUUUAUUGGAAAAAUUGUCUUAAAGAGUCUCUCUUAUUAAGUCACUAGACGAUCAAACCUGUCCUUAUUGGAAAAAUUGUCUUAAAUUGUCUCUUGAGUGGACAACUUACCAUACAUAUACAUUUGUGUUUAUAUUUGUUCUAAAAGUUACAAAAGGUUAUUAUUUUUAUAUACACACUAUUCGACCCCAUUCUAAUGUGAUUGUUGUUAUUUCAAAGAAUACACUCUGGCACACACUCUUUUAAAUACACAAUCUCUUAUUGAUUAAAAUGUAUUUAAAAUGAUAGUUUUGUGCAUCCAAUAUCAUAUUUUUUUUAUCCGUAAGAAUUGGACAUGAUAUCAAGAGAUUUAAAAUACUCACAUAUCCUACUCAACCAACGGAGCUAGACCCCCUUAAUGUUAGGCAAAACAUUUUAGCUAGCUGAUAUAUUUUUUCUAUUACUUGAAAAAUUUGUUAACUAUUUGAUAAAAAAAAAUUUAAAUAAUUUCUAACAUUUUUUUAAAUACUACUUAUAAUAACAUUUUUCUUAAAACGUUAACUUCUAACUUAUAAUUUUUAUAUUUUAUUCCUUUUUUAUCCCUGAAAUAUUUAUUGCAUUCCUUAUUACACUUUUUUUAAAAAAUAGGGUUUUAUUAUUUAUUUUAGCCAUUGUACAAUUUAUAAUAUUUAAUUUAUCAUUUCAACAUUAUACUUGACAAAAUUGACAAUGAUAAAUUUUAGAUUUAUUUUAUUUUUAAUUAUUUUUUGAAUAAUUUUAUAUUAGACAAUUUAUUUUAACUAUGGUGAUAAAAAUAAUUUAUCUAUAAAUAAAAAUUACAAGAUUUUAAAAUUAAUUAAAAAAAUAAAAUUAUAAUACAAGAUUUUAAAAUUAAUUAGAAAACUAAAAUUAUAAUACCUCAAAUAUAUAUAUUUUGCUUCAUAAAAUAAAAUUCAAAUUUAUAUAAAAUAUUAUAUAAAUAUGUCAAUUUCUAUCAUAUAUUUUUUAAUUUAUUUCAACAAAUAAUUUUAUCAAACAUUUAUGAUUUAACAAGUUAACGAUUUAUACUUUUAACUAUUACUUAACUUUUCAAUCUCCAAAUAAUUUUUAAUUUUUUAACUAGUUUUAUUAAAUAUAAUCUUAUUAGUUGUCUUUUUUAUUUAAUAAUUUUUAAUUAAUUUUAACAAAUUAGUAAAAAUGUAUUUGAAGGAGUGUACAUACUUUUAUAAGACACAUCUAUCUAUAAGAAGCCAAUUGGGUUUGUUGGAGAACAUGUCAGUGACUUCAUCAACCAGGAAUUGUUUUACUUAAUAAAGGAGUCGGGUAGUGACUUCAAUGCAAUUAUUCUUUGUAUCCUAUAGCACAAUGAAUCAAUUAGAAAAUCUUCUAUAUAUAGAUCCAUUUUUUAGUAACUGAUUUAGAUUUAAAAUGUCCAUCCCAAUAUUUAAAAAUUGUCAUAAUUGCCUCCCAUAUUAUAUCAUUUUCUUUUAGGAAAUUGAUGUAAAAUGUCUUUUUCUUUUUUUUAUUAUUGUUUCAUGUUCUAAAAUCAUGGUUCACGAAAAUUAUUAAAAUCUAUUUAGUUGGUUAUAAAUAUUCUUUAGAACAUUUAUAUUUUCUUUUUAGAAAUCAAAUAUUUUUGCAUUUAGUCUGAUAGAACUUUCUCAAAAACUGUAAUUAAGAAUCUAUUACAUUAAAUAAUUUAAUAAAAAACGUUAUAUAUCAUAGUAAAAAUAAAUCUCAACUAGAAAAAGUUAAAUUCUCACCUCUUCUGUUAGAACAAUUUUGUGAAAACAUAAGUAAAAACAUUCUAAAAAAACUAUUUUAUUAAAAAUGUUAUUUAAAAAAAUAUACCAAGCAUAAAAAAAUGAUCAACUUUAGAUUCAUGAGAAAUUAAAAAUAUUCUCUUAUAUACCAAAGAUCUCCUUAAUAUCCAGAAAUGAUGUCUUGAUCAAUUCAAAGAUAAAAUAAUUAAAACUUGAGUUUAAGGUUCACUAACAAUAUUUUAAUAGUAAAAACAUGUUGACUAAAAAGCUUCCCAUAUUACUAUUUCAAAAUAAUAAUAAAAUUAUCUUAAUUUUUAUUUUAGAUCUUACUUUUUGUUAGAUGAGCCUAAAUAAUGCCAAAGAACUACCCUUUAAUCCUAGAGCUCCCUCCAAUGAAAUUAACAAUCUUCUUUCACCACUGCCAAAAUACAAACUCCUGUCAUGCCAAACUCAAGAACUUAGUCCCCAUGAUCAGGUAAAAUUAAAAAAAAAAAAAAAACAAUAGAAAGAACAAUGAGCUAAAAAUAUUAGAGGAAGAUCAAACCAUUUAGUAGCCGUACCUCAGAUCAGAAAACAGUACGAUUGCUACUUUUUGAGUUUAAGGUAUAAACGUAUUGGGAAUAUAAAUUUAAGUAUUUUUAAAAAAUAAAACAAAGAAGGAUAUUAGUUAAGUCAUAGUUUAUGCACGUUAAUGGUUACAAUAUUGGAAUUGGAAUUGGAAUUGGAAUUGUUUUCUAACGUUAGCUAACGUUCGAUUAGGUAUUUUGGUUUAUUUUUAAUUUAUUUUAUUAGUUGAAAAACUAAUUUGGUUUUUUGGUGAAUAAAUUUUUUAAUAAUUUUUAGUAUUUUUUUUUUUGAAACAUUGCAUGAAGUAAUAGUUUUUUAAAACGUUAACUUCUAAUUUUUUAUAUUUUUUUUUUUUAAAUAAAUCAAAGUUUUAUUGUUUUUCUUUGUUUCUCAUUCAUAUAUUUAUGGUCUCUUUUUUUUCCAACAUGUAGAGCCCCUCAUUUUCUUUUACAACGUGCUCUCUAACAUUUUUUUCUCCAAAUAAUGCUAUUUUUAAUUAUUAUUUUUACUUCCGAUAUAAUGCUUUAAUAAGUUCUCUUUACAAUAUUUUGAUUAUCUCAUAUAAUGUUUUAAUUUUUUUUGUUAUUAUAUUUUACAUUUAUUUUGUUACAAUAUUUAUUUUAAUCAUUGUAUCACUUAUAAUAUUUAUUUUUUCUCAAUCUCUUCUUCCUUAAUAGUCAAGUUAUAUUUCUUGUGUCUAAUUAACCUUAUAUUUCCUGUCUCUUUGGAGUUGUUUUUUUAUAACAAAACUAGUUUGAAGCCCGUGCGGACGCCUCGGGCUGACAUCUUACUUUAAGUGGUAUAAAUAUUGUGUAGAUAGUUUUUUUAAAGGAUUGAGUAAUUGGUGAUUGUAAUUACAACAGAUCGAGAAUAUAUCAGAUGCUUAUUAAGAAUAAAUAGUAAAUUAUGUAAGGAGGUAGUUAAUAUAUUGUUGGAUACGCAUUUCAAACGUUGUUAUCAUGAUUCCAUGCAAAUAACGUGGCAAGCAGUGCGGGUUUAAAAAUGAUAUUGUGAGAGGGAUAAAAAUACUAACGUUGUUGCAUGAUAACAAAAGAAAAGAUUGUUCAAUACCAUAAGGUAUUUAAGUUUGUUUGUUUAAAAAUACAAAAUAAAUUUGUUCAUUGAAGAGAAGUCAAUCAUCAAGGUGGAUGUCAUCCUCGUCCCAUUUGAUAUCUUUCCUGAUCAAAAGCUCCCAUGCAUGGUCAUCAAACCGGAAGUAGAAGACAACCUCAUCUCCGGCCAUCAAUUUUUUUUUCAUGAAGGUAUUGGAACCAUGGGUUAGCAAUAGAUGACACACCAUCGUGGAUGGUGACCUGCCAUUGGGUGCGUUUUCCUAGGCCCCGCUGAAGUGUAAUAUAUUUUUUGGAACCAUAUACAAAUUUGGAAGCCACUGCUGGAAGAAACUGUAUCAACACCGAAAAGAAUAGUCAUACAAUUUGAACAAUUUUUUUAUUUCCUUUCAUUUCUCUCGCAUUGCAAAAAGCUUCUCCCCUUCCCUUCCUAUCUCCAUCCCGGGCUGAUGCACGGGCUGGAACUUUACUGUUAGUGGUAUACAUAUUAUGUGAACAAAAGACUUAGAUGUUUAUUAAGAACAAAUUUUAAAUCACGAAACUGAUAAAUUUAAAAUCAAAUGUAUAUGAAUAUAUGAGGAGGUAGUUAAUGUUGCUUCAAUCCAAGUUUAAUUUCAGUAAAUUUGUUAUCACGAUUCCAUGCAGAUGAAAAGAAGUCAAUCUUCAAGGUGGAUGUCCUCCUCCUCCCAUUCAAUUUCUUUUCUGAUCAAAAACUCCCAUGCAUGAUCAUAAAACCAGAAGUAGAAGACAACUUCAUCUCCGGCCAUCAAUUUUUUUUUAUCAAGAUACCGGAACCAUGGGUCAGCAAUUGAUGGCACACCAUCGUGGAUGGUGACCUGCCAUUGGGUGUGUUUUCCUAGGCCCAAUGAAGCGUAAUAUAUUUUUUGGAACCAUAUACAAAUUUGGAAGCCGUUGCUGGAAGAAACUGUAUCAACACCGAAAAGAAUGGUCAUACAAUUUGUACUAUUUUUUUAUUUCUCUUCAUUUCUCGCACUGCAAAAAGCUUCUCCCCUUCCCUUCCUAUUUCCAUUUUUCUUCAUUUUUCGUCGUUUCUUCGUGCAUUAAUUGUGGCACUGUUAGCACCACACCAAUAUUUUCAUUCUAGUCAUUUCUACCUGUUGUGCAUUAAUUAUGGCACAAUUAUCGAUGCACCAUGCCGAUACACAGGCUGGUACUCAAUAUAAGUGAACGAAGUUUAUAAUUAAUCAAAGCAAAUCAUAAACUGUUUAGUCAAAAAUAAAAAUAAAAACCAAAAAAUUGUUUGACACCCAAAAUUUAGCUAACAACAUUAAUAAAAAUAUGAGAAGAUGACACAUAAAAGAGCCUUUGGAUUGUAUAUGUCCAAAAUCAGAAAGUGUUGACUGCAUUUUUUCUGUCUCCUUUUUUAUUAAAUUCUGUCCACCAUAAAUUAAAGAAAACAAUUAUUGGUGCUUGAAGUAAACAUUUAGAUUCCUUAAAUGUUUUUUUAUUAGACAAAAAAAAUCAUACCCCAAAAAAUUAGACAAAACAAGGGGAAAAAAUAGAUAAAAAUGGAAUUUUUAUUCUUCAAUACCUUUAUUCUUCAAUAGCCUGUCUCAAUCCUUGCAUUGGCAAAGCGUCGUAACCUUCAGCACCGUCGUUAGACUAUCCCAAAAAUCAAGUCACAAAAAAUUAGACAAAAAAAAAGGAAAAAAAUAGAAUGUUGAUGGGAAACAAAAUAUGGACGGACGCAAAAGAAUAAAGGAGGAGAAACAAAAGUGGAGAAGAAAAGAGGAGAAGUUGAGGAAGAGGAAGAAGGGGGAACUAAAUAUUGACAGAGAAGAAAAGAGGAGAAGUUGAGGAAGAGAAUCUUGACGGACGCAAAAGAAAUGGAGGAGAGAGAAGAAAGCUCUGGAAUUAAGGGGAAUGAAAUGGUGAGGUGAAAUCUAGCAAUUAGAAAGCGACACGUGUGGAUUGGUGGUAAGGGGAAAAAAACUUCAGCAUGUGAGGUGGCAUGUGGCCACUAAGCAAAAUAAAGAAAUCAACAAAUUAAUAAAUUAAUAAACUAAAAAAAUUGGCACAGCAGGGACCUCCUUUCUGUGGGGAAAAAAUUCCCGUGAAAAAAAAAAAACCAAAGCUCUGCAUAGAGAAGACAAAGUUUUUUUUGUAAAAAUAGAAAAAAGGUCUGCCAUGUGUUGCAAUGACCUUGAACAGGCAGUCAGGGUCUUGUCUAUAAGGAAAAAAAUUCCCGUGAAAAAAAAAAAAAACCAAAGCUCUGCAUAAAGAAGGCAAAGUUUUUUUUUAAUAAAAAAAGAAAAAAGGUCUGGUACUCCAAUUUGAGUAUUAGAAAGUUGGAAUAGUUAAUGUUGAGCUACAUGUAAGUAAUAAAGUUUGAUUUUAAGGUAACGUGUUAAUAUUAUACAUUGUUUGAUAUUGUUAGGAAUAAAAGAAAGGAUGAACAAUUAAAAUAUGUGAAUCAAACAAUUACAUGUUUGGAUAAUAUAAACCUCACUAAAUCAUGAAACGUGAAAACACUAAGGCAUGAAACACCAAGAUGCCAAAAAAAGAUAUGAGAUAAAUAUAAGUGUUGGUUGUUAGCCCGUGCAUUUAAAGUGUUGGCUAUGUUUUUUUGUCUCCUUUUUUAUUGAAUCCCCUCUACCAUAAAUCAAAGAAAGCAAUUCUUGCUGCUUGAAGAAAACAUUGAGAUUCCUUAAAUGUUUUUUUAUUAUUUAUAAAUCAUCUUUCUAAUACUCUCUCAUACACUUGAACAAAUAUUCAUAUUGAUGUAUUAAAUCUUGGCAUGUUAUCUUUUCCUUUUCUUGGGCCAACCAAUACAACACUUUACCCUGUCAACCCGUCUCAUUUUUUUUGUACCUUUCUAAUUUAUUUUAAAAAGAGUUGUUUCUUAUUCUUUAAAAUUAUUAUGAAGUAUCCUAAAAUAUUAGGAUUAAUGUAAAUAUUACAAACACAACAUAAAAUUCAAAAUCAUUUAUCUUUAAAAGAUGAUUAUUAAUUUGCAAAUGAUGAUUAUUUCCAUAUCCAAAAAGAAUAUUUAAAAUUAAUUGUUAAGUACCUAUUGAUAGAAAGACCUAUUUUGUAUUUCUAACGUUUUGUUUCAUUGCUAGUCCUAUAAAAUAUACCUUUAAAAUUUCAAAACUCAACAUGCCAAUAACUUCAGCAAAAGGUUUUCUCAAAUCACUAAUCCAAAUCGUGUUUCAUAACUAAUAUUAAAAAUAUGUAUAUUUUGAGAGUACAAAGUGUUAAUAACCCGAUAUAAUGGAAUAUUAUUUUAUUAUGUAUUAAAAUUAAAUCAUUGGGGUCAGUGUGUAUACAUGGGGAAAAAAGAAUAACAGCAAUGCAAUAUAAUUGUAUCAUGUAUUAAAAUUGAAUCAUUGUGGUUAACGUGUAUAUAUGUAAGGGGAAAAAAAUAACAACCUCCAAUGACUCUCCAAAUAGUGAUUCAAUUAAUUUAGCAUAUAUAAAAUUAAUUCAAAUGGGAAGAUGAUAUGUGGUAACCUCAUGUUAAUCAUGUAAUUAAUUCAAUUGUAAUUAGUUAAUUCAAAGAAUAUGAUUGAUUCAAAAUAUAUAGCGAUUCAAUUUUGAUCGAUUUCAACUAAUUUUAAUUUUGUAAUGUUUAAAUUGAUAGUGCAACAUUUAAAAUUGAUUGUUAAGCACCAACUAAUCAAGAAUAAUUCAACGUCUAAAUUAUGAGUAUUUUCCUAUACUAACAGAAUAUGUUAAUUAAUUUGAAAAUUAUGAUUAUUCUCACAUCCUAACAGGAUAUUUUAAAUUGAUUGUUAAGUAUCUGUUAACGAUUUCUAUAAAUUUGUCUGAUUUUUUGUUUGAUUUCUAGUUGUGUAAAAUAUACUUUAAAAUAUGAAUUUGAUUGAUUCAAAUUAUAUAGUGAUUCAAUUUUGAUUGUUUCAAAGAAUAUGAUUGACUCUAGAUAAUUUCAUAAUUAAUCAAAAUAAUUUUAAAAUAGGAAGACGACAUGUGGUAACCACAUGUUUUAAUUUUGAUUGAUUUUAAAUAAUAAAUAAUAAAUACAAUUGAUUUUUUUUAUUCAUAGGAACAUUUUAUUAUAUUGAAUUUAAUUAUAUAAUAAAUCAAAUAUAAUGAUGACAAAAGUAUGAUACGAUGAUUCAACAAUUAAUUACGUGUAUAUUAAUAUUUAAUGAAUUGUUAUAUAUGGUAAUCAAUCAUUAUAUGCUAAUCAAUGUAAUGAAACUCAUUAUUUUUAAGAUGCUGAAUAAUUGUAUGUUACGAUGAUUUGAUCCAAUAACAAUUAAAAUAAUUUUAAAAAAUUAAAUCAAAAUAAUAUGUUAACUAUUACUAUUAGCACCAACAUUGAAUAAAUUAAGUAAAUAUUAAUUUAUUACAUUUUAAUAAUUGAAUAAAUAAAUUAAUAAUAACAGUUAAAGUAUUAUAUAUUAACUUUAAUAAUAUUAUAAUUCAAAUUCAAAUUAAAAAUUUUAAAAUCUUGUAUGAUCUGAGUUUCAAUUUUAUAGACACAAUAAACAUAAAAUGUGGAGGAAAAAUCUUUAAAAUUGUAACCAAUGUAUUCAAAUAAGACCAUAAGGGAAAUUAUAAAUUUUUUUAUUUUUUAUGGGUAAUAUUAUUUAUUCAAUAAAUUUGAUUAUUUCUCCCGGGAAAAAAAUAAGGUAAAAAAAUGUGUUAUAUAGUAUGAAGUAAUUGUUUAUAUAAUAACAAUGUAUCAUUUUCGUCAAAUGAUUAAUAGGUUUUCGGCUCUUUUUUCUACCUGUUUGAAGUUUACUUUGAUAUUCUAACUGUAAUACACUCUUACGUUAAUCUUUCUCUCUCCUUUACUUCAUUGAGCUUCUGGCAUCCACUGGUAAAAUAAGCUCAAGUGUUUUUUUUUCAUUAUUAUUGUCCUCGUUGGUAAUAAGGUAAUCUGAGGACUAUUCAUUACCUUUUAAACUAUUUAGUUCAAAAUCAAGGAUGGUUCACAUAACUUUUUGAUGCAUCUCAAAACUAAGCAAAAUCAUUUCAUGUUUUGAGCUUAAAAGUGAAUGCAACACAAUGAAACCUUAACUAAUUCUAAGCUUUAAUUUACAAUUUUUUUUCAAUAUCAUCGGCUUUCGUAUUUGAUCAGUAGACAAUUUAUACUUAGCAUAUUUUUUUACCUACUUUUUUUUCCCGGGAUAAGUAAUCAAAUUUAUUGAAUAAAUAAUAUUACCCAUAAAAAACAAAAAAGUAUAAUUUAUAUUUAGUUAAAACAUAGAUGUUUUGUAAAACUUAAAACUAUUCCUCAAAAUCCGAAAUAUUAUGUGAGAAUAUGUAACAUUAUCUUACAGUGUCAAUAUUAUAAUAAACUCUUGGGUUAAAAAUUAAAAUAUUUACAUCUCAUGCGAUCCAAAAAUAACUAUAAAUUAAAAUAGAAAAAAAAAACAAAAUGUGAUAAACAAAAUACUCUACGGUGUAUGUGUCUCUCAUUCAUAAAUCGAGUUAAGAAACCAAACUAUACAACACAUAAAUAAAAAUAUUCAGUUCUGCAUAACAUAUUGCAUAUAUCAUAAUGGUGUAGUAGGUGAACACAUAAAAUGAGCGUCAUGUAAGCAUUUCAGGCCAUUAGUCAUCCUGUGCUUUCUGAUCCAUAAGCUCCCAUUGAAAAUGCAGUGGCUGUGUAUUUUACAUCAAAUAUCAAGUGGUCCAAUCAAAAUAAUAUAUUUGUCCUUUACAUAAUAAAAAUAACAUACAACACCUUCUGUUGCAGUUAUGGGAGUGUAAAAUGAUGCAUAACUCAUCAUAUCUUGGAUCAAACUUUUCCCCAUUACAAAGUCUAGGAUCUCAGCCAAGACACUCUGCACAUAAAGAAGUUCUUAGGAUAACAUGCAGCUAAAAUGUAUGAAAUACUCAAUUUUGUUUAUGAAUUGAUAACAAAAUAAAAAGAACUGGGUACCAUAAAAAUAUAUCAACUUCGUGAAAAUGUCUUUGAUCACAUGGGUACAAUAAAAAUGACUUCAAGAAGACAUUUUUAUGGUAUCUACUACCAGGUCCAUAUAUUUUAUUUAUGGCAUUCAAACGUUUUUUGCUAGAGAGUAUCAAAUCAAAAUACAAAUUUAGAUUAUAAUAAUAAUAAUAAUAAUAAUAAUAAUAAUAAUAAUAAUAAUAAUAAUAAAACAAAAAAAAGCACUGGGUAGCGUUACCCAUACAUCCUUACCCCAUAACUACAGUUCUGCAAAUUGCUCACAGCAUCUGGACAAAACAAAGGAAAUAUAUAAUAGAUAUUAGCAUUCAGAAGGGAAAGUAUCAACUUUGAUGACAAUGAUUUAACAAAAUACCACAAAAAUCAGAUACCAUAAAAAUAUAGCAACUCUGCCUUGAAAAUGUUUUUAGCAUCAUCGUUGUCACUUUAGUAGCAAAAAUAAAUCAGCAACAACUCUUGCAGCAAGAUAAUUUAAUAAAAAAAAGGGAGGGAAAUAUAAAAAUGACACAUUUAUUCUUCAACACAUUCAGCACCGUCGUUAGCCUGUCCCAAAAAUCAAACAACACAAAAUCAUACCACAAAAAAAUUAGACAAAAAGAAACGGGCAAAAAAUAGAUAAAAAUGAAACCUUUAUUCAUCAACACCGCCCUGUAAAUCAUAUUAUUGCAAAAAAUCAGCAACAACUCAUGUAGCAAAAAUGGUAGAAGAUCAUUUUUUAAAAAAAAACGAAAAAGAAUAGAAGAGAAACAAAAAGAAAUCAGUAACAACUCUUGUAUAAAAAAUGGAAGAAGAUAAUUUUUUAAAAAAGGAAAUCAGGAAAAAAGAAAAAAAAUGACAUUUUUAUUCUUCAACACCUUCAACACUGUCGUUAGCCUAUCCCAAAAAUCAAACCACAAAAUCAUAACUCUUGUAGCAAAAAUGGUAGAAGAUAAUUUUUUAAAAAAAGGAAAUUAGGAAAAAAAGGGAAAAAAUACACCUUUAUUCUUCAACACCUUCAGCACUGUCGUUACCCUGUCCCAAAAAUCAAACCACAAAAUCAUACCACAAAAAAUAGACAAAAAAAGGAAAAAAAAAAAUAGAUAAAAAUACAACCUUUAUUCUUCAACACCACUCUGUGAAUCAUAUUGUUGCAAAAAAAUCAACAACAACUCUUGUAGCAAAAAUGACAGAAGAUCAUUUUAAAAAAAAUGAAAAAGAAUAAAAGAGAAACAAAAAGAAAUCAGCAACAACUCUUGUAGCAAAAAUGGCAGAAGAUAAAUUUUUUAAAAAAAGGAUAUUAGGAAAAAAAAGGAAAAAAAUGACACAUUUAUUCUUCAACACCUUCAACACUGUCGUUACGAACUUGUACUCAUGUAGAAAACAAAAUAAAAGCAAAACACCCAAAAAAAUUUAAGUUUUUGUGUUUACGAACCUGUACUCAUGAAGUUUUUGAGAUAAAAAUCGCAACUUUAAUGUGUUCUUCCACCUUCUCUGCAUACAACAUGCCAAAAAAUAUAUUGAACCAUUACACCACCAAAAAAGGACGAAAACACAAAAAGCUGGGCAUAGGAAGCAAUGUGCACGUUGGAGAAGGUUUAGUAACACAAAAAAAUUUAAACUUUUGUAUUGCAAGAAGUCAGAAAAUAAAAUAAAGGCAGAACACCCAAAAAAAUUUAAGCUUUUGUGUUUAUGAACCUGUAGUCAUGGAGUUUUUGAGAUAAAAAUGACAGCUUUAAUGUGUUCUUCCACCUUCUCUGCGUACAACAUGCCAAAAAAUAUAUUGAACCAUUACACCACCAAAAAAGGACGAAAGCACAAAAAGCUGGGCAUAUGAAGCAAUGAGCACGUUGAAGAAAGCUCAGGAACACAAAAAAAUUUAAACUUUUGUAUUGCGAGAAGUCAGAAAACAAAAUAAAGGCAGAACACCCAAAAAAAAUUUAAGUUUUUGUGUUUACGAACCUGUACUCACGGAGUUUUUGAGAUAAAAAUUGUAGCUUUAAUGUGUUCUUCCACCUUCUCUGCAUACAACAUGCCAAAAAAAUAUAUUGAACCAUUACAUAACCAAAAAAGGACGAAAACACAAAAAGCUAGGCAUAUGAAGCAAUGAGCACGUUGUCUAAAUUAGAAACAAAAUGAUAAAUCCAAGCUUUCUUUGUGGAAGGUAUGACGCUAUUGCAGCCCAUCUUUAACAUAGCCAAUGUGAUCCAGUUAAGUUAAGCAUGUGGAUCCAAAACAUAGAACUUCCCAAAUCCAAAUACUCAAAAUAGUUAAAAAUAAAUAAAUCUUCAAAACUCAAACUAAGUAGGUGCUUGGAAGAUUGAUUCGUACCUGUUUCCUAAAAGAUCUUGAAGAUGGAUUAUCAUCUUCUCCUCUUGUUCUGUGAAGUUGCCCUGUUUGAUUCCUGGCCUCAGGUAAUUAGUCGAUCUAAGUCUGCAACUCUUGAUGCAUCUUGACAACCCUGAAAAUAACCCCAAAAUGGAAAAAUCAAUUCAGAUCCAAAGAUAAAACAAUGAAACCCAAAAUGGCCAAUUUUUCAAUCAAAAACUUUUUUAAAUAAUGAUCUAAUAAACACAACAAAGAACAAGAACCAAUAUUAUGCAAAAUAAUCAUCAAAUUGAGUGUAGGGCUAAUUAAUUAACCUGUUUUGGCAGGAACUGCCCUCCAAUUUCCAGGACCAUGUUCCUGAAUAUAAGACACCAAUAUGAUGUGUUGUCGGCUUUCUUUUUUAUUUCUGUAACCCUCUUUACUUGAUAGGGUUUUAAUGCAUGUGUCCAAGCCUAACCUUUGCUUGAUGCACAUUUAUAGCUAAAAAUGAAAGGGGUAAGGAUAUGUAUGGUGUGGGGUGUGAUGAGUAGCUGACUUAAACUAGUAAACCAGGUAGCCUAGUCAAAAGUUGACAGCAAGAGCAUUAACUAAAGGAGUAAGGGCCAAAAUUAUUCAUUAGUUUUUGUUAACUUCCAACAACGUUAACAUCAGUUUUCUAUAACAAAAACUGAUGUUAACGAAUAUGUUAACAUCAGUUUUUUGUUAAAAACCGAUAUUAACUUUCAAGAAUCUUAACAUCGUUUUCUAUAAAAACCGAUGUUAACGUAUAAGUUAACAUCGAUUUUUGAGUAAAACUGAUGUUAACGUUUGGAAGUUAACAUCGAUUUUUGUACAAAAUUGAUGUUAACGUAUCAGUUAAUAUCGGUUUUAUAUAAAAUCGAUGUUAACAUUGACAUUUAAUAUCGGUUUUAAACUAAAACUGAUGUUAAGUGUCAACGUUGUUAUGCACAUUGAUACCUUUUUUUCCUGUAAUUCUUAUUAUAUUACAUCGGUUAUUUAAAUAAUUGAUGUUUUCAAUUUUACUUUAACAUCGAUUUUAAGAAAUCGAUGUUAACGAUAAUACUUUCAACAUCGGUUAAUAACCGAUGUUGAAAGUCAUAAAUAACCGAUGUAAAAAACGUAUUUUCUAGUAGUGAGUUUUUUUACCCUUAGAUUAAUUUUUUCUUAAGUUAAUGGUUUAGAUUAUUCUUCUUAAUAUUUUAUUAUUCUUCUUAAUUUUUUAUUUUUCUUUUCUCCCUUGUUUUUUUUCUUUCCCAAAUUUACCCCUCCUCUCUCAUCUUCAAACAUCUCAUUUGUUACAAACACGAAAUUUAUUCGCUUGAAAUUUAACCCAGUGGUUUUGUUUUUUUUUUAUGAACCCAGUUUUAAUUAACUUCGAAUAGUGAUUAAUUUACUUCUGAAUUUUAUACAUUAAGCGCCUACUAAAAAAUGUGGUUAACUAUAUGACUAUAUCAUUUUAGUUAACGUCUAAUUUUUGUCCUAAUAAGUCAUAUCCGAAGGUGCGCGACAGAGCCUAUAGUUAAAUGGGACCCAAAAAUUUUUAAAAAUUAUAUGAUCAUGUAAUUAUUUCUUCUAUAUUAUGUUUUUAUUUAAAUCAUUAAAUUGUAAUUAUUUUUUAUUUCAUGUUUCUCUUGGUUCAAACUAAUUAAGAUGUGAAAUGUGGUUAAAAAAUAUUAUCAUGUAGGUUUUUUUAUGUAUUAUCUUCAUAAAUUCAUAUUAAAUAAUUUUUUAGCUUAAUAAGACAUCAACAUGUAAUGGACAAGGAUAAUAGAUUUAAUAUUUAUUUUUUUUAAUAAAAUAAGAAACACAAACAAAAAUUCAAAUUAUAAAGAAAAUAAAAUUAAAUGAUUUCAUACUAAUAAAGAACAAAAUUAUAUGUAAGUUUCAAUAUUAAUGAUAUUUUAUCAAUGAUAACUAUAGCAACGGAAUUAAAGCAUUUUCUUUGAGAGACAAAAUAAAAUUAUAAAUUUAAAAUUUAAAAUUAAUAUUUUAAAAAUAAAUAAAUUAAAAUUAUAAAAAAAUAUAUGAUGGAUUCCUCAACUAGUUAUUCAAAUUAAAUCAAACUCAAUGGAAUGGUGAUGGAUUUAAAAAUUUAAACCUAAACCUAUCACAUGCCUUUUGCAUGAGUGUUGUCUCUAAUAUGUUUCAUUGUAAUGCCUAUCUUAUAUAUAAAUAUUUAUGUUAUAUAGUAUUUUUUUUUUCAAAUUAAAUUUAAUGAUAGAUGAAUAAAUAAAAUUAAAUUAAAUAAAAAAUGUGAUUUUUUUAGAUUUAUUAAAGCUAUUUUAUUCAUUGUAACAAAUAUAUCAUUUUUAAUAAAAUUGCAUGUCUAUUUUUAUAUAAUAUAUAUUUCAAAUACUUAAAUAUGAAAUUGUAAUAUUUAUUAUUUUGCGUAAAAUCUCCGCCAUGAUUGUUUGAUAAGUAAUUUUUUAGUGAUUUCUAUUAGUCACCUUUAAGAUUCUCUCUUCCAACCAUAAACCUGAUAUCUUGUUUAAGAGGAUCGAGUCAAAUAUCACUCCGACUAACUACUUGUUGGUUUAAAAUGCUACUUUAAUUAAAUAAAUUUUUAGUUUUUAUAUUUUAUUUUUAUCCUUAAAAUAUUUAUUUCUUCUUAUCCACUAUUCAUUAAAUUUCCUUAUUCCCUUGUUUAAUUUAACGAUUAGACUAGUUAUUUUAUUAUUUUAGCAUUAUAUGUUAAGAUCUUUAUACAUAUAAAAGGAGAGGGAUAAGAAUGAAGAUUUUUGAAAUAUAAAAAAGAUAGGUUGGUAUAGUUUUGGAAAAAUAUUUUUGCAAUUGAUUGGUAAAAAAAUGAAUGAAAUGUGUGUUGCAUGAGAAUGAAAAACCUGAGGACAUUUAAACGGAUAAUUAUUCAAUUGCAAUUAAUUGGAAUAAAACGUAUAUAGGAAAUUAAAAAUGUUUAAAGGCAAUGAAAUAGAUUUAAAACGUAACACCAAUUAAGAGAUUUGAAAUUUUUAUUUCCUUUUUAAAUGCAUAUGAUAUGAUUUUUGCUUACCUUCUUAUUAUCACUAUAAGUAUUGAAUCAAAUCAUCUAACCCAUCGUGAUUAUAUUGUUUUACUUAUACGUGUUUUCUGAAUCUGUAAAUGAUUUUUAUAUAGUUUAUUAUUAUUGUUAUUAUUAUUAUUUACUGUAAUCAUACCAUAUUGUAAUAUUUUUCAUGUUUAUUCUAAUUUUAAAUUAUUUUGUGUUGUGGAAGGAAUAUGCUGAAUUCCCUAAACACAAAUGGUAAGGUUUUUUUUCUUGGAGCAACUGAAUCUCUCUUCUCUCUCUCCAAAAUAAUUUAAAUUUAUAUUUCCUUAUUUGACGUCUGUAGAAUUUGGCUUCAAGUAUCUUAAGCAAAUUAUGAAUUAUCAAAAAACAAGCUCUAUCUUUGUUGUGGAUGAUGAAUAUCAGAUUUUUAUUUUUUUUUAUGUUCAUUGGGGAAAGGGAGAUGGAGAGGUCAUCCUCACUGACCAAUUGACUCAAUCGUGUGUUUCAAAUGUUUUGAAGAAAGAUAUAUAACACAAUUGGACUUGGAUGAUCCUACCAACAUAUUUUGACAUGUUUUUGUUUAAUAAUUAAGUUGGAUAUUUUGUUAAGUUAUUCUUAAUCCUAAGAAACUUUGUUAUAAAACUAUUCUUUGUUAGUAAAGAGUUGUUUAUAAUAUUUUUCAUUUUAACUUCUAAUAAUUAUUAUUAACUUCCAGUAAUCAUUGAUUUAAUAAGAUUCACAUUAGUUUAUAUAAAGUUAAAGUGUUUAUAUUGAAAUCCUUAUUUUAAUUAAUUCGUUAAUGAUUGUAAAAUAUAAAAAAAAUCUGACAUCUAAAUCGCUUUGGUAUAAUUUAAAAUACGGAUCUUUGUUUCGUACUAUUUAAAUAUAUAAGAGAGUAAACAUUUUGUUGCAUAAUAAAAUCAAAAGUAUAAGCUUCUAAUAUAUAUAUAUAUACACUGAGUUUCUUUCUUACUCCUUUUCUUUGUAAGAAUACUGUUCCGCAGUUUCUUACUCAGUUUCUUUCCUACUCCUUUUGUUUGUAAGCUUAUCAAAUAAUUAAUAAUUAAAUUAAUUAUUAAUUUUCUUUCAAGUAUUCUUGGAUUUCUCUCCUAACAUAUCAAUCAAUUAGAUAUCAAAUUAUACCGGUAUUUCUUUCAUAUAUAUUUAAAUUUUAACAAAAUUUGACACAAAUAAUGUUAGUAAUAUAUAAAUAUAAUUUUACUAUAUAUAAAAAUUGUUUUGCAAAACUAUCUAGAAUCUUAAUUUUUAAGAAGAUUUUCGUAAAAUUAUAUUUCUUUUUAAGACGAUUUUGUAUCAACCGAGAUAUAACAGUUAAUUGUUACAGUAUAUAGAUAUAACACAAUAGUUAAAUUGAUAAAAGUUACAUUUAUAUAUAUAUAUAUAUAUAUAUAUAUAUAUAUGAGAUGUAUAAUUAGUUUUUUUUUUAAGCUCAAAAUAUAUUGAAUUUAAAGUAUAUUUAAAUAUAAGUCCAAGUCAAAUGUAAAUGUUAAAUUGUUACAAUAUAUGUAAAUAUUGUAAAAUAAUAAUUAUUUAACGACAAGCAAAACCAAUAAUUUGGUAAAUGAAUUUAAUUCAGUGAGUAAGUUGCGUGAAUUAUUUUUCGGAAAUACAGUUUCUUUUUAAUAUUUCCUUUUUAAAAAUAUAGUUCCUUAUAUUAAAUAUUUUUCGGAAAUCACAAUCAAUACAACAUAAUUGAUUUAAUAUUUUUAAAACAUUAAAUCAUAUAAAUAGUUUUCCUUUAAUUAAAUUCAAAACCAAAAUUUUGUAAAAAAAAAGGUAAUUAAUUAGUAAUACAAUGACUAAUAAUUAUUCAGCAAAAACCACAACUAAUAAUCAAAUCCCAAUAUUUUAAAAGAAAAAGAAUAAUACACUGACAAGAUAAAAUAUUGUGUAUUGUCAUCCAAUCAUAACUCAUGUAUGGUAAAAUUAUUGAAUUUUAUGUUAAUUAUUUUAAAAGUUAUAUCAACAAAUAUUUAUAAUUGGAUGAGAGUAUAAAACUAUUUAGAGCAUUUCCAAUGAUAUUGAUAAAAGAACUCAAUUUAUGUCACAUCAAUCUUAAACAACUCAAUUGAUUUUCUCUCCAAUGAGUAUUAAUUUCUUUUAAUAAGUUUUUUAAUUCACAAAUAUUUUAUUUCUUUCUCCUAUAAUUUGUGAUAAAAAUAAGAUAUACUUAGACUAGAAAAAACCCGGGCUCAAAAUAAUAAAAGUUCUUGAAUAAUACUAUAUCAAAUCAUAAAAUUUAUUUUUCUGUCAAAUAAUGACAUCUGAAACCUUUAUGUGCUCCGAGUUAUAAUUUUGACUUUAACAUGAAAAAGUAAUAACAAACACAAAAUUUUAACGUGGUUUGACAACUUUCGUCUACGUUCAUGCAUUGAAUCGUCCCAAAAAGAAGUAUUUCACUAUUACAAAAAUGAUUACAAGAUUAUAACACACCUCAAAUAAUAUAUUAUUCUACAAAUUCAAGUACUUCACUUAAUGGUUAUAAGAAAUUAUAACACUCUCACACAAAAACAUUUUUUUUUCCUCAACAAAGUGACUUUGUUUCAGAAUCUCUCUUUCCACACACUCUCUUGUGUUGUUUCUCCACUAAUUUUCUUCUCUAUUUAUAGUGAAGAUUGUCACCAACUAUAAUAAAUAAGUUAUUUUGAAAGUUAAAACAAAAACGACUUUGAAUGCAUUUAUUCAAAUAAGUUUCAUAUAAUAAAAUACAAUCUUUCAUUUUACAUUUAAAUCACUUAAACCUUAGUGAUAAAAAUUCAAUUUUUACUAUGUUAUCUUUUGCUUCAAACUCUAUACUAUUUUAAACAAUAUUUCUUGAAAUUCCAUUAACAUGUUAUGUGACAUAACUGAUAUAAGGCUUACUUUACCAAAAAAAAAAAACAUUGAUAUAAGGGUUGGUGAAAUUUUAAUAAAUUUAUUUAUAAUCAUACGUUAGUAUUUUUUGAAAUUGCAUUAAAUCCAUAUGUCAUUUUAAUGUAACGCAAAUUACUAGACCACUAAAAUUUUAAACAAUCAAUGAUUAAAUAAUAGUUAAGGAAAUCUAAUCUUUUAAUUUUUAUUAACCAUGUUUUCAUAAUUGAUAAAAUUUUUGACCAUAAUUUAAUUUAAUUUCGUUGAAUUACUAUUAUUUUCCUUAUUUAAAUAAGAUGGGUUUCUUUGCUUAAUUAUAUAAGAUUGUACAACAUGAUUUACUUAUUCUCAACUAUUUUUGUACUUCAUCAUCCUUAAUCACUGUAUGUUGUGUUUUUAUUUUUAUUUUUAUUUUUCAUAGUUUAUUUGUAUUUACCAUGAAGUUUUAAUUUUGUUUACAAUAGACAAUUUAAUUUUUCUCAAAACAGUUUUGUGCAUGAUACUAUGUAUGUUAUAUUUGCAGGAUGGUGUGAAACUUAGUAAUAUUGAUUUUUAUUCUUUUAGAGAGAAUAGUUGGUUGAUGACACUCCAAAACUUGCUGACCCAAACGAUAAUAUUUUUUAUGUCCAUUUAUCUAAUGAUUCAAGUGCUAUGAAAAUAUUUUUGGGUGGUAUAUGUUGGAGGUGGUCAAGUUUUAUAAGCUAAUAUCAAAUCACGAGGUUUGAUUGCAUUUUUAGUUAAAAAUAAAUUUGAAAUGAAAAUGAUUGAUUCUAAGUAAAAAUGAAAUUAUUAUCCUUUAGCUAUACACGAUUUAAUCCAUAUGAGAAUGAGCUUGCUUAUGAAGAUGAUCAAAAUGGAAAAAGAAAAUGUUAGUAUUUCUUAUAAUCUUGAAAAGAAAUUGAACUCUUAUCAACCAAAGUGUUCUUCAUUGGUAAGUUUUAAAUAUUUGAUUAUUUUUAAAUUAUCUAAUCUUUAAUUUUUGUUUUUUUAUUUUUAACUUUUGACUACUUUUAUUUUUUUCAAAACUAUAUUAUUAAGGUUUUAUUUUGUUAAAAUUCAAAUUUACUUUAUCUAAUAAUCUUGCAUAUAAAAUAAUAUGUUACUGAAUUGUUUUUAUGUUUAUUGUCUUUCACCAGGUCUUUCAGACAUAUGAAGAAUAAUAGAAGAAUUAUAUUUCUAUUUCAACAAUUUAAAUACAUUUAUAAUGCUUUGUAGCUAUAAUUGUUGCUUUAUUAACAGUAACACAUGUUAUAUUACUUUUCUAUUAUUUUACUUAUUAGUUGGAAUUAUAAGUUUGAAUUAUUUUUCCAUUUUUAUAUUUAUUAUAUGUAAAAAUAAUUAAUAAAACUUGAAUUUUUUAACCUUAUGAAAUUAUAUUAAUUACUGCAAAAUUAUCCUACAAUUACACAAACAAAUUGUUUAUUCCGUGCAUCACACGGAUAAAAACUAGUAUUGAUAAUAAUAGAUGCUAAGUUUAUUUUGAUUUAUUUUUUAUUAUAUUUUAAAUUUUUAUAAUGCACUUUAUUUUAAUCAUUCUUCUAUUUAUAAGUUUUUAAUUUUUAAUUUAUUAUUUCAACAUUAUACUCCAAAUCGACAAUAAUAAAUGUUAGAUUUAUUUUAUUUUAUUUUAUUUUUUAAAUAAUUUUAUAUUAGACAAUUUAUUGUAACUAUUAUGCUACUUAAAAUAAUAAAAGUAUAACGUCUAUUUAAGUGUGUGUGUUUUUUAUAAUUUUUUUAAGUUGAUUAAAUACAUUUUAAGUUAUAAUGUAAGAUUAAUAGUAGAAUACAUAAUAUGAAACAAAAGUAAUAAUUGAAACUAAAAUUCUAAUAAAAUAUAUAACUUACUUAUAAUAAAUUUCUUUUGCAAGAGUUUAAAAUUAAUUAAAAAAUUAAAAUUAUAAAACCUUAACUAUAUUUUAUCCAUAAAAUUGUUAUAUAAAAACAUCAAAUGAAUAGUUUAUUAAAUAUUUUUGAUUUAAUAAGUUAAUUUAAAAACUUUCAGCUAUCCACUACCAAUUAGAUUUUAAGCUAGUUUUGUCAUAGCCUAUUUUAUUUUAUAAAUGGUUAAAUGUAAAUAAAUAUAAUUAUGUGUAUUUAUGAUAUGUGCUAAAUAUUAGCCAUUUACAUGAUAAAAUUAACCACUAUUGAACAUUUUAGUAACAUUAUGACUAUUAACUAGUGGCACAAAGUUUGUUACGAAUUUUAUAAUUCCUAAUUAAUUAAUAUGGGUAUAUUAUAAUAUUUAUAUUAGUUAUUUACAUUUAAAUGAGUUUAAUAUAAAGUGAUCUAUUUAAGUGAGCCCAUUAGACUGCCAGGAAAUUGAUAUGGAUCCAGGUAAUUUGGUUGAGGAAGGUCCCAUAAGGAAGAAGGUGAUUUGAUUGAGGAAGGUUAUUAAACCAAUUGUUCGUGAUCACUGUCAGAUUCCACUGCGUGUUGAUCAAGCUUUCUAUGGAUCCAAGUAUUCCUUAAAACCUCUUGAUAAUCUGACGUAAUGUGUUUUGGUGCUCAUUUGGUAUUUUAUAAGAUUUAUUGAAAAUUUCCAACAAGUGGUAUCAGAGCCACCAUUACUGUUAGAUUAUUGAGAUUUAAAGUUCUGUUUGAUAUGUAUUGUAUCUGGAUCCUUUUAGUUAUAUGAACCCUAAUUUUAUUUUGGGGAGAAACUAUUUUGAUCAAUAAAAUUGUAAAACCCCUAAAUUUAUGUGUUAUGGCCAUAAAGUUUUUUUUCUCUUUAGAAUUAAUAAAAGGCCUCUGCAUUUGAUUUACGAGGUUGUACAAUUUUUUUUGUUUGUGUCGCAUUUGCUGGCAUAUUAUUCUAUUUUGGAUAAAGGUUCUACGUAUCUGGUGUUGGCAUUUAGUCCGUGGCACAAUUUCAUAAAUAUAUAUUUUUUUGUUUAUAUGAAUCAGUAAUAAGGCAAUUCUUAUAUGAAUAAUUUAUUGUUUAUUUGCCAACUGUUUUUUCUUAAUGAAUUAGUGAUAGGCAAAUAAUUUAUGUUAUUCAUGUGGUUAGUAUAAAUUUGUAAUGGUAUUGUGGUAUGUUUGUUUCGGGUGCGUAAUUAGUUUAUCAUGAUGUUGUUUUUUCAAACACUUAUUGUUAUCACAAUUGGGUGCAAAUUUAACCAUUAUGGAUUCUUUCCAUUUAAUUUCAUGUCCAGUAAUUUUAAUUAAAUUGGUUGAACCAUUAUGUUGUCAAAGUAACUUCUAUUAUGUAAAUUGAUUUAAUUAAAUUGCAUGGAUGUUAGUAUGAAAUUAUUUAUGCGAAUUGUGCUCAGUCCAAAGGAAGACACAAUUUGGCCAAAUAAUAACAUAUAUGCGAUGAUAAAUAUGUGACAAUUAUUAAGUUUUUUUUAUAAGAAUAAUAGUCGGUCCAAAGAAAGACUAUUAUUUGUCAGAACUAAUUGUCAAUAUUUGAUCAUUGCAUUGAGAGUACCAAUUACAAAUUAAUUUCUCUGUCCAAAGACUAGAAUUAAUGUUGUGCUAGGUAUCUUGUGAUAGAUCUGUUAUGGGAAAUAUUUGCAUGUCUUGUUAUAUAUAUACUUUGUAUGACUUGCUUGAUUAUUUGUGAACAUGUUAUUAUUUUUUGUUCUCUCUUUAGUUAAUAUUACCAGUGCUGCAAAUGCUGCCCAAGUGAAUUCUAUCCCAAUGCUGAAUGGGACAAAUUUUAAGGUCUGGAAAGAAGUUGUAGAAAUUGUUCUUGGAUGUAUGGAUUUGGACUUGGCAUUGAGGACGGAACGACCCAUUUCCACUCCGGAAACCUCUAAUGAGGUAAAAAUUGAGAAGUGGGAUUGGUCCAACCGAAUGUGCCUUAUGAUCAUGAAGCGCUUUAUUCCAAAGGCGUUUCGGGGCUCUAUUUUUUAGGGUUAAAGUGCAAAGAAAUUCCUUGAGGAAAUUGAGCAAUACUUUGCCAAAAAUGAAAAGGCAGAGACGAGUAACCUUUUGGCUAAACUCAUCUCCAUGAAGUAUAAAGGCAAAAGGAACAUAGGGGAGUACAUUAUGGAGAUGUCCAAUCUCGCAUCAAAACUCAAGUCACUUAAGUUAGAGCUUGGUGAAGACCUGCUCGUGCACUUGGUUUUGAUCUCGCUUCCUACACACUUUGGGCAAUUCAAAGUGAGCUAUAACACUAAGAAGGAUAGAUGGUCCCUCAAUGAGCUUAUAUCUCACUGUGUGCAAGAGGAGGAGAGGCUGCAGAGAGAUAGGACUGAAAGUGCUCACUUGACUUCGACCUUUCAAAAUAAGAAAAAGAAGAAGACUAAGGGUGCUGUGGAAGGGACUUCUUAGCAAAAGAAACAAAAUAAGGAUGAGGAAUUUACCUGUUACUUCUGCAAGAAGUCGGGACACAUGAAGAAAGAGUGUCCCAAGUAUGCCGCAUGGCGUGUGAAGAAAGGUAAAUUUCUUACUCUAGUUUGUUCAAAAGUUAAUUUGGCUUUUGUACCUAAAGAUACUUGGUGGGUAGAUUUUGAUGCUACUACUCACAUAAGAAUGACUAUGCAGGGUUUCCUGUGGAGCCGACUACCAAGUGAUGAUGAAAGAUUCAUCUUUGUGGGUGAUGGCAAGAAGGUUGCAGUGGAAGCUAUUGGAACUUUUAGAUUACAGUUAAAAACUGGAUUUUAUUUGGAUUUAUUUGAGACUUUUGUUGUACCGACUUUUAGACGGAAUUUGAUUUCUAUUUCUAGUUUGGACAAAUUUGGAUUUUCUUGUUCAUUUGGAAGUAAUAGAGUUAGUCUCUACCAAAAUUCUAAUAUGGUUGGUUCUGGUUCUUUAAUUGAUAAUCUUUACAUGCUUGAUGUUGUUAGUUCCUAUAAUGAAAUACUGCAAAUAAGUUCACAUGGUACAAAACAAAAAUUGAAUGAGAAUUUAGCCACCUUAUGGCAUAAGAGUUUAGGCCAUAUCUCUAAACAAAGAAUUCAGAGACUUGUGUUGGAUGAAAUUCUUGACCCUUUGGAUUUAUCAGACUUUGAGGUCUGUAUUGAAUGAAUAAAGGGAAAAUGAACAAACAUAAGGAAAUUAGGUGCCAUAAGAGCUAAAGACGUCUUAGAACUAGUGCAUACAGGCAUUUGUGGUCCUUUUCCUACAACUUCUUGGAAUGGACAACAAUAUUUCAUUACGUUCAUAGAUGACUACUCUAGAUACGGUUACCUAUAUUUGAUACAUGAGAAAUCCCAAUCCCUAGAAAUUUUUAAGACUUUCAAGGCUGAGGUUGAACUUCAACUUGGAAAGAAAAUUAAGGCUGUCGAAUUUGACCGUGGUGGUGAGUACUAUGGCAGAUAUGAUGGAUCAGGAGAACAACGUCCAGGACCUUUUACACUUUUCCUCAAAGAGUGUGGAAUUGUUCCGCAAUACACUAUGUCGGGCAAACCCAGCAUGAAUGGUGUAGCAGAACAAAGAAACCAAACUCUUAAGGAUAUGGUGAGAAGUAUGAUUAGUCAUUCCUCUUUGCCAGAGUCACUUUGGGGAGAAGCCUUAAACACCGCAGUUUACAUCCUUAAUAGGGUGCCAAGUAAAGCAGUCAAUAAAACCCCUUAUGAACUUUGGACUGGUAAAAGGCCAAGCAUUAACCAUUUGCACAUUUGGGGUUGUCCAGCUGAGGCAUGGCCUUAUAGGCCAUAUGAAAGAAAGUUGGACUCAAGAACAAUUAGCUGCUAUUUUGUUGGCUAUGCUGAACGCUCUUGGGGCUAUAAAUUUUGCAAUCCAACCUUAAGAUCCUUUUUCGAGACGGGAAAUGCGAGAUUUCUUGAGGAAGUUGAGUUUGGGAAGGAAGAUAACAUAAGGAAUGUUGACUUUGAGGAAGAACCUGUUAUUUACAGUGAUCAAGUCCUCAUACCUAUUAUUGUUCAAGACACAACUCCAGUAAUAGAAGACAAUGUUCAAACUAUUGACAUUGUUCCAGAACAAGACAACAAUGAGGUUCUCCCUCAAAUACCUUUAGAGCAACCUCAAGAACCUCAAGAAAUUCCAUUAAGGAGGUCCAUUAGAGAGAGGAGGAGUGCAAUCUCAAAUGAUUAUAUUAUAUUUCUCCAAUAACAUGAGGAUGGUGUUGGUUUAACAGAGGAUAAUCCAAUUAACUUUUGUCAAGCUAUGCACAGUUCUAACUCUCAAAAUUGGAUUGACACCAUGAAGGAUGAGAUGAAGUCUAUGAAUGACAAUGAAGUUUGGGAUCUAGUCGAGUUGCCUGAAGGUGUAAAACCUAUUGGUUGUAAAUGGAUAUUUAAAACCAAGAAGGAUUCAAAGGAUAAUAUCGAGAGAUAUAAGGCUCGUCUAGUUGCUAAAGACUUUACUCAGAAGGAAGGCAUUGACUAUCAAGAAACCUUUUCUCCAGUAUCUUCAAAGGAUUCUUUUGGUUAAAUUGUGUAAUUUUAAGAAAUUUUUUAUAAUUUUAAGACCUCCCAUUUGUUAUAUUAAUUUGUCUUGUAUUUUUUGACUAAAUUGAUUGAAACAACAUGUUGCCAAAGUAACCUCUGUUGCGAAAGUUAUUUUGAUUGAAUUUACAUGGAUGUUGCAUGGAAUUAUUCAUGUGAAGUGUGCUCGGCCCAAAGAAAGACACAAUUUGACAAAAUAAUUACAUGCUUGCAAUGGUAAACAUGUGGUGAUUAUAAAUAGUGUGAUUUUCCAUGUGAAUAAUGAAAUGUUCAAAGACAAUCAUUAUUUGACCGGAAUAAUCAUCAUAUAAGAUUUCCAUAUGAGCAAUGGAGUGUCCAAAGACAAUCUUUGUUUCACAGGACUUAUCACCAAUGUUUGAUCAAUGCGUUGAGAGUACCACUUGCAAUUAGUCUUUUUCAAUCCAAAGAUUGAGAAUUAAUGGUGCGUUAGGUAUCUUGUUUGGGUCUUGAAAUUUAUCAUAAAGAUUAUUUGUGCAUUACAUGCUUAUUGUUCUCUUCUUUAAUUGUUGUUGUUGUUACUACUGUGGUUUAAAUUACUCAUAUAUGAAUUCCAAAUCUGCAUGUAUAAAAUUUAGAGUUUGAAAUUAUUUUUGUGGGAGUCCUAAGGUGAUCUAUGAGUAACCUUGGUAUGCAACACUAGAAAGUAGUAAAGUGCAUUAUGCAUUAAUUGAAGAGAACAAAGAACUACAUGUUUUCAUAUCAAAAGUCUAGAAGUUUAGAGAUCAUUGGGUAUUAUGACUUCGAUUAUUUCAGAAUGUCUUAAUAGCAAUCACUUCACAUAAGGAUUCACAUUUGACCAUGUUGGUGGAGUUAAUAUUUUGCUAUGAGACAUUAUACUAGAAUUUAUGAUUGCUAAAUUAUUGUAACUGACUUGCUUGUUGUCGCCAAUAUUAAGUAGCCAUCAAGUGUUUAUUGAGACAAUAUCUUAGCAGUCUUGUUAAGAAUUCAACUAAGUAAAAGUAUUUUAUUUUUUGCUGACAUAAAGUAUUUGGUUAUUGAAUAAAGAAUUUAGAAACUACAUAUUUGUAUAGAACAUAUAGGAAUUCAUUCCAUGCUAACUGAUCCACUUACUAAAGGUAUGACACUAAAGUUUUUUCACAAGCACACUGCUCAUAUGGGUAUAAUUCCUGACAGUACCUUAGUUUAGUGAGAGUCUUACUCAUGUUCUAUAUCUUACAGUUUACAAACAUUUUGUUAUUUGGAUUUUCUGCAGAAAUAAAGUUGAUGAUUAUCAUUUUAUUUUGAGUUCAUUUUGUUUGCAAUGUUUGUAUUGCAUUUUGGAUUGAUCUCUAUAAAGAAUAAAGUUUGGACUAGUUGAAAAUAGACAUGAUUAAGAUCACAUUGUAUGUAAUUUCCAUGCCGCUUAUUCAUAUUUGAUCUAUGUUAUCGAGUAUGAAUAACAGUGAUGAUCAUUGUGGCUUAGUCAAGCUAAAUUGUGAUGAAAGCUGCAGUGAUUUCCUGUUGCUAUAUGAGAUAAACCAGAUUGUAUAAAAGGAGUCUAAAAGUAAAUAACAUACGGUUGCGCGCCUAAAGAAUUUUGUGAUAUAAAUGUCUAAGGCUAAUACGAAGUCCAAGUAGGAGAUUGUUAGGAAUUUUAUGAUUCCUAAUUAAUUAAUAUGAGCUACAUAUUAUAUUAUAACAUUUAUAUUAGUUAUUUACAUUUAAAUGAGUUUAAUAUAAAAUGAUCUAUUUAAGUGAGCUCAUUAGAUUGCCAAAAAAUUGAUAUGAGCUUAAUGAGUGAAAACCAGUUUGGCCCAUUAGGGGAUAAUGGAAACCCUAAUAGGUUUAAAACCUAAGGCAUGGUUAUGAUUUUCAAUACACCAAAUCAAUAAACAGUUUUUCCUCUCCCCAUCUGAAGAGAAAACGAAGGUCCCAUAAGGAAGAAGGUGAUUUGGUUGAGUAAAAUCAUUAAACCAAUUAUUCGUAACCACUAUCAAAUUCUGCUGCGUGUUGAUCAAGCUCUCUAUGAAUUCAUGUAUUCCUUAAAACUUCUUGAUAAUCUGAGGUAAUGUGUUUUGGUGCUCAUUUGAUAUUUUAUAAGGUUUAUUGAAAAUUUCCAAAAAAAUUAACCAUGAUUAUAUAUUUCAAUAACCUCGUAAUAAUUAUAUAAUUAGGUUCAUUUGCUCUUAACCACUUAUGAGACAAAAAUAAUAUGUAAAAUAUAUUAAAAUUCAAGUUUGAACUAAAAAUAUUAAAACUGAUAGAUUAAAAAAAUCCUGAGUUAAAUAAUUAGAUUGAAACUAAAAGUAUCAGAGAAUAUAUCAAACACACACGUAUGUAUAUAUAUAGGAUAUUUGAAUUUUAAGAUAAAGUAGUAGUAUAUUUGAAAUUAAUUUUGAUAUUCGGUAAAAGCUUAUAAAACAAUUUAGUUGAUAUUAAAAAUACAAGAGGAUACAUCAAAUACAUAUUAAGAGUGUAUUUAAAUUUUAAAGAUAAUAUAUAUAUAUAUAUUUGUUUAUGAUAAAUAGUUAUAAUUAAACCAUUCUAUUGAUAUUAAAAACACAAGAAGAUAUAUUAUACAUAUGUUAUGAGCGUGAAGUUCAGUAUUUAUGAGAGCACAUAUUCAAAUGAAAGUGAAUGUGAAAUAGCGGAGAGAAUGAAACAAUGAGAGCAUCCAUAUAUAAACUUACAUGUUUAUACAUAAUAAUAAGGAGAUUUCUUUUAAAAAUGACUAAAUUUUAUUUAGAUAUAAAUAUAAAAAUCAUAAACUGGAAGAGAAGAAAAAAUAAUAUACUAAAUAUAUAGUUAAAAAUAAAAGAGAGUAAUUUGAUAUAGUGGAUAAAUUUUUUUUAACAAGUUACAUGAAUAAUAUGUAAAAUAAACAUCAAAAUAAAAGAACAAAAUAGUAUUACAAAUGUUUAUUUGAGAGAGUGAGAAAAAUUACUCUUAAAGUUAAAGCUGCGUACUUUGAUUUACUACAAUAUAAAAAUCUUUGUGAUUAGACUUUUGUGUUUUGUUUUUCUUUUCUGGUUUAUAUUUGUCUUUGUUAGUUAACAUGUCUUUAUCAUUUGAUAUGUGCUGUGAACAGAUCGACCUUUGACUUCUGUCAUAGCAUUGCUGAUUUGUCACACAUUAGUGUACGGAUAAUAACUUGAACGUGGUCGAUUAUCAGUAAUGGUAUUCAUGCAUUUGUCGCUUUUGGAUUGCUUUUCUUUUAAUUAGAAAAAUCGAUUAACUUUUUUAUAUGAAUAAUGAUGCAAUUCUGCCAAACUUUCAUUUUUCAAUGUUUGUUUUUUUAUGAUCGUUGCGUGAUUUUUACGCUAAACCAAGCAUAAUGCUUUUAUUUUUGGUAUAUAUUACUAACAUAAUGCUUUUACUUUUUGUAUAUAAACCAAACAUAGUGCUUUGCAUGACUUUCUUGGCAUUUUGUCAGAUUCGUUAAUGUGUCACAUUAAUUAAUUAAUACAUUCUGUAAAUUUACAAAUAAAUAUACGAUAGUGUAAAAUUUUCAUAUUUAAUAUAAUUAAGUAAUUUAGAAUAACUUUAAAAUUAUUUCAAUUAAUAAAAUAUUAUUUUAAAGAUACCCUAUUAAUAUUUAAUGACGUUUAAUAUUUAUUGAAAAAUUUAAUUAUUGAUUAAAAUAAUUGAAAAAUGUAUUUGGUGAAACAAUUAACUAAACACAAUGACUUGAUUUCAUAAAGACUUAUGCAACACUUAUUAUAAAAAACAAAAACAAAAACAUGUAAUUGUAUAAAUUUUAAGAAAAAAAAUUAGAAGACUAUAAGAGCUCAUUGUUUCUUUUUUUGUGAUCAAGAGGGACUAAGGUCCCAAACGAAAAGCCACAAGGAAAAAAGAAAAGAGGCUAAAUCAGUCUUAGUUAACAACAAUACAAAUUAAUAAUGGACUAAAAUCAAAGACUCUAGAACUUGAAUCAAUUGUGAGUCCAAACUUUGAAAGACUAUCAGCAACCCGAUUUGCUUUACGACGAUAAACAUGAUUCCUUGUGAAUUGGCUGUCAAAGCUAAAGUCAUUUCAUCAUGAAAAGGAUAUAUCAACAUUGAGAUCAUGAGAGUAUAUCACGAUACGAAAUGUGUAUAAUAUACUUUUUUUCAGUAAACUCAGAUAUUGGUGUUCUAACUCUUUUUUUUAUUUAAUUUAUUCGUCAUAUUAUCUGUUUAUAUCUUUAUUUUUGUUUCAAUUCCCCUAUCUAUUAAUUCCGAUAGAGAAAAAAAAAACAUCACAAUUAACAAAAAAACAUAACUUUUAAUAAUCAAAACUUGUCUUAAUUGAUAAAUAAGACCAAAUUAACAAAAAAAAAAUAAAAUUAAAAGAUCGAGCCAAAAAUAAAAGUUAAAGAGUUUGGAUAAAGGAAAAAUUAAUGCAUCUUGUUAAAUGAUUUUAAUUAAUAAGUGAUUAGUUUGAGCGACGAUGAAUUCGGAUUCUUUUGGAAUUGGAAUUUGGAAGGGACUAACCCACCUUUAAAUGCCUUUAGAUCCUUCAAAUUAAAGGAUAUUAGUAUGAGUGAAUGAUCCGGAAUGAUCAUUGCAAUCAUAUGUAUACCAAAAAAUUGAAACUUAAUUUAUAAAUACCUUGAAACAAAGGUCAAUAAUAGAAGAAAUUGUAGGGAAAAUUAAUUAAAAAACGAUAAUCACUCGAGAGGUAAUUAUAACAUACAUAUAUUUCGAUAGUUUGAGUAAAGAUAGAGAAGUAAAACACCAUGAGAACUUCAAUUGUGAUUUUGUGGGCACUAAAAUCAAUGGGUCCUUUUGGACAUUGGGCCUAAGAACUAAAAAGCUUAAUUGAUAAUCGGCCAUUGCUAAACACACUCACUAAUUGCAAAUUACACUUCCUUUUUGCAUUUUUAAUUUUUUUUCUCAAUGAUACCUUUUUUUGGAACCUAAUUUUUGAAAUACAUUGUAAAAUUUUAACACUUCUCUUGGUGCAUUUUUCAGUAAAGCUCCAAUCACAUCAUUGAAGAGACACUUUGUCAUCUCAUUGGAUUGGCCCUAAUUCAAGAACCUAAUUAACAUCAUCUAUGACCGCCCCAAGAGGAGUAUGCCACUAAAUGAGAAUUGCACAAAAAUUUCCAAAUCUGACAACGCCACCAUGAUGUGUGCCACCGUAAGUGGAAUUCUUUCAUUGUCUAGAUUUACGACGCACAAUCGAUUGAGUGUAGCUAGCUCGACACCUUUAACUCACACCAAUCUUUAUUACCUUGCAGCUGAAUCCAAAACUAAGGUUAGUGGUAGUUCAUGAAGAACAUUAAAGACAUCAAAAUUAGACAAACAUAACAUGCAUAAAAAAAGCUAGGGUAAAUUAUCAUUUUGCUCCUUUAUGAUUUUGUUUUGGUCUCUUUUAUGUUUUUGAAAAGUUCUAUUUUGGUUCUUCCAUCAAUUUAACUGAUAUCAUCAGUGCUUUAAAUUUUGAAAUUCCAUAUCAAAACUGUAAAACCCUAGAGGAUAUUAUCUUUUGCAUGCUUAUAUUACUAAAUUUUGAAAACUUAGAAUAUAAAAACAUUAGAGUUAAUUGUGCAGAAACUUAAACAUAUAUUACAUAAACAAAACUAAAACAAAGUUGUUGGCACUUAUGUGCUUACAAAACUUAACAAGGUACAAAAAAACAACUCCAUGCUUAAAGCUCCUCUCAUGAGUCAUUUGAAUAUCUUCCUUGAAAUCCCCAUAGAGGAAAGCAUUCUUCAUGUCCAUUUGAUGGAGUGACCAACCUCUAGAGGAAACAAUAGAAAACACCAUUUUGAUGGGGUCAUCUCGGUGACAAGUGCAAAUGUCUCAUUAAAAUCAAUCCCUUAUUUUUGCUUGUUCCCUAAAGCAACAAGUCAUGCCUUGUAAUGGUGGAGAGAACCAUCAUAACUCAACUUCACAUAAUAUGCCCAUUUGCAUCCUAUGGGUUGAGACAAAGUUCCACAUAUAAUUCUCUUGAAGCAUCUAUGGCUCAUCUUGCAUUGCUUUCACCCAACAUGCAUCAUUAAUUGCUUGUGAAUAACAUGUAAGAACAAAUAUGCUAGAUAGAGUAUCAAUAAGAGAAGUAUGUGAGGGAUCAUACCUAGAAGAGGAAUACCUAUCUAGUGAAUGAGACACCUGAGUUAACUUGUGGGGUAACACCGACACAAGUUCUAGAGAUGGAUCUAUGUUCAGAAUAGGCGUAAAAGGCUAUAUAUAUAUAUAUAUAUAUAUAUAUAUAUAUAUAUAUAUAUAUAUAUAUAUAUAUAUAUAUAUAUAUAUAGAGAGAGAGAGAGAGAGAGAGAGAGAGAGAGAGAGAGAGAGAGAGAGAGAAGAGAUUCAUUUACUCCAACAGUGACUCUUCUCUCAUUCUCAUCAUUCAUUUUCUUGAGAUCUAAUGGUUAAGAUUAACCCUAAAUCCCUACCUUCGACCUAUAGAAGUCUCACUAUUAGAAAAUAUGGUUUUUACAUCGAUUUUUAACCGAUGUUAAAAGUAUUAUCGUUAACAUUAGUUUUUGAAAAUCAUUGUUAACUUAAAAUUAACAACAUCGGUUAUUUAAAUAACCGAUGUUAUAUAAUAAGAAUUGCACCCAAAAAAAUGCAUGAAUGUAGACAGUUGACAUCGAUUUUUAUACAAAACCGAUGUUAACUUAUACCUUAACAUCAAUUUUCUAUAAAAACCGAUACAUUAACAUUGGUUCUAUAUAAAACCGAUGUUAAAUCCCAAACGUUAACAUCAGUUUAAGUAAAAAAUCGAUGUUAACUUAUACGUUAACAUUGGUUUCUGUUAAAAACCGAUGUUAACAUAAAAAUGUUAACAUCGGUUUUCUACAAAAACCGAUGUUAACGUAUAAGUUAACAUCGAUUUUUUACUUAAACCGAUGUUAACGUUUUUGGAUAUUAACAUUGGUUUUUUUAAAAAAACCGAUGUUGUUUUUAGGAAUUUUUUUUAAAUAUUCUUUUUGUUUUUACAAAAAAACCCAAAAUUUAACCUAUAAAUAUAAAAUUAGACCACACAGCACAACAUGUCAUUUGCAUUCUGCUUUCAAACAAGUUUUAGCAGAAAGCUAGCUAGUAAACUAUCAAUUGUAAAAAAUCAAUUGAUAACUAUGAAUAAAUAAUUUAUUAAUAACUAUCAACAAAGAUUAUUAUGCAAGCUAUAGUAAACUAAUUAAGUAACCUAAAGUUACAUAGUUUCCUAACAUCCUAAGUUUGAUUUCUAACUUUGAGAUAAUAUUGUGCCAACUGGAUGCGAAGCGCCUUUAAUCUCUCUGCUUCCAAUGGUCUAACAUCAUUAAAAUACUGCAUGAUCAAAUAAAAGAUAAGUUAAUAAUGUAAUGCCAAUGAUAAGAAAAUCAACUUUGUUUGAAAUAAACAAUUACUGUUUCCCAAUUAUUCCUGAAACUUCCUAAGAUUAUCGUGGACAUCCAAUGCAUGACGUAAUACCUUUUUGUCUAUUACACUAAACACAUAAUGAAUUUUGGAUAUUAAACGUUAAGUACAAUUAGUGUACACACACAUAAGCAAUAUAUAUAAGUAGAAGUUUUAUUUAAAUCACCUACCUUAACAACAAUCCACUUAGCACCAACCUUGGAUUUAGGUUGUGGAGUUUCAUCAAGUCCUUUCAAGGCACUGUUGAAUACAAGGAACAUUAAAAUAUUGAUGCUGUUGAGUUAUGCUAAUGCAAAUGUAUUGAAAAACAACAUUGACCUGUUAAUUAUUCCUUUAAGGUAGUUGUCUGGCCUUUUAGGCAAAAUGACGACCAUUUGUCAGUGUCCACUGCAGUGGAGACCAAUAUGGGUUAUUGAAGUAUUAUACAUUAUUUAAAUUUAAUUGUUCAGUUUGACUUACUCAUUCAGGUAGGCUCCAAGGUAGACAUCGCGUUUUGAACUCUGCAUCCAACUCUUCAUGUAACUUUCUAAUUCAAAUUGUGAUUGCCUAAAUCUCUGAAUGGACUGUGGCUCGAGGAAUCCAUACACAUCGGGAUUCACCGCUCGCAUACUUGUCUCAGUCAGAUGCCUAUUGUUGUUAAGACAAAGUUAAUUAUGUAUAAAUUUAAAACAAUAACUUAGGUAAUUAACAAUAAUCUAAAUUGACUUACAAAAUCCACAAUUGUAUAACAGAUAUGCUGAGACAUUGACCACUGUGUGCAAUUUCAGAGAAAUCUUCAUGCUUUAUGUACAACGGGAAGUGUUCAUUAAACACCCCGAACACGGUAGCAUCCCACAUAACCUAGAGAGGCCUCAAAAAAAGCUAUGGGAUGGUCAAUGUCAUCAAAUAUAAGGGAUCCUCGACCUCAUGAUCUGGCCUAUCUGGAGGUUUUGCUAGAGACACAGCUGCCUGUUUAUCCAACAUAGUUAAUUAACAUAAUUUAAUUACAACGAACAAAUCGAUUGAAAACAAGAAGCAUAUAAUAAAAGUAAAAUACCUGUUCUGAUAAACGCUUCACGAGAUGUGUUGGCCAAGCAAGGAAGGUGUUAAUUGUCUGCCCCACUAAAAUAACCUUGUCAGUGGGUACAGGAACGAGAGCCUCUGCAUCUUUAACCUCCUCAGCACCAACCUUUACUUGGCCAUGCAACAAAGGGAUGUUGUGAACCACUGUGGAUCCCUCAUAAACUCUUCCUAGAGCAACCAGGCAAGAAGGAUUUUCUUCAAUAUACAACCCGAAUUUGUCUGAGUCACCCAUGUCUAGAUCGGUCGGUGAGCGAUCAACACAACUCCCUUUUGUGCUGACACAAGCAGCUGAGGGACCAACCUCAGGCUCCAGAGGUAGUGCAAGUCCUUGUGAUUGGAUCUGUGAUUGCAGUUGGGACUGCAUCUGGCUGAAGGAUAACAUCAGCUGCCGAGUCACUUUUUCUGUGAUGGACUCCUCCAGCUGGUCCCUGAUUUGUUGAGUCAGCUGCUCGAGUUCUUCGGGAGCCAUGGAGGAAGAACUGCGGGAGCUUCAUGGAGCCAAUCUGAAGUAUUGCUUUAUGGUGACACCGACUCUAGCAGCACGUACAAGGCCAAGGUGUUUUGGUCGCCCAAUGGCAGCAGUCAGGAGAUCCUGACGUCCAUAGGGGACAAAUGAACCCUGUGACGCUUGCUCCUCCAAAGAAUCCUGUACAGAACUCAUAUAUUUGUUUAGUCAUUCACAGAAUAAACAAAGAUAAUUAAAAUUCUUAAUUGAAAAUGACUUACAAUCUUCUUCACGAUUUCCUUUGCUACCUCAGACGUCAUCUGCCCAGUUUUCUUGGUGCGGGCUAUCUUCCACUUCACGUGUCGUCUGAUGGGAGAUGGAGGGUCAAUGACGCCCUCAGUGCUUCCGGACUGAGCAGUUUCCUCUAGUUGUUUCUUUGUCUUCUCAGCCAUAAGCUUUUGUUCUAAAUAUUCAUAACCCCCACGAGACAACACGUGGAGGGUGGUGUUUUACUUCUGGAUGGCUUGUGCCUUUUUCCGCACAUCUUGCAAAAAUCGAACAUUAAUGAAAAUGAUUACUACAAUGUAUUAUAAGAACUGAAUUUGUAGUGGAAAACAAUUAAAAUAACAAAGUACAUACCUCCCAUGAGGGGUCUCUAUGGGUCUGACAAAAUUGGGUCCAUUUCUCCUUGCUAAUUUCGUAUUUUUCACAAACAGUGUUGUCCACACUGUCCUUGUUGGCUGCAAGUGCCCAUUUCCUCGUCAAAUCAAAUUUAAACUAUCUCCACUGCUCGCUGACAGUCUAAAGUAUUUUCUUCUUUGUCCCACCAUCAGAAGCUUUAGGGAUAUCAAAUUCUGCCUAACAAACAAUAAAUUAGGUUUUGUUGUUAGUAAAUUAUAAAUUUUGGCUAAUAAAGAAAAUCAAAGAUGAAAACUAAAUACCUGAAUAUCCUCCCAUGUCAAAUCCUUCUGAGCAGCAGGGACUUCCUUCAAGGUCUCGUAUGUCACGUCGACCUUAUCACGAGUGAAAAUCCCCAAAUAUGUUCUUAAUUUCUUCUUGUAGGGACUGUCGACCUUCCCGAUCGCAGGAUCAACGUGGACCACUAGUCUCUCUGCCCCAGGUGGUCUAGUGGCCAAGGAUCGUAGCCGUGUGGCUUUGCGUGUCCGCUUCAAGGUAGACGGAGACGCUGAUGCUACUGUAGGAGGAGGAGGAGGAGGCGAGACAGGUGGAGUAGCCAUGGGCCUGUAAAGAAAAAAACUUGAGUUAGUUAACAUUAUCAAAAAAUUGAAUCAAUUAUGUAAAUGAAUGUACCGACAUGAAAUACAUAAUUAGAAAAUUACAUUAGACAAUGUUAAUUAAUUCUCCUUCAUCAUGAUCAUUAUGAUUAGCAUGAACAUCGUCAACUUCUUCUUCUCCGAUGAUGUUAGGAGUCAUUUGUGUGGACAAAGGACUAACAUAAAUGUCCAUGUAUGAAUCAUCAUCUUCUACAUUAACACCAAUUGUUUUCUCGUGUAGAACCAUGGACCACCUUUCAUCACAAGGGUCUUGCACAUAAAAUACCUGUUUAGCUUGUUCUGUCAUGAUGAAAGGGUCAUUAUGGUAAGCUAGUUUCUUUAGGUCUACCAACGUAAAUCCUACAUCAUUGGUCCGCACACCGAUGCUGCUGUCAACCCAUUUACAUUUGAAAACACAUACAUUAAAUUUCACAUAGUUAAGCUCCCAAAUUUCAUCAAUGAACCCAAAGUAAGGGAUGGAAGCUACACAGGGAUUGUCAUCAUGUACACUUGCGAAGUGUUGAGAUUCAGCCCUUAGGGGUGACCCCGCGUACUUUUGUCAUCUUGUGCUUUUGUGUAAAAGGAAUUCUUGUUUAUGUCGUAUCCUUGCCAAGUUAUAACAUUUCUUUUAGGCCCAUCUGCUAGCUUUCUUAAUGUUUUAGAAGCAUUUUCAUCAGCAAAGAUUGUAUCUUUAAACCAAUCAAAGAAAGUCUUGUUAUGCUUUUUCAAGACCCAGUUCUUUGACAUUUUUGGAUUACUUUGUUUGACUAAACCUUCAUGCUGAAUUAUGUAUGGCAAAACUUCAUUACUGUUAUUCAACACAUACAAGUGAGCUUGUAACAAAUCUUCUACACUUGGAGUGAUAACAUGCAGUCCUCUUGAACCCUUACCGCCCACUCUGUUGUCAUGGCGAGACUCAGGAAGGCCAACAGGUUUAGCCUUUUCAAUGUACUCUGAACAAAAUUCAAUGGCUUCUUUUGCAAUGUACCUUUGAACAAUAGAUGCUUUCGAACGAUGUAGAUUCUUCGUAUACCCUUUUAAGAUCUUCAUGUAUCGCUUAACCGGGUACAUCCACCGCAAAUAAACAGGACCACAACAUUUGAUUUCUCUCACCAGAUGAACAAUUAAGUGAAUCAUGAUGUCAAAGAAAGCAGGAGGAAAAUACAUCUCCAACUGGCAUAGUAUAAUUGCGGCCUCAUUUUCCAGGUCAUCAAACUUGAUAGGAUUAAGGACUUUGCUACAUAUGGCAUUGAAGAAAAUGUUGGACAUGUGGCCUCAGAAAUCUUAAGAAAGAGGGGUUGAAUUAAUAUUUUACAAACUAUUCCCCAAUUAAAAUUGCUAUACAGAUUUUAACCCAAGUCCCAAGAUUCCUUUUAAAAGGAAUUUCUAAAUAAUAAUUCAAAUUAAACUUAUUGAAUAGAAAUAAUAAGCAACAAUAAAUAAAAGAGUUUGAGGGAAGAGAGAAUGCAAACUCAGUUUUAUACUGGUUCGGCAAAGUCCAUUGCCUACGUCCAAUCCCCAAGAAACCCACUUGGGAGUUUCACUAUCUUGUAAAUCCUUUACAACUUCUAAAACACACAAGGACAUCCCUUCCUUUGUGUUCAAAUGCCUUACAACAAAAGACUCCUAGUCUCUUAGCCCUUUGAUUAAAAAGAGAGGAAGAAGAAGAUAAUGUCUCUUGAAAGAGAUAGAUGUUUACAAUGAAGCACUUAAUUCCUUAUUGAAUCUCAGAAGUGUAUGGCCAAGGAAUUUUUGAAGAUAAGAUGAUUUUUAUUUUUUGAGAGGACAAGAACUUUGAACUCAGUGAAAAACUCUCUUAAUCAUUUGAGAGGAUAAGACUUUUUGGGCAAUAAAAAACUCUCUUAAUUUUUUGAGAGGAUAAGACAUUUUGGCAAUGAAAAACUCUCAUCAUCUUUUGAGAGGAUAAGACAUUUUGGACAAGAAAAACUCUCAUCAUCUUUUGUUCCCAAGUCACUAAUUUAUAGGCCUUUGAUAGCCUUUCAAAAUUCAAAUGAAAAGUUGUGACUGUUGGGAAUAUUUUUCAUAACUACUCACUGGUAAUCGAUUACAAUCUUGGUGUAAUCGAUUACACAAUUAUUUUUCUUGAACAAUUAUGACUCUUAAUUUAAAAUUUGAAUUUCCAACGUUCAGAGUCUCUGGUAAUUGAUUACAAUAUGUUGGUAAUUGAUUACAUAUUUUGAAAACCUUUGAAAAAUGUUUAAAAUGAUUUUCAGAAAGCUUUUGUGCUUCUGGCUUUGGUAAUCGAUUACCAGAGAGAAAACUUUAAAAUCAUUUGUUUUGAAAGAAAAAUAACUUGGCCAAAUCUUUGUGCUUUAAAAUCUAACUUAUAAAUCUAACUUAAGAAUCUAUCUAGUCAAUCUUACUUGAAUAUCUUGGAUUGCUUUAUGUUUACUUGAAUUAUCCAUGAAGACAAAUCUUUCUUGAAAUCAAAAUCUUCUUGAGUUGGUCUUGGAUAUGCUUGACUAUUGGCAUCAUCAAAAUCUUCUUGAAGCCUUACUUCUGCAGAAAAAGCACAGGCUAGUUAUGGCUAACCUGAAUUUGUUAGGCAAAAUGUCUCGUAUGGCCACAACUAACAAUUGUUGCAUCAACACGUGACAAUCGUGAGACAUUAACCCUACCAGCUUGAGCUCCUUCAACUGCACAAGGCUCUUAAUAUUUGAAGAGUAUCCUUGUGGAACUUUGACCCGGUGUAGACACUAACAAAAAUUGAUCCUUCUCCUUUAUGGAAAAAGUAUGACAAGCUAGAUGCAAGUAUAUUUUUUUGCUAUCAGACCUUGGAUGCAACUACGAUCGUAUACCCAUGUCAGCUAGAUCUUGACGGGUAUUCAGACCAUCUUUUGACUUGCCUUGAAUGUUAAGGAGCGUCCCAAUGACACUAUCACAUACAUUUUUGUCCACAUGAAUAACAUCAAUACAAUGUCUAAUAUCUAGAUCAGACAGUACGAAAGAUCAAAGAAAAUGGACCUCUUCUUCCAUAUGCAAGUCUUACUUUAAUCCUUUUUUUGGGUCUUUCCAAAUACCGUAUUCAGGUGUUAAACUCGCUGGAAGACCUGCUCACCAGUUAACGGUAUCGGUGCAGUUUCGUGCUCUUAACUUCCAUUAAAUGCUUUUUUUAAUCACCUAUAGGGGUGAUGAGGUUUUAGAAAAUGGUGAUGCCUAGUGUACACUGUUUUUCUACCAUGUUUCAGUUGUAUGUAGCUUGUGUCUUCUUCACAGAUGGGGCAUGCAUGAUGACCCUUAACACUGUAACCGCUGAGAUUCGCAUAUGCUGGAAAGUCAUUAAUGGUACAAAAAAGCAUUGCACGCAUUUGAAAAGUCUCCUUGCGAAACCCAUCAAACACUAAAACUUCCUCGUCCCACAACUUUGUCAGGUCUUCAAUUAACGGACUUAGAUAAACAUCAAUGUCAUUUCCUGGCUGUCUUGGGCCCGCUAUUAUCAUAGACAACAUCAUGUAUUUUCACUUCAUGCACAACCAAGGAGGCAAAUUGUAAAUUACUAGUAGAACAAGCCAUGAACUGUGUUGAGUGCUUAAAUUGCCAUAUGGAUUCAUUCCAUCACUGGCUAAUCCAAGCCUAAGAUUUCUUGCCUCUUUAGUGAAAUCCGGAUACAAACCAUCAAUCUUCUUCCACUGGGAGCAAUCAGUUGGAUGACGGACCAUUCCAUCAGAGUUUCUCCCAUUUGCAUGCCAGGUAAGGUCUUUUGCGUCGUCUCCACUAGAAAAAAGACACUUAAACCUUGGAAUAGUGGGAAGAUACCACAACACCUUCGCUGGAGGGCCCUUCUUUGAGUUUUCAUCAGAACUGCAGUCCUCAUCAUCCUUCACUUUGUACUGUGAUGCCCCACACCUAGGGCAUUUGGACAUUUCUUUGAAUUCAUGCAUGUACAGUAUGCAAUCAUUCGGGCAAGCAUGAAUCUUCUAAUACUCCAUACCCAUUGGCCACAGUAUCUUCUUGGCCUGAUAGUAACUUUUAGGCAACGUGUUUUCCUCUAGAAGCAGAUUGUGCAAUACUUGAAGCAGUGAACUAAAGCUUUUGUCACUCCACCCAUAUAUGGCCUUGACAUUAACUAGACUUAACACCACCAACAAAAGCGUCAAGGAAUUCUUGCACCCUGUAUACAAAGGCUUCUUUGAAUCACUUUGCAAUCCUUCAUACAUAGGGGCAUGUGCUUGUUGAAAGAAUCUUGUCCAAGGUCACGAAUCAUAUCCUCCAAGUGAUCUCCCAUUUCUACAUCAAAUGGUUCAGAUUAAGACCCACUCUGCAUGUCUGUCAAUUCACCAUGUCAUAUCCACGUCAUGUAAUUCUUCUUUAUCCCAUCACAUAACAGAUGGUCCUGUAUGUCGUCGACUUUUUGCCGUCUCCCGUUCAAACAAUUUAUGCACGGACAAAAAAACUUCCCAUUUUCAUCCGAUCGGCUUCUUUCUGAAGCAAAUUAUAGGAACUAUUCCACGCCUUCCUCAUACGCAGGGCUCAAGUAGCUUUCAUUCAUCCAACUUCGAUCCAUCUAAAAAAUAACUCCUUCAUACUCCGAAACUCAUUCAAUGCACGAUAUCUCACUUUUUCAUUUAAGGUGUGGCCCUAUCCCAUUCAGGAAGACACAUUUUUAUGAUACAUUCAUGCGUCAAGGUUAAUCUUAUUUUGUUAAAUUUGAUGAAAUUUCGGCAGCAUUUCACAUUGGUCUCCAAGUAUACGACAUGAAAUCGGUGACAUUAAUUCGUCGAUAAUCAAGUAUGCACUCAAAGAACAACUAGAAAUGCAUUGUACCAUAAUUUCAUCAAAUUAAACAAAAUAAUGUUAACCUUAACACAUGAAUGUACCAUAAAAAUGUGAGUCUCCCCAAACUGUCCAAACAGACAAUUCAAGAUUCAAAACAAUGAUUAAUGCAAACUUUCUGCAAGAAUCAUUGUAUUCAAUCUCAAACGGGAAUCUAAGGUUCACUUAUUAUGAACAAAAGUUGAAUCUAAUGCAAAGCACAUUAAUGACAUACAAAUUAAAUAUAGUGAGAUAUAACACAACACAACACAUCGGGAAGAACCCUAACCAAACAAGCAAAGCAAUGGCUGCGGAGUUAGGACAACAGACGGUGGCUCUAUCCCACCCUCGUCCAUACGUGUCGCCAAAUGAUAAGUCCCUCUAAUUUGUUCGCCCCGCCCCCCCCUCUCAAACGGACUUAUAGUUCUUUUUUUUUUCCAACGAGGGUGGAUACCCCCCCCCCAUCCGUUGUCCUAACUCGGCAACCAUUGCUUGCUUGUUUGGUUAGGGUUCUUCCCGAUGUGUUGUGUUGUCAAUUAUAUCUCAAAAGACUAGUCUGUGACAAUAAUAAUAUACAUACUAGUCUGUAUGUACGUACCUGGAGUUUCUAUAAUCAAAGAGCUUCCAUAGCAACACGAAUUACCAGUAUAAUGCUAUAAAAUCUGCAAUAAAUUAAAACUAUUAUAGUUUAUAACUAUUUCAGGCUUUCUCUUAGUCAUGCAAUGUUGUUGAACCUAAUAGGAUGACUAUGCCCUGAUGGAAAAAAAAGGCAAACAAAACAAACAGAUGAAUUUUUCAGGUACAACUAUUAAUGUAUGUGAAUAUCAAAGUAAAAUACUAGAUACAGAACCAGGUUAACAGAGCCGCAUAUGAACAAAAUAGAGCUAGUUUAAAACAAAGAGCUUGGAUGUGGUGGAGAAAAACUUUGGAUGUGGCAGAGAGGAGCUCAGAUCGCAUUACAUUUAUGUAGAAAUUUUGGGGGAGGGCUGCAAGAGGUUUAAGACACACAGUCACGAUGAAAAGAAGUGUUUUUCUUGGUUCUUUCAGUCUAAGGUAUAACAUAGCACUUGGAACAACAAAAGGACUUUCUUAUCUAUAUGAAGAUUGUGACUCAAACAUUAUUCAUUAUGACAUCAAACCAGAAAACAUGCUCCUAGAUGGUAAUUUCAUGGUCAAGGUUUCUAAUUUUGGUUUGGCUAAGCUCAUGAGACGUGAACAAAGCCAUGUUUUCAGAACACUUAGAGGCACUAGAGGGUAUCUUGCACCUGAGUGGAUCACAAAUUGUGCCAUAUAAGAGAAAAGUGAUGUUUAUAGCUAUGGUAUGGUGUUGCUAGAGAUCAUUGGGGGGAGGAAAAACUAUGAUCCCAGUGAAACUUCAGAGAAAUCCUAUUUCCCAUCUUUUGCUUUUAAGAUGGUGGAUGAAGGGAAUGUGACAGAGAUUCUUGACUCAAAGGUGGAAACUUAUGAAAAUGAUCAAAGGGUUCACAUUGUUGUGAAUGUUGCAUUGUGGUCCUAAUCAUAAAUAUUGCUUUAAUUAUAAAUAUUGCUUUAAGUAAAGACAUGGUCCUAAUAUCUUAGAUAGACUAUGACAUCCUAAGCCUAGGAGUACCACCAAAGACAAACUUUAAGGCAAUCCUUACUUCUCAUAUAGUUUUUAUUUCAUUUUUAGUGAAUUCAAUUUAUACUAACAGCUAACAAGGUUUCAGGCUAAAUCCAAAACAAAAUGGGAUAAAAUGGUUUUCAGAUUUCACCUCAAUAAACACAGCUGAUGCUUCACGUGGUUGCAACUUUUGAACCACCUCUACAACUACUUCCUGCAAGAAACAACACAGAUUAUCAACAAUGAUAGAGCCUAUGGCACUUGCUUGAUUACAGGCUCCUAAAUAUGCCAGUGCUUAGCAGGGUUCAAUCCCAAGUCACCACAAGCAUGGAACUCAUCUGACUAGACUCAAGGAUACGCACAGAAUCAGCCAUUAAAUUGCACUAACAAGCUCAAUGAUGGAUUUAUGAAAGUGGAAGCUGUGAAAGUGCUAGAUACUACACAUACUUGGUUAUAUGAGACAAUAGGUCUUGGAGAGUGCAUAAUGAAAUGCUUGAAUAAUUGUUCUUGUAUGGCAUAUACUAAUUCAUACAUUAGAGGUCAAGGUAGUGGUUGUGUCAUGUGGUUUGGUGAUCUAAUUGAUAUUAAGUAGUUUGAAAAUGAUGGGCAGGAUCUGUAUAUUCGAAUGGAUUCUUCAGAAUUAGGUAUACAUAAAGACCUCAUGUAUCUCAAUCAACUUCUUCAAAAUUUCAUUAUACAAGUACAUACAUACACAGAUAUUGUGUGCAUUUUUAUUUGAUUUCUUUUUUUUUUUUUUUAUCGAAUUCAACUAUGAAGGGGAAUAAGAAGAGCACAAGAAGGCGGUGAUCAUAAUAGUUUCUACCACCAUUGCUACAAUUUUAGUAAUUCAACUUUGUUAGUACUGUUGUUAUCUAUUUGAAAUUCCAAACCUGUUUUAGUUGUAUAAAAAUAAGCUUAGUUAACCUUGAACAAUUGAACUACGAACUUUUCCUUUUAACAUAGUAAUACUAGCUAUAUUAAACCACAAAAAUCACAAGUGACACUCUUAACUAAUAAAGAGUAUGUUCAACAUAGUAUACUAGAGUGGGUGUUGCUACUAUUUUUUUAAUGGUAAUAGAAUAGCAUGUUCAGCCCAAGUAAUUAACUUACAGCCGUUUCAUAAUAUUAUAAUAUUAUAUAUUAAGUUUCCUUUUUUUCUUUAAUAAAUCUAAGCAAUCUAUCUAUAAUUUGUAUAUCAGUAUAUGUUAAACUAUAUAUGGCUUAAUCCUUUUAACUAACACCUUUAAACAAAUUUUCAUAAAACAAACAUUUAAGCAGAAAUUUCAAAUCGAGUAUAUGGUAAAAAAAAUAGCAAUUUCAGAGAGAUUCUUGAGUAAGGAAGGUUGAACAAAUGUGAAAAUUACCAUUGAAAACUCACUGCUUGAAGUUAGAUUAUCGAAACUUCUCAACUCUCUGUCAGCUUCAAGCUUCUAGGACUUUAACAGCUGGCUGCUAGUUGUAUUUGACCAUAGUGUGUUAUAAUUUGGGCUUUAGUACGUGUAUUUAAAGCCUUUUAUCAGCUAUGAGAAGCAGGAAGAAGUAUUAUUAAUAUACUUCUUCAACAGCAAUAAUAUAUGUAUAAUGAUACAUUUAAAGUGUUUGUUGAAUCUCCAGAAUAAACAGUUGUGAAAAAGUUAUUGCUACUAUUAUGCAUAUAAUUGCAUGCCUUUACCUUUUUCCUUUAGACUUUUGGUAAAAAAAAAUUGGUAAGCUUGAAUUGUACCUUCCAGACCUGUCCCUAAUACUAAGCAUGGUCACUAUACCCGUUAAUGCUAGUCACAUUGGGAAACCAUACUUUGAUUUUGAUUUGGUAGUUUUUCCUAGACUCUGAUAUUGGAAGGGAUUUGGUAAAGAUUAGUUUAGUUGUCCCUAAGAUGUAUAAAUAUAGACAAAAUUUUCCCAACCAGUAUCUCAAAUAUUGAACAUCUCAAAUUAGUGAAAAUAGUACGUAUACUUACAUUCGUCCAUCAUAUAGAAAGUUGCAUAUGUUUUACCAUAAUAUUCGCCAAAUAGUCUAGAAAUCUCUAAAAAAUAUGAGACCAAUUCUAUUUGAAAUAUAAGGCAAAAAUCUACAGCACUACUUAAGGAUUUAAUCUGAUUCAAACAGGGGAGACCCCACAGAGACUUUUAAACACAGGGAAAAAUUUGUCCAAGAAUUCAGUCAAGGAUAGUUGUUCCAUUUCAAUCACUUCACUCAGCAUAACUAUGCCAAUGGCAUAGGCCUUGUGAUGGUUUAAAAGUAGACACUUUAAGGUCUCACUAAUGCAGGGGAACAUGCCUUAAGUUUAUAAGACAAGGGUUACUCAUACACAAUUUAUACAAAAAGCAACUUGAACAUGCCUUAUAGGAAAGUUUGCUAUAAAUUCUAGGAUCAUUUAAAUUAAGUGAGAUCAAAAGGAUUUGAAACAUAGGACAUAGAUCUUCAAAAUAUUAAGGAUACUUAGAAUGAAUCCAUCAGGCUUGAUUGGACAUCAAUUAUGAAGACGAAUUUGGGAUUUGGCUAAUUUUCAGCAUGUACACUUAACAUAUUAUUCUCUAACGUUCUAAUUUCAUGGCCAUAAUAAAUUAGCUUAUACACACUUUGUUGACAUACUAGUAAAGAUUGAGAAUAAGGAAACAAACAUAGUAAUCACCUCUUCAAAGGCUCAUCAAAUCAGAUUCAGUACUAAUAUCAAAACUACAACUAUAAUUAGGAUCUCAAACAUGGCUUAUAAGCAUCUUUUCAAAUUGUUGACAUAUCAGAAGCACAACGAACCAGAAGCAACAAGAAGAAAUAUGGAAGUAAGUUUUUCACUUAUAGUUAUGAAAUAUUUACCAUAUGUAAUCAUUCUUAAAUUGAUUUUCACUUAUAGAUGAAAUUAGUUUAUUAUUAAACUGUCAAGAAGUUAAAAAAAACUUCUAUAAAAUGGAUACUUACAAAGUUUAUUCGAUUAUACAGGACUAAAUAUGGAAGCAAAAAUAGAAAAAACAACAUGGGAGAAGGAAGAAGUAGAAGCACAAGUGGAAAUCUGGAAGUACGCAUUUGGAUUUGUGGAAUUAGCAUUGGUGAAAUGUGCCAUUGAGCUUGGCAUAGCUGAUGCCAUUGAAAGCCACGGAAGCUCUAUGACACAGUUUGAUCAUCAACUCUUAGGUGUGUAGCUAUGCCAUCUACCUAACAAAUGAUCAACUAGCCUAGCUACCAAUAUAUACCAUCAUAUCCAUAUAUAGCAAAAAAGAAGAAAAAAAGCCAUGGUUGGUACACAAACUAUAAACAAAAACUACUUAGCCUGGUAAGCCUAUCUAACAUAAUAAUUCAUUAAGCAAAAUAAUAUCCCAAGAGAAUAGAAUCAUGAACAAAAUUUUGAAGAACAAAGUACGGUAUUUUUUUAUAAAUGGGUAAAAAAAAGGGAAGCACGAAGUAUGGUAGUUUUUGCAUGUAAUUACAUUUACAUCUAAUGCCUUCUUCCAUCAUUCUCUACUAGAAUCACUACACUAUCACACUUAUAUCUCUUUUAACUAAACAAAAAGGCUGAAGGAAUCACUGAAUACUCAAUUAAAAGCCUUUAAUGUUCAAAACUUGAAGAGAAAAUGAUAAAAAAACAGCUAUGAAAACAGAUUCAGUAAAUCACUACAAGUUACUAACAAUAACAGCUAUCUCUGGGAGUUACAAUCUUACAUUCUUUGAAUUGUUACAACUAUCAAAACUUGAAGAGAAAAUGAUAAAAAAAAUUAUAGAAACAAAAGUGGCAAACGGAACAACGAACUCGCGAAUCCAAUGGACAACUUUUAUGUUCACAGCAUUUCCCUCCCUACGUACUCACCAAUCCAGCAACAAAACGAACUCACGAACCCGAUUUUAACAUUCUAAAGGAAGAAAGGUUUGAGCAAGAUGAAGAUUUGAGCAGCCACGUACCUAAAUCGGGAAGUGACAAACAAGAACUCGUGGAGUAGCGUAGUUGCAGGUUUGUGGUUUGCGGCAAAAAAGGAGACGACGAACAAAGCGAGAAAAGGUUUUGGGGUUUUACCUGCAAUGGCAGUGACGACAAUGGCGACGACGACCUGAGGGUGGCUUUACGAGACUCAGCAAGGAGGGUUUGCGAGAGACUGAGCGUGAAAUGAAAGGCUUUUUAGUUUCUAAGUUUAAUUAAAACUACAACAUCGAUUUUAAAAAAAAAAACAAUGUUAACAUUGGUUUUUUAAAAAACUGAUGUUAACAUAGCCCUGCUAACAUCGGUUUUCAUAAAAUCGAUGUUAGCUACGUCAUGUUAACAUUGGUUCUUUAAAAACUGAUGUUAACGAGGCUAUGUUAACAUCAGUUCUUUAAAAACCGAUGUUAACGAUGCCAUGUUAACAUCGAUUUUGACAAAAUUGAUGUUAACAAACUGGGCUUAAUUACAAGUAUGUCACCGCGUUUUUGUUAACAUCGGUUUUGUCGAAAACUGAUGUUAACCUAGCGAUGUUAAAUGUAUAAUUUCUAGUAGUGCACUUGCACCCCCACGCUACUUUGAAAACUCUUUUUCCUCAGUCGGAAAAUCCCACAUGAUAGUCGUUGCAACACUGUCACACGACGCUAACGAAGUGGUUUGUGGCCUCACCCUCUAGGCACAACGCCAAUGAAGGUAAGUGAUGAUCAUUUUUUGGUUACAAAUGCUCUGGUCUGUUGUGGUGUUGGGUUCCAGUGUGGGUGUUUGGCUUCUGUGAAAUUGGUGCUUCGAAAUUGUGUUGGGUCUCUUUUUCGCUAGAAAUAUGUUUCGGAACACCUAUUUUGGAUAAGGAUAACAUUCUUGAACAAGCAGUCCAGAAUACAUGUUCUUAAGUUAGCCUCAUCUAGAAUACAUGUUCUUGAGUUAGCCUCAUCCAGAAUACAUGUUCUAAAACACAUUUUGGGAUUUUCAAGUCUAUUAUGGAAUGCCCAUUUUGUAAUACACUUGUAAAUCCAAAAAUAUGCUCUGAAACACCUGUUAUGUAAUCCAACACUUGAUUUUUUUUGCUUCUAGAAUAGAUAUUCCAAAACACAUUCCAAAUUUACAACUAUAUUACAAAAUAAGUAUUUUGUAAUACAACACUUUUGAUUUUUGUCAAUAUCCUUUUUGUAUUUCCUAUAUUUGUCAUCCUUCUCCCAACCCAACACAACAUAUGUCUUCCUUCUAGGUUGUAUGUUUAUUGUGUCUAACCUCAAAAUGACAAUAGCAAAACCCAACCCAAAUGCAAUUGCCCGAACCCAUUUCAAUAACCCAUCUUGAGUAUCAAAAACCUACUUAAACAAUAUAAGAUAUAAGGUUCUCAAAGUUCACCUUUCCAUGUAUUAGAUAAAUGAACAAUUACAUAAAUUAUAUAAUUAAUUACAUUCGUACUACAAUCAUGAUAUUUUAUGUCUUCCCUGAAUGGCAUCCUUGUAUCUUCAUCCAUGUCCUCAAGCAUAUUGACUUCAUCAGACAUUUUGUUGAAGUAACCAUCCUCAAUACAAACUACAAAUUUAAACUAACAACAUUGAAAACAAAUGAAUUUCAAUUACAUUAUUUAAUUCCUAUUCUAAAAAUUUGAUAUCACAAUAUAAAAGAAACUUUUGAAUUUAUAUUAUAAUGACAUCAUAUUUGCUUUGCACUAAUAUCUUGGUCUUAUUUUUACAAGUUAAAAAACAACAAAAAAAAAACAACAGACAUCAUCAAUAAAUUAAACAAUGUUUUGGGAAAAAAAUGCGUCCCAGAACAACAAUUCCAGAACACGAUUUUUUGAUUGCGUCCUCCAUAACAUACUAUAACAUGUUCCAGAAUGCUUAUUUCGGAGCACAAAUUAAUAUCCCAAUUAUUAUACGGAAAAAAAAUCUAGAAUCUUAUAAACUUUGUUUCAAAGAACACAUUAUGAAUGGUAAUAAGACUCUGGAAUAGGCUUUUUGGAAAACAAGUAAAUACUUUCCGGAAUAGCCAUUCCGGAGAUUCCUUUUUGUCUCCUGGUAUGCUAAUCUAGUAGGUGUUUAGCAUUUUUGGGACAGCUAUUCCGAAAAGUAUUUACAUGUUUUCUAGAAAGCCUAUUCUGAAGUCUGAUUACCAUUCCAAAACAUAUGUUUUGUUAUUGGAUAAUAAACUUUUGGAAUACCUAUUCUAGAUACAUUUGGCUUAAUUGUACUCCCAAAAAGCAUAGUCCAGAAAACAAAACAAAAAAUAAAAAAAUAGAAACAACAAACCAUAGCGUCUUCGUCAACCAAACUUCACCUAUCUUCAUCAGAACUAUGCAGAGAUGAAUGAAAACACAUUCAAUGUCUUCAUUUGUGGAAAUGGCUCCUACUUCGAUGACAUCAAAUGCGCGAAGAGGAUAUGGAGGGGACGAUGCUAGCUGUGGAGCAUAAGUUGCAGAGAGUAGGAAAUGAGGUGUGAGGAAGACCUUUAGGAGAGAUAAGGAGAAGAGAAAAGUUAUAAUAUGAAAAGGGUAGUUUAGGGAUAUUCAAAAAAUUGGGAAGUGCAGGAAGCACAGGGGAAGUACAGAAAGUAAAGGCCCUAUUAUUAUAGAUGAUAAGGAGACCAUUGAGUUUGUUGCAUGAUUAUGGGAAGCCACAUAAAGUUAGUUUCCAGAAAGACCAACAACAUGACAUAAUGGCUUCAUGAAUCAAGAGUUGUCUCACAUGAUAAAAGAGAAGGUUAGUAACUCCAGUGUAGAGCUGUUAAAAUAGGCCCAAACCUAUGGACCAACCCGGCCCACCACAAGUUCAGGUUGGGCCAAACAAACAAAGAUGUAAAACAAUUAAUUGGGUGAAAAACUGAACCCGAUCCACUUAUGAUCCGACCCACCCGGGUUAAACCCAUGGUGGGUUGGGUUGGCCAACCUAAUCCACCUAAAAAAAUAAUCUAAUAUUUUAUAAUAUAUUUUAAAACUUCAAAGUUUUAGACUUUUAGUAUUUUGUAAUAUUGUUUUAAGACUUCAGAGUUUGAAGUUCUAGACUUCAAUUUUGUUUAUUUAGUGUGUGAUAAUAUGCAAAUUUCUUGUGAUAAUGUGUCUUGUUGUAGGUGUGGUGUGUGGAUAGUGGAAGAUUUAAUUUAACUAAUAUUUUUCUAAUUUAUUCAAAAACAAAAUUCUAAAAAAAUUGGUUUAAAAAUGAUUUUUUUUUAAAAAAAAUUUAGAUGGAUUGGUGAGCCAACCCAUUUAAGCCACAACCCAUGGUGGGCCAGGCCAAACAAUUUUUUAAUUUUAAGACUAAACCUUAAGUGAGUUAGGUUGGGUUGACCCACUUAUAUAGGAUGAGUCGAGGUGGGUCAGACCCAACACGUCGGGCCAUUUUGACAGCUCUACUCCAGUGGAAUUAUUCUUUGUAUUCUACAACGCAAUGAAUCGAUUUAGAAAAUCUCUUGUAGAUCAAUUUUCAGCAACGUAUUUAAAAUGUGUAUCCCAAUAUAUAAAAAAUAUCACCAGCUCCAAUAUUAAAUCAUUUUUCUGAAAUUGACAGUAAAAUGUCUCUUUUAGGGGAGUUUGGUUGGGAGAAGUUUUUCAUGUAUGAGAAUCAUAAUACUUGGGAAUGAAAAAAUCUAUUUGGUUGUCCAUAAAUACUUUUGGGAAAGUUUCCAGGGAAUAAAAAAGUUGCACAACAUUUUCAUUAGUUACUUUAAUUAUCUUGGGAAGCUAAGAUUCUCACCCCACAAGAAAAAUUCGUGGGUAACCAACAAAAAACAUUAUUGGGAAACCCUCUUUCUCAAGAAUCUUAGAUAUUAAAAUAGAUAUCAAACAUGAAAACAAAGAUUCUCAAUCUAAUAUUCCCAAGAAAUUGAAAAUUUAUCCCUACCAAAUGCCCCUAACAGUUUAAUUCCUGAAAAAUUAUGUAAAUCAUAAUUUAUAGGAAUGACUAAAAUUUAUUUGAUUUAUUUUUAAUAUUCUUAGGAACAUUUUUUACUAUGUUUGACAAAAUUAACUAAAAAGUUAGCUGGUAGUUGAAAGCUGGAAGCUUUUAAACUAGCUUAUUUAGACUGAGUUUGGCAAAAACUAGCGAAAAAGCUCAGAAAGCUAGAAAGUUAGCUGGAAGCUUUAAGCUAACUUACUAAAUCAUAAGUGUUAGAUCAAGAUGGAAUUUAGAAAGGGAGUGAAUAUAUUCUUUCAAAAUAUUUACCAAUUUGAUCUUAAUAUAGAUUAAAUUAACCCUUUUAAAUCAAUCAAAGUCUCUUCAAAAGAUUAUAAUAAAUCAGAAACUUCUAUGAUUAUAACAUGUGAAAAAAAAACAAUUUUUUAUGAUGACCCUUAAGAUCAAUUCCAAAACCAAGAUGAAUUCAAGACACAAAGUUUAGAGAAUAAGAGGAUCACGCAAGAAUUUAUGUUUGGACUUACAUCCAGUUGUUCUAAGUGCUCUUAGAACUUUCACUAUAUAGAGAAAAUAAGUACAAACACUAUACAAAUACAAUUCUCUAAUAGAAAUCAAAUCUUUCUCUUGAACCCUACAAGAAAAGACUAAGAAUUGAAACUUUAUCCAUUCUUUAACCCUCUUGGUAACUCUAACCAAGAAAUGCAAUCUAAAAAAAUGAAAGAUAAAGGAUUGAGUACACCUGAAAUAUGUAGAUCUCCAAUGUUCAAUUUCUCUUCACAAGAUGAUAAAUUCAUGAUGGUAUAAUGAAUGAUUCUUUGAUCAACGUCAAUCUUCAUACUAAAUGCAGUACAAUUAUUUUAGAAGACUCUCUUGAAAUAUUUUUUUCUAAGACUAAUGUAUCAAGAGUCUCUCAUAAAGAAAACACAUACGAGUAUUUAUAAAUUUUGAUAGUUAAAACAAAUCUAAUCAAUUAUAAAAAAAAGGUAAUCGAUUAAUUCUUCAAAAUCCCCUUUGAUAUGCAUUUCUAGAAAUGGGUUAAUCGAUUGAUUCAUUUUAGUCUGAGUUUCUCUGUUUAUUUUUUGUUUUCUGGGUAAUCGAUUAUCAUGUGUGGUAAUCAAUUAAAGAAUCACACAGAGAACUUUUCUUUGUUUCCAGGUGCUGGAUAAUUUAUUAUCAAAUGAGAUAAUCGAUUAUCUUAAGUUACAGAUAAUUCCUUUUUUGAAACUGGCUUGGGCAUUCGAUUACCAGGUUAGGCAAUCGAUUAAUUCCAUGCUUCUAGCCAAAUUUCAAGUAGAAGUAAGUUCUUAAGAAACUUAGAGAAUAAGAAUAAUUCAUUCACUUCAUAUUUGAUCAGCACUAAGCAUGAAAAAGAGUUAGAGUAUAUCACACACAUGCCUAGUCUAAAACAUUCAAUACAAAUGUCUCAUCUAUUAAACAUGGUAGGCAUUGCAAAAUUAUCAAACCAAAACUAAGACUAAGGGCUUCAAGCUUUGAUCUAACAAUAAGUGUUUAGUGACUAUGUUUGACAAAAUAUUUCAGCUAACUUCUAGCUUUUUUAACUAGCUGAAAAACUCAUUUGGUUGUUCGGCAAACAAGCUUUUUUUUAUUAGCUUUUCAGUAGCUUCUAGUGUCUUUUACAACACAAGCUUCUAGCAUUUUAUAUUUUCUUCUCUUUAUAUUCUUAAUAUAUUUAUCAAAUUUUUUGCUUACCCCUUUUAAACAAAUCAUGAUUUUAUUGUUUUUGAAUCAUUUUACACUUGUGUUAAAGUAGUCAAAAAAUGUAAAAUGUCAUAAAUGACAUAUUUUAAAAAUGUAAUAAGGAAAUUGAAAAAAUAUUUUAAGGAUAAAAAUGGAAUAAAAUAUAUAAAGCUUGAAGCUAGCAUUUUUAAGAAAUGUUAUUUCAAAUAGCAUUUUAAAAAAUGUUAGAAGCUACUAAAAAAACAUACAAGUUACGUAAAAAGACUUGUUUAUCAAACAGUCAAGCUUUUCAACUAGUAAAAAAAGUUAAAAGCUAGCUAAAAUGACUUGUCGAACAUAGCCUAAAUCUUAGUGUUCAGUAAAACUAAUUAUUGAAGUAGUUGAAAAAUGUAAAAUGACAUAAAUGACGUAUUUAAAAAACACAAUAAGGAAAUUGAAUAAAUAUUUAAAGGAUAAAAAGAAAAUAGAAUAUAAAAGUUAGAAACUAACGUUUUAAAAAAUGUUACUUCUAGUAGCGUUUCAAAAAAUGCUAGAAGCUACUUAAGAAAGUUUAUUUACCAAACACUCAAACAAGUUUUUAGCUAGUAAAAAAAUUAGAAGUUAGUUGAAAUGAUUUGUCGAACAUUACUUAUAUAUGUCUAUUGGAAAUAAAAUAUUUCCGCAUUUAGUUUGAUAGAACUUUCCCAAAAACUUUUUCCAUAAACUAUAAUUAAUUUUAAUUAUUUACUACCACUACUAAAGAAAUUAGUUUUAACAUCGUUACAUUAACGCCGAUUUUAGAUAAAAUCGAUGUUAACAAAAAUGUGGUAGCAUAUUCGUAAAUAACACGACUUCGUUAACAUCAAUUUUUUAAAAAAUUGACGUUAACAAAAUAAUGUGGUAACAUAUUCGUAAAUAACACGACUUCAUUAACAUCAAUUUUUUAAAAAAUUGACGUUAACAAAAUAAUGUUAACAGUAGUUUGUCAAAAAAUCAAUGUUAAUAUUAGUUCGUUACGGUUUUUAAAAAACUAAUGUCACUAGAGACUAAUGUUAAUAUUGGUUUUUUAUAAAACCAAUGUCCACACUUAUAUAUAUAAGUCUGAAGCACCUGCCUCAUUUGAUUCAAAACUAUCCAAAUUCCCUCGCUUUCUAAGUUCUAGUGAAACCCUAAUGCCGCUGUGGAUUGGAAAGGUUUGGGUUUGUGACAUUGCUGAGAUUGGAAGUGUUUUCAUGCAUAGUGGGGAGAAGUCAUCCUUUUCAUUCCCUACUCAUUGGUGCUGAGAUUAAGAACUGCUCUGGUCAGGUAUAUAUAUUUAUUUUGAUCAUUUGUACAAAUUGGACUGAGUAGUGUCUUUUAAUUUUUAUUUUGGUUAUGUGUGAACAUUAGUUAUUGUAUAUUUUGGCAAAGAAAUUAAUCUUUAAUUUUUGAAUUUUCUCUACCAAGGUUAUGUAUAUUUGAAUUUAACAGAAUUUAUCUGUUUAGAAACAUGAAUUUAGGGUCCUUCUGCAAGUAUCUGCAUCUCAUUUUUGUAGGCUAUCCCUUGAUGCUCAAUUUUAAAUCUUACAAAUAGGAAUGAUAUAUUGAAUAUGCUCUCAUUUAUGCUUUUAGAAAUAAAUUUAUGAAAUAUUAAGGCAAAGGUUAUUAUUCUGUUUCAAUAUAAAUGAGGUAUUCCAAUGCAGCUGAACAAAAUUGGAAGGGGGUACGUGGAAGCAUGACAGCAUGGUUGCUGUAGAAUAUUGCUAAUUUAUUUGUAUAUAAUGACAAGCAGUGUUCGUGGCUUAUAUUCUGGGAUAACAAAGAGUAGGGGAUGUAUAAUGGCAAGUGUUCGUUGCUGUAGAAUAUAGAAUUAUGAGUUCACGUGUAGCUUUAGUUGUUUAUCUUUGAUAAUUUGAUACUUAAUAGGUUUUGUACUUGUUUUUAAUUAGAUCUGUAAUGUUCAUAUUGGUGGACCAUGACUAUUGUGCUUUACAUUACAUGAUUAUACCUUUGUGCUUCAUCAUGGUGAGCAUCACUUGGAAGUAUAUUAUUUUAAUAUACAAUUUAUAAUAUAAUUAGGUUCCAUUAUAUACGAUGAAAACCAAAAAUCAUCUCUACGAGACACACUCUUAUAAUGUUUUUUCCAAGAAAAUAAUCAAAAUCAAAAGCAGAAUUAUAAUUUCUCCCAAUUUUUAAUUAAAAUCAUCCAAUAAAAAAACUAUUACGAAUUUUUAGUUAAUAAAUAUUUGAUGGGAUAAUAAAAAAUAAAUAUUUGUAUUUUCAAAGUUAAUAAAUAUUAUAUUUUAUUAAAUUUUAGUUAUUACAUAAUUCAUUUUUUCAUAUUUGAUGGGAUAAUAAAGAAUUAAAAUAUUAUUUUACAUACAAAUAUUUGUUUACAACAACCUAUUACAAAAAUUUAGUCCCUUUCUUUUUUAUUUCUUUUUUUCCCUUUUGUGUGAGUAUAUAUAUGUGUGUGAGACUAGGAAUUAAUUAAUUAAUCUUUGUAAAUUUUAUGUGAUUUGACUAGAUAAGAUAUAUACUUAUACGGAUAAUAUGGUCAUUUAGUUUUAUUUGUUAUACAAUAAGUUUGACAAUUAUUUGAAAGAAAUUAUUAACGGGUCAGUUAUAUUUUGUGAGAAAUUUAUUUUAUCAUAAAAAAUUUGACAUUAACUAUUUGAUGUUGUUUGUUUACAUAUUUUACAUUUUUUGCUUUAUUGCUUAUUUUAUGACAUUUAUUUUUCUAAAAAAAUAAUAUUAUGUAUUGAAUGUUAACAUCGAUUUUCAAAAAAUUAAUAUUAACUUUGAGUUCGUUAAUGCUAAUGGUUUCAACAUCGUUAAAAAUUGAUGUCAAAAGUAUAAAAAAAAUGAUAUUAAAAGUCUAUUUCUCAGUAAUGUAUAUUAAAAGAUUUAAUAAGAAUAAUGUAAUAUUUUUACUGAAAUAGUUUUUUUUUCUCAACUCGAAAAGGUCAGAUUUUUAAAAAUAACCCAAAUAUGAAAAAUAAAAAUUUGUUUGAAUCAAAUAUCUCCUUUCAGGUUCGAAAAAUUAAUGAUGCUGGAGGACAACUCUUUCAAUCCUAGAGUUCCCUCCAAUGACAUCAACAAUCCUCUUCCACCGCUAUCCAAAAUACAAACUCCUGUCAUGCAAAACUCAAGAACUUAGCCCCAUAUGAUCAGGUUUAAAUAAAAAAUAAAAAUAAAAAAGAAAUAGAAAGAAGAAAGUGCUAGCAGAGGAAAUAAAGCUAAAAUGAUUAAGAGGAAGAUGCCACGCAUCUCAGAUCAGUAUACAGUAAAUCGCUACUUGAGUUUAAAAGUGUAUAUAAAUGUAUUGGUAAUAUUAGUUUAGGUAUUAAAUGAAGUAAUUAAAACAAAGAAUGAUAUGAGUUCAGCCCAUAAAUCAUGUUGGUUAACGUGUGGAAGUUAAAAUUGAAUUAUUUAGAUAUUAUUUAAAUUUAAUUAUUAGUAGAAAUAAUUUUUAAUUAAAUUUUAUUUAUUUUCCGGACAAACUCUGGAUUAAUCAGAAUAGGGUCUCUUUUUUCUGAUGAAUGGAAGGGUUAAAGAAAAAAAAAAUAACUUUCGUUUACGGGCGGUCAUGCUUGUGAUUUUGGAAUUGUUUCAAACAAAAUGGGUGCGUGGAGUUUUCCAAAAUUGGUUGAAAAGAAUUAAAUUUGAUCAAGUACUAUGAGUAUUCAAGGCCAAAUCAUGGAAAUUGCAAAUGCAAUUCAACAGGAAAGCCUUGUUUGUGUUAAUUUCUAAUCUAACAUAAUGUUUCUAAUUUCAAUUUAGCCAACUCAAUUUUUGAGCCAAAUAUCAUAUAUGUUUUCAGUUAGAGUAGUUUGCAGAUCCGCAUACGGGCCUUAAUUAGUUUAUACUAUUAUUUAGUAGCAUUCCUUCAUUAGGAUUAAUGGUUUAUUUCUUGAAAGAAAGAAAAAAAAAAGGUACUAAACUAUUAACUAAUAAUUUACUUAUACUACCAUUAUGUCCAUAAACUUGAUCAGUAAGUGUAUAAUAAGUGAUUUGAGCCUAGCCAAACAUAGCAAAUCUCAUACAACUAAAGUAUAUAUGCAGAAAGCAUUUCUUGGCUCUAAUAUGGUAUAUAUCUAAAUCAAUUCUCCAGUGUUAAGACUCUUUUUCUUUGUUAGUUAGCAAUUAAUCAUGAGUCAAAACCAGAAACUAGCUACUACACUCCCAUGCCAUAAUGCGUAAAACAAUUCAAUUAUUUGGUAUGGCAAUUGAAAUUAUUUGUAUUAACACCUUUCCAAAGGAGACAAAGACGUCGGUGCAUUGAGAAAUGUGAAAAAAAAAUAUUAUCACUUGUGUGGACUUGUCAAUGUUCCCGUUAAAUUUCCAACUUUGCAACUACAAGAAGACAGCAUUCACCUACACAGCAAUUGAAAAUCCACACCGAAGAUUGACCUUUGUACAACGGUGCUAGAAACCGCGUCACUAGUAAUAACUAUUGGAUUGAGACAUGCACUUAACAGUAAGGCCCCCAACUAAUAUAAAAACCAGUUAUUGGGUGUGUUACUCAUCAGCAACUACAACGUGAGAAACAUGGCUUCCUUAAGCUCCUUAGUGCUGCUCCUUGCAGCUCUAAUUCUAUCCCCUCAAGUUCUUGCAAACUAUGAGAAUCCCCCAGUGUACAAGCCUCCCACUGAGAAACCACCAGUUUAUAAGCCCCCAGUUGAGAAGCCUCCUGUUUACAAACCUCCAGUUGAAAACCCCCCAAUUUAUAAGCCUCCAGUAGAGAAGCCACCAGUGUACAAGCCCCCAGUUGAGAAACCCCCAGUGUACAAGCCCCCAGUUGAAAAACCACCAGUGUACAAGCCCCCAGUUGAGAAACCACCAGUGUACAAGCCCCCAGUUGAAAAACCCCCAGUUUACAAGCCCCCAGUUGAAAAACCACCAGUGUACAAGCCCCCAGUUGAGAAGCCCCCAGUUUACAAGCCCCCAGUUGAGAAGCCACCAGUUUACAAGCCCCCAGUUGAGAAGCCACCAGUAUACAAGCCACCAGUUGAGAAGCCUCCAGUGUACAAGCCACCAGUAGAGAAGCCUCCAGUUUACAAGCCACCAGUAGAGAAACCUCCAGUUUACAAGCCCCCAGUGGAGAAACCUCCUAUUUACAAGCCACCUGUUGAGAAGCCUCCGGUCUACAAGCCACCAUAUGGAAAGCCACCAUACCCAAAGUACCCUCCAACUGAUGACACCCAUUUCUGAAGGAUGUCAAGAGGUGUAUUGAGUAUAUGCUAAAUAAGAGGUGCUCAAAAUGUAGUUAUAGAUUACAAAUUAU